rnacentral:lncRNA from 1 species
GCUCGUGAUUGUGUAAAUAAAUGUUUGGUAACUAAAUUAAGUUGAUUGAUUAACGCAUGGGGAAGAUGCAGAAAAAAGGUGUGGUGGGACUGGAAAACGGGUUAGACGAAAAAUAUAUAUCAGUGAAGGGACAUGGUGGGAGGGGCAAGAACCGGUUAACGAAGCAUUUGAAAAUUGUUAAUUGUCUAUAUACAUCUCAGAAAAUGUUAAUCUUGUAUAUCGGUUGAUGUAGCCAGGGUAUAGACAUCUCGCCGUAAUAAAUGUUGACCAUGUAUUCAGAAAAUAUUAAUCCUGUAUUUAAAAAAUGAUAAUCCAGCAUUUGAAAAAUGUUAAAUGUUUAUAGAAAACAACUUGACCAUGUAUUCAAGAAAUAUUGAUCUUGUCUAUCAAAAAUAUUAAACAUGUAUUGGAAAAUGUAUCACAUAUAUACCAAAAAUGUGUAUAGCAAUACAGUAAAACCAAAAGAAAACAAAAAUGAUGAAAAAGCAAGAAACAAACAAACAAAGCCGAAGAAAUGGAAGAAAGAAACAAAAAAACCAAUUCAGAAAUGAAGAAAAAAAGAAAAACAUAAAAAACCAUGAAAAUCCACGAGGAAAUGAAGAACAAUAGGAAACAGAAUUAAAAAAAGCGACGAAAACCAGUGCAAAAAAAGAAAAGAAAAGAAACAAGAAACACCAAAGGAAAACAAUAAAUUGAAAAAAGAAAAAAGAACCAGUAAAAAUAGAUAAAUAAAUGAAGACAAUGGGUGAAAAAUAAAGAAAAAAAUCAAACAAACCCAUGAAAAAGCAAAGAACACCGGUAACAACCAUUUAAAAAUGAAAAAAAACGAUGAAAAAAAAGAAGAAAGGAAAAUCGAAAAAGAAGAGAAAAGUGGAAUAAAACCAUAACGAAUCAGUGCAGGAACGAGCGAGUCUAGCGAUAGAUCGAUGGGCGCCCCUAUGGCUGGCAUCGAGCGUGACAGAGUGUCUGCUCGCUGAAGGGAUGUAGGAAUGAGGCAGCCCAGUUGCACUGUUGGUUUGUUUUGGAUUUAGUUCGUUCCUUUCCUUAUUAGUCCGUUCCUCGAUUUUGCUUUUUCUUUCUAUUUUUGGAUUUAGUUUGUUUGUUUCAUAAUUAGUCCAUUCCUCGCUGAAGGGAUGUAGGAAUUAGUCUAUCAACAUUUUGUUAAAGUUGCACAUAUAUAUUAGAAAUAUCAUUUAUACAUGUUUAACAUUUUUCUAAACACAUGGUUUUGAACAUUUGUUGUUAGAAUAUGUGUUGAUUGUUUUCUAAAUUUUGAAACAUAGUUACCAAAUGCUAUCAACAUUUUGUUAAAGUUGCACAUUGAACUAAAAAGUAAAUUUUAUUAAAUAUUGAUCAUGUAUUGAAAAAUACUAAUCAUAUAUUUCAAAAAUGAUAACAUGAUUAAAGUUAUUCCUGAUAUAUACCAAAAAUGUAUAAUGUGUAGGAACAAAGUAGUCAGCAAACAAAUUAUUUAAAAAAUAUUAAUCAUAUAUUUGAAAUAUGUUAAACAUAUAUACAAAAAAUGUUCCUAAUGUACAUGAAAAAUAUAAGAAUAUGUAUAAAAAUAUAUAGACAUGUGUUAAAGAAUAAAAGAGAAAAAUGAAAAAAUCACAAAUGAAAACCAGAAAGGAAACAAAGAAAGAGAAAAAAGGAAAGAAAAGCAAAUAAAACCUGUGAAAACCCAAAGAGAAACAAAGAAAAAUAAGAAAGAAAAGAAAAAUCAGUGAAAAGCAUAAACAAAAUCAAAGGAAAUUGGCGGAAAUAAAAUAAAACUGAAAACAUAAGAAACCAAGAAAACUAGAGAAGAAACAAAGAACCAAAACUAAAAAACCAAAGAGAAAAAAAUCACAACAAAAGCUCUAAAUGCGCACUAAACAACUGGGCCAUCUAGUACUGUAUGCACACUGGAAAGUCCUCAACAAGACGAAACAUAUCCUCGCUAUAGGCGAGUUAUAGAUCUCCCGUAGAUCGAUCAAUCGGAGUGAGCCGGGUGGAGAAGUUAAUGGGCCACAGCCUGAUUCGUAGGCAAGAGGGAAAUCCUUCCAGUCGAGAGCAGCUAUCGUCUCGCUAUAAGCGAGACCUAGCCCUCGUGGCAUGGGGCGAGGCAUAGGCCUCUGUGUGUGGCAACCUAUCGGCCUACUAACUGGGCCGGCGCAUUGCGCGCCUUCCAGGCAAGAGUUAAAUAGUGCUCUAUAUUUUUUAAAUUUUCCAGCUAUUGGUGACUUAAAAUUUCGCUUGCAUGUUAAUUUUAGGAAUUUCUGAGUUGUUUUGAUGCAUGGUAUAGUUUAUUAGAGUUUUUUUCCUUGGUUUAUUUGAUCAAAUUUUACUUUUCUUUGACUUGUCCAAAAUUUCAUAAUAUAAGCACUAUGUUGAAGAGCUUAGUGAAGAAGUUCAUCCUCCUCUUAUUCAAGGGAGACAAGGUCUUCUUCAAGUACGCAUUCUGGGAGAGUUGAUUAUGAAUAAUUUACUGCCAAUCUUCCGUGUAAUGCGGAAGUGAAAUCAGCUAAGUGGCCAUGUGAAAGUUUCAAGAGAGAUACCAAAAUUAAAAUAGAGUUUAGGCUUUCGUGAACUAUGCAAGUUGAACAGACUUCCUCGCACAUCUUCGUCCCGCAUAUGAAGUUUUAUCGAUAAUAAUUUAAUAUAGCACUUUUACUUUAAUUCUAGUCGAGUAAAUCGAAGUGUGUCCUUUAAAACUAUAGCUGUCGAGAAGAAGGCAAAGCAAGAAGCCGAGAGGAAAGCUACAACUGAGAAGAAGGGGGCACAGAAGAAAGCAGAUGUUGAAAAAAGAGAAGAAGAGAAGAGAUGUGUUGCUACUAAAAGGGAAGAGGCUUGUUGCUGCUAAAAGAGAAGAGAGGAGGCUUAUUGUUGCACAGAUAGAAGAACAACAAAGGUUGAACAAUGCACAAAGAGAUGAGCAGCAAAGAUGGUUGCUGCAUAGAGACCAAAGAGACCAGUAGUAAUCCACGAUCAAGCAGACUGGAAAAGGAGAGCCGAAAGAUCAUCAAUGUUUGGUGUCUUUAGAGACUAGGUACAACUAGUAGUGUUUGGUACCUUCAUGAUCAUGUAAUCUUCUAUGUUGGUAUGAUCAUGUAUGGUACCUUGUUGCUCAUGUAGACUACAUUAAGCUGGGAUGGUUUGGUCAUUUUGCUACCUCUUUUGUUCAUUUUGUUACUAGUUAUGUUCAUGGAUGGUGUCUAGGUAUGAAACAAGGCUACUUAUUUGGUUAUUUUGCUACCAGUUUUCAUCAUGUUCACUUCUACCCAAUUGCAUCAAUUUUAAUCGUGUUUAGUGUUGUUCAUCGAUACUACCAUUUUGGUCAUUCUGUAGUUUCGACAAGUGUUGUUCAAUGCAACAACAUCCUACUCUACAUUCUAGAAACUUUGGUCAUUUUAGUUUUGGUCAGUUGUGGCAAAACCAUCUAGGUUUUAUCACUCUUGUUUAGUCAUGGCAAAGUGUGAUUUGCAUUACACAACCACAUCUCUUACAAAUUACAUGUAUAAUUGAUGCAAAUUGCACAUACAUAAAAUAUAGCAUAAACAGGUUCAGCGGAGCAUUACUUUCUUAUCAUACACACCAAUACAUCAUAUAUUAAACCAAAAUAUACCACAUGACAUGGGACAAACUAAGACUGACUAAACCUACUAACUGACACCAUUUAAACAUGACAUGCAUCAACAUCCCAAAAUGAACCUACCGACUAACAACAUCUCUUCUAACAUAGCAUCACUUUUUCAUCAUGAAGACCACACUAGCCACAUGCAUCAGCACCACAAUAGCAACCAGUAACUUCAUGAGCAUCACCAGCUCUCUCCCUAGCCUCAUCAGUGCACAAGCUUGCUGCCUGUUCAUGCCAUUUGCAGUUUCAUUCUUCAUACCUUGCUUAGACCUACUGGUAGCUGCAUUCAUAAUGCUAUGCUCCUGUGCAUUCAAAAGUUCUUCCCUCCGGUUCUCCGCAGCGGCAUCACCAACGAGAUAAUGCUUGUAAACAAGAUACUCGAACUCAACAUAUUACAAUCCCGUGUUACAAAUAGCAAUUAACCUAUCCCAAAAUACAUGCCAAGGUAAAAAAACUCCAAACUUUUCAGCCAAAAUUGAAGAGAAACCCCAUGGAAAUCAAAAGACUAACCCCAUGGUUUCAGCAUUUGUAGAAGAUCCAACCGGCAUGCUUCUCCGGCAUCAGGACGUACAUGUGCACCUUCUUCUUGCAGGAUGGUCGGCAGAUCAGGGGCAACGUCAAUGCCUUAUGGCGAACAGCUGAGGAGCUAGCGGAAGGCAUGAGCACCACAGGGGAAAGAACUGUCACGAGAUGGGAUCUGGUGGUGACCGGCGGACUCGACGAUUGCCGACGAGAAAGGUGGUGGCGGAGCAGUCACAUGCGAGAGGGGGAGAAAGCUAGGGAUUAAAGAGGAUGCGACAUGACUUAGGGAUUUGACGAGGUUGGGAUUUUUGGCUCUGUACAAAAAACACAUCCAUGCAAAAUUGGCCUAAUAUAGCAGCGUACGUGGCGGUCAACAAAUGGUCAAACCAGUCUCUUACGUGACGCAUACGUGUGAAAGUGAUCGUAUUUUCACGUCAAAUCUAUAAUACCUAAAUAGUUCAUCCCCACUAUGCUAUUUAUCUUAACAUGUAGCCUAUCCACAUCAGCAGCCCUGCCAUGUCAGCAUUUAUACAGAGGAUUACAAGCGGGACCCACCACAGUAAACAACAGACACGUUGGCUUCAGUUACCAUGAGAAAGGCUACCCACCGACGAAAUUCAGCCCAACCCAUUACCCUCGCUUUCCUUCCUCCCCUGCUUUCCCCUGUUGGGCCGGCUCUCCCAUGUGUACACAACACCCAGCCUCGCCGCCCCGCCCAGGAUCUGUUGGUCGUUCCCCUCGCCACUCCCUCCAUCUCCGCUUCGACUCACUCCCGCCGGCAUCCACCCUUCGUCCCGCCGCACACUACUCCUGCGGCAGCGGCCACCUCCUUCCCUCCUCUCCCUUUCACCAUCCUUCUCCAUACUUGCGGCACCUGCCACAACUACUUCCCAAGGUAGCAGCGCCUGGUGGUGUCGGGGUUGGGGAUCUUGCUGUGCUCGAAGGAGUCCUGCCACACCGAUCCAGAGGUAAUGUCGUCGGUGGAAUGUCAGGCGGAGGUGCUGCAACAUCAGGCGGCGGCUGGGUGUAGCUGAAUCUGUCCAAGACAGCCAUAUAUGGAGGCCUCCUUUCCAACUGCUCAGUCAUGGACUCGUGUCACAACUGCCCAUCUCAACUUGGCGGCAGCGUCAGCAUGAGUCCACCUCCGCCCUCGGGUGCCGCCUCGGAUGAUUCAAUAGAAAGCAAUGCUCUUUCCUGUUGGUUAUUGAUUUGCUGCCAAGGACGGCCAACUCGCUACUAUGACGAUGGUAUUUGUCGAUUCGAAGGUACUGUACUGUGUUCUUCACAAGAGUAUUUCCUCUUUCCUUCUAAUCAUGUAUAUACAUUCUCACUAAAAAAGGUCAUAGCUACCGUGCACAGCCUACUUCGGCAUCCUCUUUGUAGCUCAUUGCUUCCACCGGUCCAGCCUCUCCUAAUUGAUAUCCAUCUUUAAAAGACUAUUUUAUAUAUGACACUCCCUCUACUAAUAAUGUUCCAGAUGGCCUUCCACUUCCUCUCCCCACUAUCUCCACAAGAAACUGAUGCAUUGUGCUUUAAAGUCUGUUCGGCCUCAUCUCAUUUUGUUCCCAUCAUCCUCGAGUAUGGAUGGGUCUCUACCACAACUCACACUGCCUCCGGUGAGCAACUCCCUCCCAUUUCCUCCAUGUUCUCUAUGUAUGAUAUAUCGAAGAUUGCAUCACAAAUUUGCACUUUCUCAGGCACUACGUGUUAGACAAUGCCAAAGUAGUCAUCUUUUGGUUUUGGAGGGCAUGGGUUUGGUUAUCUACGAGAAGUUUCACAUGUACGUGGACGGCCACGCCGUAUGCCAUUACCUGAUCCUUCUCCUCAAUCAAGCCCAUAUGUUGCUGCCGAUAACUGUUGCACACAUAUGAAUAGAAACAUGAAUAGAGGUUUAUUCCGCACAUAUUUUCUUUCAAAUAUGUUUUUCUCUGCAUAAUAUGUCUUGAGAUUCAUUUCAUCAUCUACUUCUUGGCAUCCAUCAAGCAAUAGCAUCUCGAGAGCAACAUUCUUCAAACCAACUUGCAACAGAAGAAUCGUCCACAUCGACAUCUCAAACACAGAAUAUGAUAUUUGCAAUUUUACCGACGGGACAAUUGGUCUGGACUCAAUCUAGAAACCAUUAUUAUUGUUUAUGUGUUUGACUCAUAAAAAAGGUUUUGGAGAGAUAUCAUGCACAUAGUACCUGUUAGAUACAGACAGAAAAUACAAGAAUUACUCAUGCCUUACUAAGAAGGUAUGACUUGCUGAUUUUUCUUUAUGUAUAUACACUAGAUUAACCAUUCAUUUAACAAAGCUAGACUAAAAUUUAAUCCUAAAAUCUUAAAAGUGCACGCGCGCUCGUUGGAGAGAACGAGCGGCCGCUUUGUCACUCGCAUGCAUACAUGCAUGUAUUGUCUGCUAGUGCAUGUGACUACUAGCAUUAAAUGCGGUCAUACUAGUCACAUGUGACGAAAAACAGAUCUACGUCUAUUUAUUUCGGGUUUUUCAAAUUUUUAAAAAGUCAUAUUUUUUAAACCAUGCGUCGGAAUUUAGAUCCAUCUUCAUUGUUGGAUUUCUCGUGACGAGAUCUUUGAAACUAGAUCCCACAUGGGUAUGUUUCGACGAAAUUUUUUUGAUACCAACUUUCGUGCUAUAUGGUGCAACUAGUCUACUGUCCCGACCAACUACCUAGUAGUCGUUGUGCAACCCUCCUCCCUACUCGUGGAUGCGUAGUUUUUCACUGUUGGCACACCCUACCCCCACCUCCCCUGCAAGGGAUAUGUGCAACUUAGUCUAUUGUUCAAGCCAACUGCCUAUUAGUCAAUGUGCAACUCCCUACGCUCUCUAUUUGUGGACCUAUAUUUUCAGUUGGCGGGAUCAACAAACAGAGUUGCACAUAGUCUGCUAGGUAGUUGGCCAGGGGCAAUAUACGAAGUUGCACAUCUCACAGACAAGGACAGUUGAAUGGUAAAAAAUUGCAUAUAAACAGAGUACUAAAGUUGCAAAACUCACUAGGGGGUGGUUUGGGCCAUGUGCUAGCAGGAAAACUACACAUCCAUGGGGUACGAGAGAAAGUUGCAAAUCACAGUUAGACAGUUGGCCGUGGCAGUAUACAAAGUUGCACAUCCACUGUUAGGUUGUUGGCCGAUGCACCAAAUAGUGAAGCACAUCCACGGGCAGGGAAAAGUUUCAAAUCAACUACUAUGCAGUUGGCCUGGGUAACAGACGAAGUUGCACAUCUCAUUGGAAGGAGUUAGUUUUGCACCAUCGUUGAAAUCUGCAUGUUUACGGUAUUGGAGAAAAGUUGCACAUCCCUGUCAGGUAGUUGCACACCGACGGCUAGGCAGUUGCACAAAACAAGAAGAAAAUUGCACAAAUUUUUUUUCAUCAAAACAUAGCCAUGCGGGAUCUAGUUUCGAAGAGCACGCCAUGAGGGUUCCAAAAGUGAAAACGGAUCUUAAUUUCGACGCGCGGUUUGAAAGUUAUGAUUUUUUAAAAAACUGGAAACACAAAUUAAAUACGUUCACAUCUGUUCACAUGGAUACUUUACAAUUAUUUAUCCUCUUCACAUAUGUCCACACAUGUUUACUUUUUCUAAUAUGAGUCAGGGAGACAAAAACUUACCUUUUUCGGCUGGCCACCACGGGGUGCUAGUGGGCAGCCGGCCGCCGGCUAGACGCGUCCAAAUUUAAUAUUACUCCAUGUGGAGGAGACAAUCAAAUAGGAAGGGUGUUAUAUGGUGGAUUGUAUAUGCUUGAAUGCAUCGUGUUUCUCUUUGCCUUUUUCCCUUCGUUUUCCCCCAAAAACCACCCGAGUGCCCAUUGCUCAACAUGUAUGAAGGUACUUUUUUUCAUAAAUCUGUAUAUUCCAAACUGUGUUUGUCCUACAUUUCAAAUGUCAUCAUCAAGAUCUCUAUUAUAAUGACAUCUCUGUUUUUUCACUAUUCAGUAGUAUAACCAUUUGCUUCAUUUAAACUUUGUGGUUUAAUCUAUAUGUGCUAUUCAUAACAAGGGAUUUCAUCUUCUGCUAUUAUCCACUGUGUAAAUUGUCUCGGCAAUGAUCUCUACUAAAUUUGUCCAUAGUUGAUUCAGUUAUUGUCACAGCCCUAGCUUAGCUUUGCUUACUCUUGCAUGAUCAUCAUGGCAUCAUGUUUAUUUUUUUAUGAAACUGAAAGGGGGAUGACAGAACCCUCAACACCCCCCUUAAACCAACUAGGGUUUACUAAAAUCUUUUUCAAUAAUUUCAAAAUGCCCUUUAAAAAUGUUCAUCAUUUCUGGAUCAAGGUGGAAGCAUCUACCGAAAAUGGUUGAAAUUUUUGCAGGACAUAUUUGGACUUUGAAUUAAUUCAACCAUAUUUGAAUUGGAGCUAUUUAAAUGCUAUAUAUAUUUUAGAUGCUCCAAAAAUGUUGGAAAUUGUUAAGGGUCACUGGAAUAACUCAGAAAGCACCCAUAAUUAUUUCCAGGAUUUUAUGAAUGGUUUACUAUUUAUUUUAAACCAGAACAGAAAAACAGAAAUUAGAAAAGGUAACAGAAAUAAAAGAGAGAGACAGAGGAGCUACCUGGGCUUACCUGGCCACUUACCUCGGCCCAGCACUGUAGCUGGCCCAGCCCAGCCGUCGCACCGUCUUCAACCUCCUGCCAAUAGGCAGGAGGGCGUGUGCUCGCUGCGCGCCGGCACGUGUUGGCCACCUCCUGCAUCCCUGCCUAUCUCCCCAUCGCCCUGAGGAUGCCACACACUCCCUCUCAACCCUGGCACUCUCUCCCGCGCCUUCUCCCCCUCCUCUGGCUCCCCCUCUUCCCCACCGAGCGGAGCUCGUCGCCGCCGCUCGCUGCUGCCGCAACCACCGCCUCCCCCUCGCUUCUCCGACAUGUCCACGAGCUUCACCUCGACUUCCUCAUCCUCUCCACCAAGCCAUGGAGCUACGGACGCGCCACAACGUCGCCAGCAUCGCUGUUUCCAUCGCCGGCCACCGUGGAUUCUCGCUGUCGAUUCAAGAGCUACCGGACGUCCCCGAGCCCGCUGAGACCGCCGUCCGACUCCUUGUGAGCUCCGCCGUCGUUACCCACUCUUCCCCGCAUCGUUUCCUUGCUGUAGCGUCGUUCCCCGCCGUCACCGAAGCUCACCGCCGCCCGGCCUUGUCGCUGCCGUGGCUUGAGCUCGAACGAGUCGCGCCCGUGCACCUCACCGAGCUCCUGGCGACCCCAGGAGGCUACACAAUGUUUUACUUCGCUCGCCCGUGCUCCGCAAUGCCGUUUUCGCCGAGGUCCAAACUCCGGCCGCCGCAGCCGAGCUCGCCGGCGUCAGCUCCGGCCAUCCCAGCUACUGCUGCUUGCUGGAAUGGAUGCGCGCGUGUGCCAGCAAUCCGUAGCCGCAAAUGGCGCGCCAAACCGUCGACCGUGGGCAAAUCCCGAGCCCUUCGCUGUCUCGGGCUUCGCCGGCGACAAGCCGCGGGUCAACUCCGGCGAGUUGACCUGGGGGUUUGACCCCGUCUGACCAGGGUUUGACCAUCCUAGGUCACUGACGCAUGGGGCCAGCCCUGCUAAUUAACCCAGGUUAGUGUUAAUUAUUUAGUUAGUUAAUUAGCCUCUGACGUGUGGGCCCAUGCCUUAACUAAACUAGAUUAGGUUUAGUUUAAUUUUAAUUAACCUUGUUAGUUAAAUGUGUCACUGACGUGUGGACCCCACUGUCAGGUUUGACUUGGACCAGCCCCUUUGACCCGCUGAUGUCAUGCUUACGCAUUGCUGAUGCAGUUAAUCAUUUUCUGGAUUAAAAAUAAUUCAGAAAACUCCAGAAAUUAGUAUAAACUUCUAAAAUUCAUAGAAAUUCAACCGUAACUCCAAAUGAAAUAAAUUAUAUAUGAAAAAUUAUCAGAAAAAUCCAAGGAAUCUGAAUAUGGCAUUUUCAUGCAUGUUUGAACAACUUAACCUCACUGUUUAGUCCAAAACAUGAUAAUGCACUAUUUGAAUUCAUAGUUUGAAUUUGAAUUUGAACCUAGUGUUCAAACCAACUCCAUUUAACUUGUUGCUAGUUGCAUUAGCUCAAUCAACAGCAUAUUGCCAUGUCAUGAUCAUGCAUCAUAUUGUUGCAUCGCAUUGAUUGUGUUCUUCCUUAUUUGCCGGUAAUUGUCCCCUCUCGGUAGACGCUGCUCCGACGCUGUGAUCGUUGACACUAAUGAAGACUCAAUGUUGUCUUCAGAAGUGCCAGGCAAGCACAACCCCCUUGUUCAUUCCGAUACAAGCCCGCUCUCUCGCUCCUGCUCUCUUUUACUGCAUUAGGACAACAACGAUUCAUAUGUUACUUGUUGCGGUAGUUAAACCCCUUAUUCUCUGCAUGACCUGUCAUUGCCACAGUAAAUAGAUGAAACCCACUAGCAUGAGUAGGAGUUGUUUGAGCCCUGAUGUGCCUACUCAUUCAUGCUUGUUUGUCAUGCCUGCUAUUGCAUAGAGUUGUGUCAGGUCUGAUUCAUCGGGAAUGAAUCGGAGGUGUGUGAACAUGUCCUACUUUGUGUGAACACGUUUUGGUAAAGGUAGCGGUGAGAGGCCAUGUAGGAGUACAUGGUGGUUUGUCUCAUUGAAACCGUCCUUAGGAACUGAGUUCUGUGUAUGUGAUCCAUGAACAGCUACUACCACUCAUUGGGAUCCUUAAUUGACCCUCUCGGCUUCUUAAUCACCCUAGUACUCUGUCUAGGAGUUGCAACUAGUUUCUGGUGUUUGUAGGCUAUGUGUUGGCGGCCGUGCGUAGCGCUGACCUUAGGGGUGGGCUAUGAUGCGGUAGAUACACCGUGGCACGGUGUACUGGGCGCCCGUUUGGUGUCUGGGGAACCCUGUUCACAUCGUUCGGGGCCGUAUGUGGAAACCUCGGCCGGACUCCCUGCGGAUGGAACCUGGAUAGGCGAUAAACCUGGACUAGAGACUUGAGUGUUUAGGUAGGCCGUGGCCGACACCCUCAUUGGGCUUCCGCUUGAAGGUUGCCGAGUACAUCUCAUGUAAACGACGAUAAGUGGUGGGAGCGUGUGUGGAGUACACCCCUGCAGGGUUAUCAUUAUCUAUUCGAAUAGCUGGAUUCCUCGGAUAUGGAAACUUGGACCCCUUGCAUAGUUCAUAGACAAGCGAAAGUGGAUACUCUAAAACCCGCAAGAUAAGCGUGAGUGCUAUGGAUGGCGUUCUCGUAGGGAGACGGGAGCGGAUCCAUAGUGGUGUAUUGAUAUGGUGAAUAUGUGGACUCAUGUGCGCCACCUCAAAAGAGUUACUUGCGGUCAUAGUUUAGGUUAGCCACUGAGUGAAAGCUGGCUUGCUGCAGUUAAACUCCACCACCCUCGUCGUUGAUACUGAUGCAUAUGUAGCUAGUUCUGAUGUAAGUCUUGCUGGGUACAUUUGUACUCACGUUUGCCUAUUUUAUGUUUUGUAGAGAGACGUCAGUCUCGCUAGUAGUUCCGUGUGGGCUUCGACGUUUAGCUUGAUACCUCAGCUACGAUCUUUUGCCCUCGGCAGGAUCUGGUAGAUAGUCAGGCUCCUCAGCCUUCUUCAUUUUUAGUUGUCUGUACUCAGACAAGUUAAGCUUCUGCAUGUGCUUUGACUUGUAUGCUCUGAAUGUUGGGUCAUGAGACCCAUGUUUGUAAUAUCUCGCUCCUCGAAGCCUAAUAAAUAAAUACUUGAGUCGUAGAGUUAUGUUGUGAUGCCAUGUUGUAUUUACACAUGUCGAGCAUAUUGUGUGUAUGAUUGAAAUGCUUGGUAUGUGUGGGAUCCGACAACCUAGUUGUUUAUCCUUGGUAGCCUCUUUUAUGGGGAAAUGUAGUCUUGUGCUUCCAUGAGCCAUAGUAGUCCGCUACAGCCCGGAUCACUGGAGUCCUGCUAGCCCAGCACUACUGCUCCGAAACACUUGACUGGCCGGCAUGUGAUUCACUUCAUUCAUGUGUCUGUCCCUUCGGGGAAAUGUCACGCGGUGACAUCCAGAGUCCUGCCUAGCCUGCUACAGCCCGGUUCACCGGAGUCCUGUUAGCCCAGUGCUACAGCCCGGAUUCACACGCUGCUGACCUACAUGCUCGAUGUUGAUUCAUGUAUGCUUGUCCCCAUAAGUUAGUGCCACUUUGGGUUCACGACUAGUCAUGUCGGCCCGGGUUCUCUGUCAUAUGGAUGCUAGCGACACUAUCAUAUACGUGAGCCAAAAGGCGCAAACGGUACCGGGCCAUGGUAAGGCGACACCCGUGGGAAUACCGUGCGUGAGGCCGCAGAGUGAUAUGAGGUGUUACCGGCUAGAUCGAUGUCACUUGGAAUCGGGAUCCUGACAGUGUUGGUAUCAGAGCCUGAUUGCCUGUAGGAUUACCAAGCCAAACUGGUCAAAGUUGAGUCUAGAAAUGCUUUAGUUAUAUAAGGGAAUUGAUUGUGGAAGGAAACGUAAGGCUCUUUUUACUCCUUAUACCUCAUGGCCUUCUGAUCCGAGUCAACCUCUUCUCUUCUACGGGGAUUUAGAACUAGGCCUUCUCAUCUAUCUAUCAGGAUGACGAGUUACUAUGUUAGAGACUUAUAGGAUUGAUGUAUUCAAGCCUCUGUUCAGUUCCUACUACUUCCAUGUGUUCUUAGUUGAUCUCAGAACCUUGAUAUGGUGAUGUUGAGCGGUCAUGCCACUAUUUUAUAGGAUGUCUCAAAUAUUUUUGAGCAUUUACAGCCGUUAUGUUGUCCGAGUCAUCCCAGGUUUCUAAACAGUCUGAUGCAUUUGCAAAUCUCUUCAUCCCGUUUCCGAUGUCCUUUUGGGCCAGAUUAAGCACACUAAUCAGUCUGUUGAGGUACUCCAUUGCCUUGAUAUUUAUGUUGGAGCUAGUAUUAUGAUCCUAGGCAUUCUAGCGAACCACCCACUAAUCUAGCAAUGCUUUAUAUCCCCAGUGUGAAAAUUCUGGCUACCUUUCUUGAAAGCAUCCCGUGAUGUUAUUUAGUUAAUAGGUAUUCUACUACUGGGUUUUGAACCCGAGAUUCACCCUACCUCAUGUUGUUAGUAUUUGCUAGUUCCCUUAAGAUAUUAGUAACCAUGUGAUAGUCCUCGAGGUCUGUGGUAUAUCGUUCUUCCAAUACCAUGAGCCAAUAUGGCAGAAGUUAUUUGAACCAAAAGAUCACAAUUAGAGUACUCUUGAGGAGUUCUCCAUUCAUAAUUGUGACCCUGCCAGUCCUACCUCUCGGCAUGGGUUAUCCGGAAGAAAUAUGUUGAGCUUUGUUCAACAUACUAAUCUGUGCAUCCACAACUCAGAAAGAUAUAUGUUCCUUGAGUUGAUCCUCCUCAGCUGUAUUCCGACCCUAGUCUAUCAAUUGAUAGUCAGGAAUAGUUGUGCAUUCGUGUUCAUCGAUGCCUAUUAUUCUUGUGGUCCGUCAAGCCAUUCUAUUCUAGAAUACUAGGAGAAACAAGCUCCAGUACCUCAUCCAUUUCUAGGAUUGGGUCAAAGCAGUUGUAUUCCGCAGAUCAAAUGCCAAUCCAGCUUUUGCUCUGUUCUACCUUGGAGUGUUACCAUCUUUAUGUCAAGAAUGUCAUGAGAAUUGUACCACCUCUUAUGAAUUCUUGACGCAGUGAUACUUCUCGCUAUCAUUAUUCAUUCCUCGGUCCCGUGUUGUUGCAACCGGAAUGCCGACAAGUGAACCAUGAUGUGUGAAAUUUAUACUCCUAGCAACCGUGUUGCUUGGUAGUUAAUGGACAAUAUUCUCAUUCUUAGUGUGAUGGUUAUUAAAUCAUCAUCCUAAAAUUGAUCGUGCUACCUAGUCUUUAUUUCUGGUGCACUCUUCGAUCAAUGAGUGAGGAUUAUUCAACCCCUUGCUUAUUUGAUCAGAUAGUCUUGCCUUGAACAGCAAGAUUGUUCUCGAGCUUAGUAACAUAUUGGUGGUUCGUGAUUUUCCGAAGAUCUUCUCGGAAGUAUUACUUGGUUGUUACCUGACCGCUAUGUUGAGUUCGUGAUCAAGUUGGUUUUCUUGUAAACCACCCCUUCUCCAAGAAUCCGUGUUGGAUAUCCCUGAGCUAGUUGGUUAAGCUAAACAACAACUUGGAGAGUUGGAAGAUAAAAGCUUGUCUGACUUAGUUCAUGUUAAGGGAUAUCUUUGUGUGUGUGUGUGUGUGUUGAAGGAAGAUGAUAUCUCCAUCAAUUGGUCCUCGUGAUCAGUUGUUGGAUCUAUUGCCUUGUCAAAACUUUGACUUGAGUAUGGGCUAUCGUCAAGUCAAAUUAGAACCAACGAUGUUCGUAAUGUUGUCUUACUCGUGGUUGAUCCCUCGAGCAUACACCAUUACAUCUUUUGGUCUGUCCAAUGCUAUCACCGUGUUCACAUGAUGGUGGAGGUCCAGUGAUAUGGAAAUUCCGAUGAGUUGUUGUUGAGCCCAUCCGCAGCAUUUUGUCUCCCCCAUGGGUCAUGUUGAACAUCAACCUAGUGUUGGAAACUUUGUAAGCAAUGUCUUCGUGUUCCGUUCAUGAAGCUUAUGCUUGGAUGGAAGAAGUGACUUCCUCGAAUUCAUGUGCUUUAGGUGCAAGUUUCCGCCGUGAAUUUGAGAAAGUUUGUUUUUGUUUCCUCUGGUACCAUCCCAAGUCAGUCAUGCAUGUGCGAAGUGUGCUAUGGUUUGACAGGCUCGCUACCUCCAUUCCAUUUGUAUUCUCUAUCACACCAAGCCACUGGCUGAUUUGUUCAGGGAAAAGAAGUUUCUUCAUAAGAGCUAAUCAUAUGACUUAUACAAGGACUUCGAUAUCCUUGAUGAUGGUUCCCAACUAGGACUCGGUAGUGUUUCAUUGUAAGACUACUAUGUGGUCAUGCUUGUCUGGGACAACAUGUUCACAUGUGUUUAGCAGAACCAGCUCAUAUUUUGGAGCUUACUACCAUAGUCCAUUUCCUGAGAAUCUCGCAAUGACAUCUCGUCGAUUUGUGUUGCAAACUUUCAUUUUCUUUCUAGACUCGAUGAGUCUGGAAUAUCCUAACACCAACCAGAUCUGAAUCUCAGGCAGAUAUGAUGGUUGGAACGUACUCCAAGAACUAUACUGUUGGUCCCUCUAUAACCGGUAAUGUGGAUGUCGUGGCCAAUACACCUAACCGGAAGGCCUAUUAUUGUAGUAUCCUGGUUGAAGAAGUUGGUCAUCUCCCCAUAAAGAUCUCGCAGGAUCUGCCUCCGUAGUUAUUCCCUAUGGAUUCUUGAGCUUCCGAAGUCUGACCUUUUACUUGAUGUUCUAGAUAUCAAACCAUAUCUAUGAAUGGAUUACGCUAGCACAUCAAGGAGAACAUUAGAGGCGGAGUGCUAAAUGUCUCUCGGUCGAUCGUCCAGAUUCUGUUCCCUUAGCCUCGCUAAGGGAAGAUCUGAGAAGGUGUUAUCUUCCUUUGUAUCCGCAUCAUCCAUCACUAGUCAUCAUGGUAGUAUGUCGUGUUGCCAGGAUCCUUGCCACGAAUGUUGGUAGAACCUUGAUGAAUAUGGAAAUGCUCAAGUUCUUGAGAGCACGCGUAAGCAAAAUCAUCCCUUGUGUUGUCUUCAACAAGGUAGUCCACAUCAUCCAUCCUAGUCUGAGUAUGCCAUCUCUUUGAGCUAUCUCAAACAAUCAAUUGUAAAUUGCCUUAAGCUGGUAUAAAGAGUUUCAAUGAUCUCUGAAUCAAAAGUAAUUCUUUUUGCCACUUAAGGGAAUAUUUUCGCGAGUCACCUUCCUUAAGAUGUCUCGUUAUGGUAUCAUGGCAAUUAUCUCCUCGCUACUUUGAAACCAUGCACCAUCCUACUUAAGCGUGGAAUUGUUGCCUACCAAAUUUGAACCUUUAUCAUCCGCUUCUUUCCAUCACCCCUGAUGUGUGUUUCGUGUCUCGGCUCAAGAGAUGUUUUAUAUCUCACUCCAUGAGUUGAUCUUGAGUGCUCGAUCUCCGAGGAGAUCGAUUCCUGUAGAAUUUCUUUCUGACGUCGUCAUGCUGGAUGAAGAUCCCGAAAGCAAAGACGUUAAGAUCAAGAUGACGCAAUGAGUCAACAUCCUCGGGAGGGGCAGUUGGAUCGAGAAGACUGCAAUAGUUUUGUAACCCCCCUUCCUUCUUACCUCACGUCUUGAAUCUUGGGCCGAGAUUCUUGUUUAGUGGGGGUGAGUUGUCACGGCCCUAGCUUAGCUUUGCUUACUCUUGCAUGAUCAUCAUGGCAUCAUGUUUAUUUUUUUAUGAAACUGAAAUGGGGAUGACAAAACCCCCAGCACCCCCUUAAACCAACUAGGGUUUACUAAAAUCCUUUUCAAUAAUUUCAAAAUGCCCUUUAAAAAUGUUCAUCAUUUCUGGAUCAAGGUGGAAGCAUCUACCGAAAAUGAUUGACAUUUUUGCAGGACAUAUUUAGACUUUGAAUUAAUUCAACCUUAUUUGAAUUGGAGCUAUUUAAAUGCUAUAUAUAUUUUAGAUGCUCCAAAAAUGUUGGAAAUUGUUAAGGGUCACUGGAAUAACUCAAAAAGCACCCAUAAUUAUUUCCAGGAUUUUAUGAAUGGUUUACUAUUUAUUUUAAACCAGAACAGAAAAACAGAAAUUAGAAAAGGUAACGGAAAUAAAAGAGAGGGACAGAGGAGCUACCUGGGCUUACCUGGCCACUUACCUCGGCCCAGCACUGUAGCUGGCCCAGCCCAGCCGUCGCACCAUCUUCAACCUCCUGCCAGUAGGCAGGAGGGCGUGUGCUCGCCGCUCGCCGGCCACCUCCUGCCUCCCUGCCUGUCUCCCCAUCGCCCUGAGGAUGCCACACACUCCCUCUUGACCCUGUCACUCUCUCCCGCGCCUUCUCCCCCUCCUCUGGCUCCCCCUCUUCCCCACCGAGCGGAGCUCGUCGCCGCCGCUCGCUGCUGUCGCAACCACCGCCUCCCCCUCGCUUCUCCGACGUGCCCACAAGUUUCGCCUCGACUUCCUCAUCCUCUCCACCAAGCCAUGGAGCUACGGACGCGCCACAACGUCGCCAGCAUCGCUGUUUCCAUCGCCGGCCACCGUGGAUUCUCGUCGUCGAUUCGAGAGCUACCGGACGUCCCCGAGCCCGCUGAGACCGCCGUCCGACUCCCUGUGAGCUCCGCCGUCGUUACCCACUCUUACCCGCGUCGUUUCCUUGCCGUACCGCCGUUCCCCGCCAUCACCGAAGCUCACCGCCGCCCGGCCUUGUCGCCGCCGUGGCUUGAGCUCGAACGAGUUGCGCCCGUGCACCUCACCGAGAUCCUGGCGACCCCAGGAGGCUACGCAAUGUUUUACUUCACUCGCCUGUGCUCUGCAACGCCGUUUCCGCCGAGGUCCGAACUUCGGCCGCCGCAGCCGAGCUCGCCGGCGUCAGCUUCGGCCAUCCCAGCUACUGCUGCUUGCUGGAAUGGAUGCGCGCGUGUGCCAGCAAUCCGUAGCCGCAAACGGCGCGCCAAACCGUCGACCGUGGGCAAAUCCCGAGCCCUUCGCCGUCUCGGGCUUCGCCGGCGACAAGCCGCGGGUCAACUCCGGCGAGUUGACCCGGGGGUUUGACCCCGUCUGACCAGGGUUUGACCACCCUGGGUCACUGACGCAUGGGGCCAGCCCUGCUAAUUAACCCAGGUUAGUGUUAAUUAUUUAGUUAGUUAAUUAGCCUCUGACAUGUGGGCCCAUGCCUUAACUAAACUAGAUUAGGUUUAGUUUAAUUUUAAUUAACCUUGUUAGUUAACUGUGUCACUGACGUGUGGACCCCACUGUCAGGUUUGACUUGGACCAGCCCCUUUGACCUGCUGAUGUCAUGCUUACGCAUGGCUGGCGCAGUUAAUCGUUUUCUGGAUUAAAAAUAAUUCAGAAAACUCCAGAAAUUAGUAUAAACUUCUAAAAUUCAUAGAAAUUCAACCGUAACUCCAAAUGAAAUAAAUUAUAUAUGAAAAAUGAUCAGAAAAAUCCAAGGAAUCUGAAUAUAGCAUUUUCAUGCAUGUUUGAACAACUUAACCUCACUGUUUAGUCCAAAACAUGAUAAUGCACUAUUUGAAUUCAUAGUUUGAAUUUGAAUUUGAACCUAGUGUUCAAACCAACUCCAUUUAACUUGUUGCUAGUUGCAUUAGCUCAAUCAACAGCAUAUUUACAUGCCAUGAUCAUGCAUCAUAUUGUUGCAUCGCAUUGAUUGUGUUCUUCCUUGUUCGUCGGUAAUUGUCCCCUCUCGGUAGACGCUGCUCCGACGCUGUGAUCGUUGACACUGAUGAAGACUCAAUGUUGUCUUCAGAAGUGCCAGGCAAGCACAACCCCCUUGUUCAUUCCGAUACAAGCCCACUCUCUCGCUCCUGCUCUCUUUUACUGCAUUAGGACAACAACGAUUCAUAUGUUACUUGUUGCGGUAGUUAAACCCCUUAUCCUCUUCAUGACCUGUCAUUGCCACAGUAAAUAGAUGAAACCCACUAGCAUGAGUAGGAGUUGUUUGAGCCCUGAUGUGCCUACUCAUUCAUGCUUGUUUGUCAUGCCUGCUAUUGCAUAGAGUUGUGUCAGGUCUGAUUCAUCGGGAAUGAAUCGGAGGUGUGUGAAUAUGUCCUACUGUGUGUGAGCUAAGUGUGUGAGCACGUUUUGGUAAAGGUAGCGGUGAGAGGCCAUGUAGGAGUACAUGGUGGGUUGUCUCAUUGAAACCGUCCUUAGGAACUAAGUUCUGUGUCUGUGAUCCAUGAACAGCUACUACCACUCAUUGGGAUCCUUAAUUGACCCUCUCGGCUUCUUAAUUACCCUAGUACUCUGUCCAGGAGUUGCAACUAGUUUCUGGUGUUUGUAGGCUAUGUGUUGGCGGCCGUGUGUAGCGCUGACCCUAGGGGUGGGCUAUGAUGCGGUAGAUACACCGUGGCAUGGUGUACCGGGCGCCUGUUUGGUGUCUCGGGAACCCUGUUCACAUCGUUCGGGGCCGUAUGUGGAAACCUCGGUCGGACUCCCUAUGGAUAGAACCUGGAUAGACGAUAAACCUGGACUAGAGACUUGAGUGUUUAGGUAGGCCGUGGCCGACACCCUCGUUGGGCUUCCGCUUGAAGGUUGCCGAGUACAUGUCGUGUAAACGACGGUAAGUGGUGAGAGCGUGUGUGAAGAAGUACACCCCUGCAAGGUUAUCAUUAUCUAUUCGAAUAGCCGGAUUCCUCGGAUAUGGAAACUUGGACCCCUUGCAUAGUUCAUAGACAAGCGAAAGUGGAUACUCUAAAACCCGCAAGAUAAGCGUGAGUGCUAUGGAUGGCGUUCUCGUAGGGAGACGGAAGCGGAUCCAUAGUGGUGUAUUGAUAUGGUGAAUAUGUGGACUCAUGUGCGCCACCUCAAAAGAGUUACUUGCAGUCAUAGUUUAGGUUAGCCACUGAGUCAAAGCUGGCUUGCUGCAGUUAAACUCCAUCAACCCCGUCGUUGAUACUGAUGCAUAUGUAGCUAGUUCUGAUGUAAGUCUUGCUGGGUACAUCUGUACUCACGUUUGCCUAUUUUAUGUUUUGCAGAGAGACGUCAGUCUCGCUAAUAGUUCCGUGUGGGCUUCGACGUUUAGCUUGAUAGCUCAACUACGAUCUUAUGCCCUCGGCAGGAUUUGGUAGAUAGUCAGGCUCCUCAACCUUCUUCAUUUUUAGUUGUCUGUACUCAGACAAGUUAAGCUUGCGCAUGUGCUUUGACUUGUAUGCUUUGAAUGUUGGGUCAUGAGACCCAUGUUUGUAAUAUCUCGCUCCUCGGAGCCUAAUGAAUAAAUACUUGAGUCGUAGAGUUAUGUUGUGAUGCCAUGUUGUAUUUACACAUGUUGAGCAUAUUAUGUGUAUGAUUAAAAUGCUUGGUAUGUAUGGGAUCCGACAACCUAGUCGUUUAUCCUUGAUAGCCUCUUUUAUGGGGAAAUGUAGUCUUGUGCUUCCAUGAGCCAUAGUAGUCCGCUACAGCCCGGAUCACCGGAGUCCUGCUAGCCCAGCACUACUGCUCCGGAACACUUGACUGGCCGGCAUGUGAUUCACUUCGUUCCUGUGUCUGUCCCUUCGGGGAAAUGUCACGCGGUGACAUCCGGAGUCCUGCCUAGCCUGCUACAGCCCGGUUCACUGGAGUCCUGUUAGCCCAGUGCUACAGCCCGGAUUCACACGCUGCUGACCGACAUGCUCGAUGUUGAUUCAUGUAUGCCUGUCCCCGUAAGUUAGUGCCACUUUGGGUUUACGACUAGUCAUGUCGGUCCGGGUUCUCUGUCAUAUGAAUGCUAGCGACACUAUCAUAUACGUGAGCCAGAAGGCGCAAACUGUCCCGGGCCAUGGUAAGACGACACCCAUGAAAAUACCGUGCGUGAGGCCGCAAAGUGAUAUGAGGUGUUACCGGCUAGAUUGAUGUGACUUGGAAUCGGGGUCCUGACAGUUAUACUAUAAAUUAGUGAAGUGAGUGGCAGCUAAACCUCCAUCCAGGUUAAAAUGCUCAAGUAUUUUGGAAUGUAUGCACAGAUGGGUUAGUAAAAUUUGGGACGUAGAAUUAUGUUUAUCUAAAAAAAUCUAGAGUAUUGUUUCAUAGUAUUUGGCCAUGCUGCAUGUAUGUGGUACAAACAAUACGAUAUAGAUGUGCAAUUUCUGGUCUUUAACAAGUACAAAGUGAGCAACACUCUUCAAAACUAUCAUAAAAUGCAGAAAGUGCUGCCCAGGCUAGCCUUCUAGGUGAGUUUCGUUCAUGUCCUUCCUUGCUGCUAUGUCGAUCACUGCUUAUAAUUUUUAAAAUGCCAAGCAUUUGCACCUACUGGCUCAGAUUACUUUCAGUACAUCAAGAAAGGAAUCCCACACGUACAAUUUGGUCACAAGAAAAAGGCACAAGCGUCGACAACUCUAGCGAAAAUUAGCCACAUAUUUUGAUUAUUUGAUAUGUUAACAGAGGGAGUAUCUAUCAAAUAAUCAAGUAAAAUAUAUUUUUUACUUUUUGCUCAAUAGAAUUUUCGCAAAAUUAUUGCAACAAAGUUCCGCAACAACGCGCCGGGAAAUUAUCUUGUUAUAUAUAAUGACCAUAACAAGCGUAUUCAGAAGUCUGGUGACCAUAUCAUGCUUUUGCGCAUGUGCGCGGGAGAUGCGAGAGCUUGAGCUGAGCACAUCGGUCCUCUCUUGUGUGUGUGUGGUCUAUCUGAUCCAACGAUUGUGGGUGCAUCAAUCUAUGGCUUUAAAGCGAACGACUUGGGCCUUUGGCCGGCCGACUGGCAUAGAGUAGUGCCCGCUUAUGGCUGGGAUUGUAAUUCAAUCAAGAUAAUAUUGUUGCGCGCAAAAAAAAACAGACCUUUCUUGAAUAUAAACCAAAAUUAAACAUCAUACUAAACAUUAAACAUACUAGCAAUAACGCAUCUACUCGCCGUCCUUGUCGCUGGAGUCGUCCUCGCAGGGCAAGGGCUCGUUGCCGUGGAGGGUGUGGUAGAUGAGCGUGCUGGAGAGGGUAUAUAUGAAUUGGCACUCCUUGAAGAGCGUNNNNNNNNNNNNNNNNNNNNNNNNNNNNNNNNNNNNNNNNNNNNNNNNNNNNNNNNNNNNNNNNNNNNNNNNNNNNNNNNNNNNNNNNNNNNNNNNNNNNNNNNNNNNNNNNNNNNNNNNNNNNNNNNNNNNNNNNNNNNNNNNNNNNNNNNNNNNNNNNNNNNNNNNNNNNNNNNNNNNNNNNNNNNNNNNNNNNNNNNNGCGCUCGGCCGCAGCUGCAUCUCCGGGAGGGGGGGGGGGAGGGGGGGCUCCUUCGCCUCCCACCAGGCGCGCUCGGCCGCCCGAAGGCGCUGGACUGAUGGAUCGAAGAUCCGCCCGAGGCGACGAAAGAUCGCCCACGCUGGCGCUCCGGCGAUGCGGGACAACGUGUCUGCUCCAUGCGCAUUUCCGACACCGGAGGGCGGAGGGAGGAGCUUCCGGCCUCGUCCUCGUUGCAUCGUUUGCGGCCGCCGAACCCCCCGCCACCGCCACGCCCGGCACCCACUGACGCCAUCUCCGGCAACUUCCGGCGGUUCAAUGCGGCGCAAAAUCACAGCAGGAGGUCUAGGGAUUUCUCGCUGGAGGAAGAAUUUCACGGCGGAGGUGGAUGUGGGAAAACGGGACGGGAACCCUAAAAGCCCCGGAGCCCACAUAUAUGGAGGAAUGGAGGGCGGUUUAUGGGCCGCGUGUAAAAGGCCGGGUCCUUUUUAGUGGACUUGUUCAGGCCGUAUUUUUGGUCCAUCCUGUAAAAGCGAUAAAAAAAAGGCAUUUCACCGGAUUUAUACAGGAUCUGCUAGACAUACUGUAAGUAUAUACAACAAAAACAGACGAAACCAUCCAUACAAAUGUCGUCGGAAAAAAAUUGGGUGGAGACCGUCUCCACGGAUCCUUCCCUGCGUACCUGACGUGAGAUUGUGCCACCUGUCCCAUGUUUGCAUCCCACGGCAUCCGCUAUAGCACUCCUUUUUUCGGCUUGUUCCUUCACUCCCGGCGCUUCCGCUCGGCUCAUCGGUACUUGUUAUAUCGGUUCACGAAACUGAAGACGAUCCCCCAUCUGGUUCCACGCUCAGCGGACAGCCAAGGCCGAGCGACGCCGUCGGAGCAGAGUGGCGGCGACGGUAUCGUGGCCCGUGUGUGUCCGUGGGAUAGCUGCUUGAUUUGUCGGCGUCAGAAGAUCCAGAUCAGACUGGCAGCCGCCGUGGCGGCCGUAGUUGGACAUGGAGGGGGCCCUGCUGGCUGAUGGCGUGCAGCGCCAACUCGGCGAGUAUCGUGCGUGCAUGGCGCCGGAGUGCUCUCGUGGCCAUGAGCUCGCCGGAUUUGAUAUCCGUGUGCACCCACUCGUUUGUAAACCAACAACUGAAUGAAUUCGUUUCCCGAUUCAGAAAAAGAGCAGCUUUUCACCGAUGAACCAGCACCUUGCAUAAUAGUUUGAUUUUCUAGCCUUUCGGUGUAGCAAUUUUUUUGUCAAUGGGCAUCACAAUUGUAAUACCCUCUCUCCCUAGAGCAUGACUGUAUAAUAGUCCAACGAGUAUAGUUUUCAGAUUUCAACUAUGUUUGAUAUCACACUGUAUUUCUAUUAUCAGUAAGCAAAAAUAUGUUCCCUUUUUUGCAGCAGUUGUUCAUGUAAGUUUCUUGGAUAGCAUUGUUAUAUGCUCUAUGCUGCCGGCACCAUCGCACGCAACUUGUUUGUGUUCCACAAAGCCUCCUGCAGUUUAGAUGUCAGAGUUUUCUGAACUUCUCUGAAUUAUAAUUGAUGCACUAAUAGUUGAGGCUUGCAAAUAGGUUUAGAGUGGCCGAUUCAUAGAUAGUUGGGGUAGGAAGAGGGAACAAGUAAAGGUUAAACGGAGAAGGUGAUGACCGAGAACAUGAAGUAGACCGUGUUAAGUAGACUGUAUUAUUUGUGCAAUUUCAUGGCCUGCUACGAGGUCGGGAAAGAUGUCAAAUGCCUGCUGAAGUUCUGCUCAAUGGAUUGCAAGGAACUAUGUUAUUUUGGUUACAACGUACUUUCUUCAGUGAAUUUCAAGAUUCAGAAUCUUAUGAUGAAAAUAAUGAUUAAUCUUUAUUGUAAAUUGUUCAGAAUUAUUGAUUGUAAAUUUUCGGAUCUGUAAAAGGAUAGAUACUUGCGAUCAUCUAUAAAUUGAAAGAAAAACUGAUGUUCUUUUACAUGCUCAUAUCUUUGAUUUUGUUGCAUAAUAAAAUGUUGGAUCCUCUCAUUGUUCAAGUAUUCUAACAGUGUCAUGGCUAUGUCAUACUCCUGGACUUCCAUUACAUGCCGCAGCAGCAAGUCUAUGUCGCAAUUUGCUGCGUCCAGGGUCACUGUCGGCAGCGGGCUGUACGAGAUGGAGCAGGAACCGUCCUCAUCCGCGUGAUUUACAUGAUCCAAGACGACAAUAGUGCCGAACGCCGGCGUGGCAUCUCCCGUCCUUCUCGAUGGAGGCAGCACUUCAGGCAGCGGGGCACGACCUGCGGAGGCCAUUGGUGUAUUUCCGGCCCGAUGCGGCCAUGGGAGAGAGAUGGCGGCGAGUCGUUCUGGCGUGCUGCGGCCAUCGCCGAAUCAAGGAACCCACGCGCACCAAUCCAAUCAUGUGGAGAAGACGGCGCCAGUCGCUCGCCAUGGAAACCCUGAUCGCAGCGGAAGUGAUUGAUACGAGCUGAAUAGUUCUUUCUUCGAGCCGAUGCGAAGUACUCGAGCCGAGAAACGUACGUACAGGAGCGGAUGAGAGGAUAGCGUCAGAUGAAGAGCAGGGACAGAUGGCGACAGAUUAGAGCGGGUACGCACAGUCGGGGGUUUGGAGCCCGUCUCCACCCAAUUUCUCCCUUGCACCGUGACCGUCCAUGGCGCCCUCCUUCCUCGGACCUCCUCUCCGCCACCCGCUUCCACGCGCUCGCAUUUCCCAUGCAUCACCAUCCGCGCUUCGCCUCAGACACCACCGUCUCGCCCUCCUCCCCAUCGCCGCGACGCACCACACGCGAAAGAAUCCACCAAUUGCUCUCCCCGGCCGGACGUACGAACAAUGGCACCGAGCAAGCUCCGCAAGGCGCUGGGAGCGGUCAAGGACAAGACCAGCAUCGGUCUGGCCAAGGUGGGCGGCGGCAGCGGUUUCGCGUCGCCGGAGCUCGAAGUGGCCAUCGUCAAGGCCACCAAGCACGAUGAGAACUUCCCCGCCGACGAGCGCCACAUCCGCGAGAUCGUCUCGCUCACGCGCGACUCCCGCGGGUCCGCCAGCGCCUGCGUGGCCGCGCUGUCGCGCCGUCUCGGGCGCACCCGGAGUUGGGACGUGGCGCUCAAGACGCUGGUGAUCGUGCACCGCCUCCUCGCCGAAGGCGAUCCGGUGUUCGAGCAGGAGCUAUUCUACGCCACGCGGCGGGGCACGCGCAUGCUCAACAUGUCCGACUUCUGCGGCCGCGCUAGCGACGACGACGCGUGGGACUACUCCGCGUUCGUCCGCACCUACGCCGCUUACCUCGACGACCGCCUCGAGCACCGGAUACAGGCCAGGCAGGGCGGCCCCAACCGCUGCAAGCUGCUCCGCGACGAGCUCUACGUGUCCCCCGGAGACCGCCUCAGCCGCGAGGGUGUUGACGGGAGUAAACGGGAGGAUGCGGCGGCGGACGCCGACGCCGCCAAGGCGGGGGCGAUCGCGCCGAGGGAGACGCCGACGAGCGAGAUGACGCUGGAGCAGCUCCUCGCCAAGGUCCAGCAACUGCAGCAUCUCCUCGACCGAUUCAUCGCCUGCCGACCCGCAGGUGAGUCCAUCCGUGCGUGCACGCAACUGUUUGCUCACCUUACAUUCUCGUGUGGGAUUCGGAUCAUGCCAUUGCCGAGGUGCACUGACAUGGAACGACACGUCUCAGGCGCGGCGAAGACGAACCGGGUGGUGUCGGUGUCUCUGUACCCGCUGGUGAAGGAGAGCGUGCAGCUGUACUGCGAGCUCACGGAGGUCAUGGCCGCGCUCAUGGAGCGGUUCCCGGACAUGGAGAGCGCGGACUGCGAGCGCGUGACCGGAGUCUUCUGCGGCCUCGCCAAGCAGAUCGAGGAUCUCGACUCUUUCUACGCGUGGUGCAAGGACGCCUACGUCUGCCGCCAGUCCGACGUGCCGGAAGUGGAGGUCAUCACGCAGGAGAGGCUAGAGCUCAUGGACGAGUUCAUCUGCGACAGGCGCGGCGCCGAGUAUCUGCGGAGGCUGCCGCCGCCGUCGCCGGAGCCGUCCAGCCCGGAGCCAGAGGUCGAGGAGUACGACAUGAGCGCCGCCAGGGCCCUUCCGGCGCCCGCGGAGCCGCCGGCUGCCGUGGAGAAGGAGCCCGAUGCCAGCGAGACGGCGCAUGCUGAGCCGGAGGCUCCGCUGAUCACAACCGACGUGGUCGACGAGGAGGCGGACUUCUUGAACUUGAAGGCGGACGCCAUGUCCGGGGAAGAGCACGGGCGGCAGCUGGCGCUGGCCCUGUUCGACGGCAACCCGGCCGGAUCGGCGCCGACAUGCGACGUGUUCGACCCGUCAUCGGCGGACUGGGAGACGGCAUUGGUCGAGUCGGCGAGCGCGCUCGCGAACCAGCGCGCGAUGCUAGGGGGCGGGCUCGACAUGAUGGCCCUCGAAGGCAUGUACAACCACGCAACGGCGGCGAACGCGCAGGCGUUCUCCGGCAGCGCGAGCAGCGUGGCCUUGCGGCCGCCCGGAGCGCCCAUGCUGGCCCUGCCUGCGCCGCCGGGGAUGUGCAGCGCCGCGCCAGGUGGGGACCCCUUCGCGGCGUCGAUGGUGGUGCCGCCGCCGACGUACGUGCAGAUGUCCGACAUGCAGACGAAGCAGCAGCUUCUGACGGAGGAGCAGAUGGCGUGGCAACAAUAUGGCAAGAAUGGCAUGCAAGGGCAGGGGGGCCUGGCAAUGCGAGAGCAGAGACCGCAGCAGCUCAUGCCUCCUGGCGUUUACCAUCGUGCUUCUUAGAUUUCAUGAAAUGUCAUUCGAUCUAUUUACUUUCAUUAUUGGCGAUGAAUUGGAGAUCAGGUAGUCUAAUGUACAGUGAGGUUUAAAUGAAAACAAAUGUAAAGGUUGCAGUAAACAGCGCGUGUUUGACCUCUCUUAUCUGACCAAAAGUUUACGAAGGCACAAUAUUUUUCACUCUAGCGUCUAGCCUACUGGUAGCAUUGGAAAAGCUUGGACAGUGACUUUUAUUACUCCCUCCUUCUCAAAAUAUAAGGCGCUGAUUGACUUUUCUAGUCUUCGUUGCAUAACUUUGACUAUAAUUUUCACAUAUUGUAUGUCCAUAAAAUUAGUAUACGGAAAUAUGAAAUAAAAUUAUUUUGCAAGACAAAUACGACUAUGCCUUUUAUACAUGUUCAGUUCAUGUACUUUGAUACUCCUAUAUAUAUUUGUGGUCAAAGUCAUGCAUCAAAGACCAUACAAAGUCAAACGCGCCUUAUAUUUUGGGAAGGAGGAAGUAUAUCACAAAGAGGUUCCUUAACAACUAAAAUUUCAUAUGUGCGGGUUGAUAGUGGAUGAUUGGGCCGUGUUUCUCUUUGUUGUGCGUGGUGUGGACGAACCACGGCUGUGCGGCUUCGAUGGCAAGGUGUUGUGGUGUGAGGCUACAAGGACGCCCCAAACCUGAGCGGAGAUGUACGGCGAUACAGAUGAACAUCCUGCCUGGUUUUUGCCGGGGCGGCGGCGAUGGCACCCGCGGCUGUCAUUUCUCUCCUUGGAGGUGUCGCCGAGCCGUGUCGCUUUGUUGUCUCCAGGUGAAAGCUUUGAUUGGGUGCAGGAUAGGCACAAUUGCGGCGUUCUUAAUGUCGUCCCUCUGUUGGGAGCAUCGUGUCUGAAGACAUGGUUUGGAGGUCCUUCGUUGCGCUCCUUCGGUGUUCGCCGUUAUCCAUCAUGGAUCUUCUGCGGCGCAAUGUACGGCCGUCGCCGGUGACUUCAAAAUUGUGCUUUUCUCCGGUCUGAUUAAGCCCCGCCAUACACUUGCCACCUCCUUUAGGCAUAUAUAAAGGGUGGAUGAUGCGUCGACGAGGGAAGCUUGACAGGAGCUAGCUCUUUUGCGUUGUAGUUGUUUCGUCUUGGUGUUGGACUAGCCGGAUGUGCAGUGUAUGCUACGCUCGUUGUUCGCAACUAUUUGUAGUUAUCUUGUACUCCCUCCAUUCACUUUUAUAAGUCGUUUCAGACAAGUGAAAUUGUGCUGUUUUGCACACUAUCUGAAACAUCUACAAAGCCUUAUAAAAGUGAACAGAGGGAGUACUUGAAUUAUCUUUCUAAAACUAUAUAUGGUGCGCAAUUUGUGUACUUUCCAGGAAAAAAAUUCACAUAUGUAUAUACACAAUACUUCAAACUGUGACUUGUAUCUCUGCUAAUCUCCCAUGGAAAGAAGCCAAAACCUGACAACAGAAAGCAUGUGGAAAUAGCUGAGACCAAGAUCUGUUUGUGAUAUUAUUACACGCACGUCUUGAAGGAAAACAUGGAGUAAUGAUAUUGCUAGAAGGAUCAGAGAGACUGUUAGGAGCUAGGGUUCUGUUGGUUCUAGGGCGGAGAUUGUAGGGGAAAGAUGGAGGAAGACGAGGUCAAGGGCGCGGCGGCCGGCGGCUGGGCGCGUCCUUGCGUGGUGGAGAAGAGGCGGCGGCGGCGCAAGAGGCGGCUAGGGUUAGGUCUCCCGGCUCCCUAAGGGAAGCCGAGCAAAUACUGAUUGCUUCUUGCUUGAUUAGAUUGAUACAUCUCCUCUCCUUAUGUAGAGAGGUUUACUUGACUCCUAAGAAAACGAUCCUAAUACCGAUAAGAUAACUGGGCUAAGCCCCUAAUAACGAUAAGAUAACUUGGGCCACAGCCCACCUAAUAUGUCGGUCAUAACACUUCUCCCCUCCUGCACAAACAGCUCGUCCUCGAGCUAUAAGGCGGGGAAGCGCUUACUGAACUCCUCGAGGUGAUCAACCAGCAUCAAACACCUCCGCAACAGCUGGGGCGGCCAGGUCGCCGAGCCCGGCGGCGACGGCGUCCUCCUCAAUGUAAUCUGCAGCCUCCAGGUAGAAGAGUCGGGGGCAGACGUGGCCGGGCAUGUAGGUCUCGUCGCAGUUGAAGCACAACCCUUGGCGGCGACGCUCGAGUAGCUCGGCCGAGGUGAACCGGCGGAACGGGCGCGCCGCGGUCGCGGCAAGGUGUGCUGCGGAAGCCUGAGCAGGCUGACCCUGCUCGGAAACAUCCGGCCAGGGUGGCGGCCCAGCGGCCCGGGACGAUGAUGCCUGCUGGAUGGCCACCGCGCGGCGUUCGAACGCACGGGCGUAGUACAUGGCCGUCUGGAGGUCCCGGGGUCCCUGCAGCUCGACGUCCACGCGGAUAUGAUCUGGCAGACCACCGACGAAGAGUUCGGCCCGCUGGUGAGCCGUCACGGCGGACGCGUGGCACGCCAGGGCCUGAAAGCGAUCGAUGUAGUCCUGCACCGUAGAGGUGAAGGGAAGGCGGCCCAACUCCGCCAGCCGGCUCCCACGUAUCGGUAGUCCGAAGCGAAGGAGGCAGAACUCGCGAAAACGCUCCCAUGGGGGCAUGCCGCCCUCGUCCUGCUCGAGGGCGUAGUACCACGUCUGUGCGUCGCCGCGGAGGUGAUAAGAGGCGAGCCAGGUGCGGUCCGACGCGAGCAUCCAUUGCCCCCGGAAGAACUGCUCGCACUGGUUGAGCCAGUUGAGGGGGUCCUCGGCGCCGUCGUAGGUGGCGAAGGCGAGCUUGGCGAAGCGCUGCGGUGUCUGAGCAUGACCGCCAUGAGUGUACGGCUCGGCGGUACGGAGCAGCGAAGAGGAUGGCAUUGGUCCGAUGUGCACAGGUGGUCCGCAGGAAAGCGGUGGCCCGUCGAAGCCAGCGUGGAAAUCCGCGGAGUCGGAGGGCCCGUCGUACGACAGGGAGGACGCCGGCUGGUCGACGGCCAUGGUGUAGACUGGCGGUGGUGACGUCCCGGGCAACCAGGCCGGAAGCUGGGAUGGCGAGGGCGGGAACUGCACUUGCUGAAUCGGCACGCCCGCCGGCGCGGUUGUAGUCAGCCCGGUGCUGGGCGGUGGAGGCGCCGGCAGCGGCAGCUGCUGCUGCCUGGAAACGGCGGAGGUGGCGGGUGCGGCGAUGGCCGCGGCCGGCCAGUGUGGCCAGAUCGGGGCGGUGGCGGGGGCUGGCUGUAGCUGCAGCGGCCCGACCAGCGUCACGGUGGCCCCGGGGUGCGGCGGCUGCCAGGGCUGCCAGGGCGGUGGCGGCGACGACCCNNNNNNNNNNNNNNNNNNNNNNNNNNNNNNNNNNNNNNNNNNNNNNNNNNNNNNNNNNNNNNNNNNNNNNNNNNNNNNNNNNNNNNNNNNNNNNNNNNNNNNNNNNNNNNNNNNNNNNNNNNNNNNNNNNNNNNNNNNNNNNNNNNNNNNNNNNNNNNNNNNNNNNNNNNNNNNNNNNNNNNNNNNNNNNNNNNNNNNNNNNNNNNNNNNNNNNNNNNNNNNNNNNNNNNNNNNNNNNNNNNNNNNNNNNNNNNNNNNNNNNNNNNNNNNNNNNNNNNNNNNNNNNNNNNNNNNNNNNNNNNNNNNNNNNNNNNNNNNNNNNNNNNNNNNNNNNNNNNNNNNNNNNNNNNNNNNNNNNNNNNNNNNNNNNNNNNNNNNNNNNNNNNNNNNNNNNNNNNNNNNNNNNNNNNNNNNNNNNNNNNNNNNNNNNNNNNNNNNNNNNNNNNNNNNNNNNNNNNNNNNNNNNNNNNNNNNNNNNNNNNNNNNNNNNNGGCGGCUGAAGCGGCCAGUGGUGGUGUAGAGGCCCCGUCGGCGCCGCGGGUGCCGAAUACCACGGCAGGGCGGCCGGCCCGGUCACGGCGGCCGGCGACCCGUAGGGGCCGGCUAGGUAUAGUUGUAUCCCCUGGACGGCGGUGACGAGAUCGUUGAGGACCCCGGUGAUCUCCACCGGGGAGUAGACGGCGGCCGAUGGUGCGGUGGAGGGCGCCGUCAUCUGGGCGGUGGCGGCGCCGAAGAAUGCGACCAGCGGCACGGACGGGGAGGGCAGCGGCGCGGUGGAGAAGGCCAGCGGCGUGGUGGUGACGGUCGGCACCGGAAGCGACAGGAUGGGCGGCGGCGAAGACAUGAUCGGAACUGAGCUACCUGAUACCAAGGUGUUAGGAGCUAGGGUUCUGUUGGUUCUAGGGCGGAGAUUGUAGGGGAAAGAUGGAGGAAGAUGAGGUCAAGGGCGCGGCGGCCGGCGGCUGGGCGCCGUCCUUGCGUGGUGGAGAAGAGGCGGCGGCGGCGCAAGAGGCGGCUAGGGUUAGGUCUCCCGGCUCCCUAAGGGAAGCCGAGCAAAUACGGAUGGCUUCUUGCUUGAUUAGAUUAAUACAUCUCCUCUCCUUAUAUAAAGAGGUUUACUUGACUCCUAAGCAAACGAUCCUAAUACCGAUAAGAUAACUGGGCUAAGCCCCUAAUAAUGAUAAGAUAACUUGGGCCACAGCCCACCUAAUAUGUCGGUCAUAACAGAGACUACAUUAUGCCUUUCUCAAUGACUGCACUCUAGGAUCCAAACCUUCAUUUGACUUCAGCAGCAUUAUAUUUAUAUUAGGAAAACACCUGCACUUCAGGACCACCAUUAUUUUCGAUCUUUCAGCAGACAUAUAUUGGGAUUGGUUGAUUUACCUCUGAAGUAAAUACUAAUUUGUCAACAAACCAAACAUCAUUAUUUAUUCUAAAUGUUUAGAUAGGGGACCGCUUGACAUACGCAAACAACUUCACAAGCAAUACAUUUAUCAAAUUCAAAGUGGAUUCGCAAUAGGAAACACUCUGGUGUUCUUUUUCAAAGCCAUAGAAUGAGUGGGUCUGCGAUCAAUCAACAAAUCAACACACACGAACAGCACAAAUUCACACAAAACAAAAAUCGGGAGAAAGAAUCCAGGCAAUACAACUGUAAUCACCUGGCACCUGGAAGACAUCAAGCAUUGUGGCGACAAAAACAUAAUGAUGGUUUACAAUAAUAAUAAUAAUAAUAUUAAUGACGAUGGUUCAAAUACAGUAGUACUACUUUGACAGAAAAUAGAUAGAAGAUGCGACUUAAGCUAUUAAGUUGUCACUAGGUUUAUGGACAACGCAUCAAACAUGGCAGUUAUUACAGAAAGAACAAGAUGGACUGCAGCAUCUCCACCCAGACAAGACAUCUUCCAAACCAGCAGAAAACAGUUUCUCCGCGGUAUAGCAGUAAGCUAAGCUCGGUCUGUGCUCGUGAUUGAGACACAACCAAGUUCCGGCUUCUUCAAUAGAGCAGCAGCCAUGCCAUGAUACAAACACCAUUGUUGGGUCAUCUCGAGCAGGGACCAACAUCCAAGAUCCAUCAAGAGUCACAUCAGACAAUGAUGGACAACCAAAACCAGAAUCAGCAGCAACUUCCAACAUCAAUGACCACAAAGGUAACAGACUUGGUACCUCAAAAGUUGCUAUCUAUGAGAAUGGGUCUUUCAUGGCUGGGUUCAAGCAGUAGGAGCUUGCAGGCUUAUUGGAAACAGAAGGCAUGUCAUCAAAAGUGCUAGGCAUUGGUUCCAAUGGUGGAAGCGGUCCACUUGCUAAGAAAGUUGAUUGAGUGGCACCAUCACCGUAGUGAAGGCCAUUAGAUGAUUGAUCCAGUGGGUACUGCGAAAACUGAUUGUUUGGCACAGACAAAUAGGAGAAGGUUCCACCAGGCAAAUCAUAGGAGAAUGUUUCACCAGAAAAAUCAUAGGAGAAAGUUUCCCCAGGAGCAAACAGAUCAUCCAACCCUAUAUAAUCAUCAUCCAUAGCAAGCCCAGAGUUUGUUUGCUGCAAAUUGUUUUCAAUAACAUCCCCGUUGCUAGCAGGGAAAUUUGCAGCAGGCAUAUCUCCUGACUGGGCAAGUACUGCCAAUUGGUCAUAGAGCUCAGCAGUAUUUAUCUCAAAAGCUUGAGCCUCACGCUCAGACAUUGGAGGCAGACCAGAAUUCUACAACAAAAGAUGUAAAAAGGUUAUUAAAAAAAUAUAAUUCCUUCGGUACAAACAUACAGAAUAUGAUAAGCAAGAAGUCAGCAAGCUAAUACCUCCGGCGAACGUACGUCAUGGUUGGGAGAAUCAUUCAAAAACUUUGUCAGUUCGUCCAACAAUAUCCCAUCAAUUUCAGGAGGCGCAUCAUUGACCUGAUCAGAACAGAUAUUAACAUGUUCGGAAAAUUGAACAGAUUGCUGAGGAGCGGAUGGUUCGUGAAUAACUAUUGCAGUAGCCAAGGCAGAACUUUCGACCUGUGGAUCCUCUACACCUGAGGACGGUGCAAAAGAGAAGAUAGAAGAUCCAACAUCUAAAUUCUCCCAUUCGUUUUCAUCAAAAGGAGCCCCAUAUUGCUCACCAAUCCUUGGGCCAAGCCCACUCUUUUUAAAUAUCUUGCAGAGUACAUAAGCAUCCUGAAACAAACAGACAGCAAAUAUAUUUAAUUAAGCUUGCAGAGAAUUUGAAAGAAAUACUAGGAUCACAGCUUUCUAACUAAAUAUAAAGGCAACUAAUCACGCUCAGUUUCAGCCAUAAGCAAAAGAGCAUGCCUCAAAACAUAUUCCAGCAUGGUAGAAUCUUUCAUAUACAGUGAACAUACUUCAAAAAAGUGAAACAAACAAAAACAUUAGAUAAGAGUUUAAAGUACCUUCGAGAAACCAGCAGACACCAAAGUUUCAUCUUCCAUUUUGUAUUCAUACAUCACCCAAUCAGUCCUGUUGCCUUUCGGUGCCUUGCCUUCAUGAAAAAUCAAUGUUUUCUUCAACCCAACAAUGCGAGAGUUCAGCUCAAUUGUUCUGUCUUUUCCACUUGUUUUCCAAUAACCAUUUGGUGUGGCACGGUUCGUCCUAGACCCUUUAGGAUACUUCUUGUCACGGGGGCAAAAGAAGAACCACUCAAGAUCUUUGCUCUGAAGACAUGAUUUAUCUGCACAGAAAAACAGAAGGUCACAACAAAGUUGAGAACUAAAUUCAACCAAAGUGAGAGCAUUAUGAGAAAUAUAGAUUAAUUUCCAACCAAUUUGGGUGAAAUUAUUACAUAUAAAAAAUAAAACAAUAGAUGAAAAUUACCAGGAAGGUCCCAAGGAGCAAAUUUGUACAGCUCAACCUCUGAGAUAGCUUCAACAAAAAGUUUCUUCCCCAUAAUCUUCCUUUUCAAGUAGUAAGAAACAAGCUCAACAUCAGUUGGAUGGAAACGAAAGCCAGGUGGCAGGCAAGUUUGAGCCAUCACUGCAGUGGGUGUCUUGCGCUCAGUAUCAGCAGAAGAACACAAGAGGUGAAACACAACCAGAAUUGCUUCACCAGAUUAUGCAAUUAACAAUACCAGUAAAUCAGGGAAAUAUCAAGUUUGGCAAGAAAGCUUCAGUCCUCGAAAGACAGAAUUCAAGGCCGCAGAUCAACCAAACUUAAGGAGAGGAGCUCUCAAGAGAACAAACAAGAACCAGAGAAGAGAGCUUCAGAAGAUUGCCGUGUGAGCAGAGGACAGCUCACGUUAUGACAACUAUUCUGAAGGGAGGAUCAAAGGAUGGAUGAGAUUAGACCAGAGGAGAGAAUGGUCCAACCAAAAGCUGGAGGAGAAACAACUUAUGGAAAACCAGGCUUGGCAAGACUCAAGGAAAGCAGUACACCAAGGACUCAAGCGACAAAUGUUUCUGAACUCAGAUGAGAGAAGUUUGAGUCUUGCCAAUUAAACCAACUACCACUGAUUCACAUGAUAGGAAGUACUCGCACAAAACUCCAGAUGAUCCACUUGUAUCAAGUGAAUUCUCGGAAUUUUAUGCAAUAUAUGAACCAGAAGUAGCACGAGUGGAAAUAAGGGGAUCCCUCGCUGACUUCAAAAGACAUGAGUGACUGAGAUCAAAAACCUGCAUGAGAUUAGAAAACAUCGUCAGAAAGGAAAAACAUAAACAGCAGAAAAAUACAGAAUACAUGUGUUCUAUGUUUUAUCCUUCGAUCCAAAUAACUAAAGUCCCAGGAAGCAAAGAAAAGACUGCAUAUAGCAAGUGAAUUUUACAUUGUACGCAAUUCAAAGUGAAAUAGCGCAUUAACAACAUGAAUCUAACCUACACCAUCGCUUCACCAGAUUUUACUAGUAUAUUUCAUAUUGGCUCGGAUGUAACUCAUGAAAAAACUAGUUGACAAAAAGAAAACUGUGAAAAGGAUCAUACAGGACUUUCAGCGCUGCACUUAGAUAACCAAAGAUCAAACCAUUGUGAGCACCUAAUAUAUUUUCACCAAGUUCAGGUACCCCAAAAUAUUGAGCUUAAUCACAAACCACAUCAGUGCAGCAGAAAUAAAAAUAUAUAAUAAGCACAUUAGCAUCCAACCUACGAUCUAACCAAAACUUACACGCUAUGAUACUUCAUAGGCACAGAUGAUAUUAUUAACAAAACAAAAGUAAUUUUUCCCACAAACGGAAAAAAAAAACUAACGGAUGUUUCCUAGAAUAAACUGCCUUGGAUCAGUUCCGGACCAUUAGUUCAACCAUCUAAUAGAAUCCACCGAUCCAUCACAAGGCACCCAAAGGAAUCGAGCCUAAAUAGACGCUGAACAAUCCAAUUCCCGACCAAAUCUCAAACUUUCGCGACGCUACUACAACAUCUGGAUCGCAUAACCCCAAAUCAACGCGUAGAUCGACCGAUCGAUCGACCACAAACCCUAAUCGGCCGUAAACUUCGACGGACGGAAGACCAGACCAAUCCGUGCGGCGAUUGCUUAACCACCACCUCAGAAUCGACGGAUCGGACGCAGAUCGCCCGAAUUGGCCAUCGGAUCGACACGAACCAUGACUCGCAACAAUCGGCCCCGAUCUACCCAGAUCGAUCGAAGGAAGGGAUUGGGGGAGAUCGGGAGGGGCGCUUACGAGGGAGAACCGGGGAAGCCAGCAGGACGAUGGGGGAUGCCGAGGGGGAGGAGGUGAGCGCCGCCGUCUGGUCAAUUGUGGAGGAGAUGAGAUGAGGUGAGGUUUUGGGGGAAGCAAUCUCGCGUCGCUGGGUGCGGGGCUCUUUUAUACCGGAAAAACGCCGGGGGCGUGGUGCUGGGCCGGGACACUGACUGCCUGGGCCCGCCGGUCCGGGAGUAUAGUAGUAUUUUUUAAUCCCCUUGUGCGCUUCCCGGAAACUUCCGCUCCACGCGACGAUUGCCCAAUGAAAAAAAUUAUAUGAGACCAGGUCUCAUAUAAAUCAGGUGAGACCCGCCCUGAUGAAUGACAUGUAGCAUUCACAAAUCACAAAGCAUCUAAUUUCUCCCCCUGAUUUUAGGUGGGGGGUAGGGUGGAUGCUUUGUGAUUUGUGAAUGCCACGUGUCAUCCAUCAGGAUAGGUCUCACCUGCUAAUCCGUGAGACCUGUUCUCAUAGAAUUUUUUCCCAAUCUUUCCUGGCCCAAAAGUCCAGCCCGGGCGUUUGACCUGCGUCUCCUAUUGGCUGCGGGUUUUUUUUUAAGAGGGAAAGAGUGAGAAUUUUGGGGCUGGGGGGUUAAAUGCGUAAUUGUUUCCAUGUUUCGGUAGUUACGAUGCGAUUUCUGUUCUUUGGUUUCUCUGUCCUACUACGGGUGUCGUGGGGCCGCACGUCGCUGAUGGGUGGGGCAGCGGUUGUGUGGGCCACACCGCUCGGGAUGUGGGUCCGCGGGCUCUUGGAGAGAAAAGUCAGCAGCACGACGCGAGUUUGAGAUGUUCCGGUGUCAUUAUCGUGUCAGACGGUGCAUCAUCCGACGCGACACAAGCAGGGUGCUCGCCCUUUUCGUUCAGGAACAUUCGUCUUUUCUCGAUUUGUUGAGGGUCUCUUUUCUGGUUAAUUCCUUUUGAGGAUCGGCGGUCGGUCCACCAUGAUUCUCCACGGACAAACAUAUUCACACGGCCGUAUGAGAACAUGUCCUUUUUGGGUACCACUCGUUCUUCGGCAAGAUUACAUUCUGCAUUGUACGAAGUUUGACCACGAUUGGUGUCUUUCUUUUUUUUUCUUCUUUCUCCUACAAAUAGUGGUACUCCUCUAGUCUGAAAUUGUCCCACUUUCCAUUUGGAUAGUCUCGUUUCACCUUUUUCUCUUGCCCUUUGACACCAGUUGAUAAAAGAUGAGAGCCAUGUAAGAUAUAUCGAGGUGACAUUCUCAGAAAGAAAAAGAUAUAUUGAGGUGACACAAUCGCACUGGGUGAAUGUCCGACCUUCACAUAGAACGAUGCACACAACCAGCAAAUGUCCGACCUCCAUGUAGCACGAUGCACACAACCAAUGAUGGAGCUACAGAAAAAGGUUGAGUCGGCCAGAGAGCACGCCUUUUCCAUUAUGUGUUGUGUUGUGCUAUGCUGAGGCGCCCGGUGUCUGCUUCUGAGCUCCUUUGCUACAUGCAUGUUUUGUUGAGGAACGUAGCAAAUAAUUUUAAAAAAAAAUCUACGUGUCAUCAAGAUCAAUCUAGGAGAUACUAGCAACGAGAGAGAGGGAGUGCAUCUUCAUACCCUUGAAGAUCGCUAAGCGUAAUCGUUGCAAGAACGCGGUUGGUGGAGUCGUACACGCAACGAUUUAGAUCGCGGUCAAUUCCGAUCUGAGCGACGAACAACGACGCCUCCGUGUUCAACACACGUACAAGCCGGGGACGUCUCCUCCUUCUUGAUCCAACAAGGGGAGAGGAGAAGUUGAGGGAGAACUCCGACAACACGACGGCGUGGUGGUGAUGGAGCUCGUGGUUCUCCGGCAGAGCUUCGCCAAGCGCUACGGAGGAGGAGGAGGAGGUGUUGGAGAGGGGGAGGGCUGUGCCAGGGGAAGGGUGCGGCUGCCCUCCCACCCCCCACUAUAUAUAGGGGCAAGGGAGAGGGGGCGGCCCCCCUUAGAUGCAUCUAGAGGGGGCAACGGCCAAGGAGGAGGCUUGCCCCCCAAGCUAGGUGGGGGCGCCCCCUCUAAGGUUUUCCCCAACCCUAGGCGCAUGGGCUCUAAGGGGGAGUUGGCGCCCAGCCCACCUAGAGGCUGGUUCCCCUCUAUAUUCAGCCCAUAGGGCCCUCCGGGGCAGGUGGACCCUCCCGGUGGACCCCCGGAACCCCUUCGGUGGUCCCGGUAUAAUACUGGUAACCUCCCGAACACUUCCGGUGACCGAAUAAGGAUUUCUCAUAUAUAGAUCUUCAUCUACGGACCAUUCUGAAACUCCUAGUGAUGUCCGGGAUCUCAUCCGGGACCCCGAACAACCUUCGAUAACCACAUACUAUUUUCCAUAACAACUCUAGUGUCGCUGAACCUUAAGUGUGUAGAACCUACGGGUUCGGGAACCAUGCAGACAUGACCGAGACAUCUCUCCGGCCAAUAACCAACAACAAGAUCUGGAUACCCAUGUUGACUCCCACAUGUUCCCCGAUGAUCUCAUCGGAUGAACCACGAUGUCGGGGAUUCAAUCAAUCCCGUAUACAAUUUCCUUUGUCCAUCGGUAUGUUACUUGCACGAGAUUCAAUCGUGGGUAUCCCCAUACCUCGUUCAAUCUCGUUACCGACAAGUAUCUUUACUCGUUCUGUAACGCAUGAUCCUGAUGUCUACUACACAACCUUCUUCUUGUAGACGUUGUUGGGCCUCCAAGUGCAGAGGUUUGUAGGACAGUAGCAAAUUUCCCUCAAGUGGAUGACCUAAAGUUUAUCAAUCCGUAGGAGGUGUAGGAUGAAGAUGGUCUCUCUCAAGCAACCCUGCAACCAAAUAACAAAGAGUCUCUUAUGUCAUGAAAUGCAUCACACAAUCAACCCUAAUGUCACCUAGAUACUCCAAUGUCACCUCAAGUAUCCGUGGGUAUGAUUAUACGAUAUGCAUCACACAAUCUCAGAUUCAUCUAUUCAACCAACACAAAGUACUUCAAAGAGUGCCCCAAAGAUUCUACCGGAGAGUCAAGACGAAAACGUGUGCCAACCCCUAUGCAUAGGUUCAUGGGCGGAACCCGCAAGUUGAUCACCAAAACAUACAUCAAGUGGAUCAAUAGAAUACCCCAUUGUCACCACGGGUAUCCCACGCAAGACAUACAUCAAGUGUUCUCAAAUCCUUAAAGACUCAAUCCGAUAAGAUAACUUCAAAGGGAAAUCUCAAUCUAUUACAAGAGAGUAGAGGGGGAGAAACAUCAUAAGAUCCAACUAUAAUAGCAAAGCUCGCGAUACAUCAAGAUCGUACCACCUCAAGAACAUGAGAGAGAGAGAGAUCAAACACAUAGCUACUGGUACAUACCCUCAGCCCCGAGGGAGAACUACUCCCCCUCGCCAUGGAGAGCACCGGGAUGAUGAAAAUGGCCACCAGAGAGGGAUUCCCCCUCUGGCAGGGUGCCGGAAUGGGUCUAGAUUGGUUUUCGGUGGCUACGGAGGCUUCUGGCGGUGGAACUCCCGAUCUAUUGUGUUCCUCGAAGUUUUUAGGGUAUAUGGGUAUAUAUAGGAGGAAGAAGUACGUCGGUGGAUCUCCGGGCUGUCCACGAGGCAGGGGCGCGCCCCCCACCCUCGUGGGCACCCCGAGACUCUCCUGGUCCAUCUCCGAUACUCCGUGGGCUUCUUCUGGUCCAAAAAUAAGUUCCGUGAAGUUUCGGGUCAAUUGGACUCCGUUUGAUUUUCCUUUUCUGCGAUACUCUAAAACAAGGAAAAAAUAGAAACUGGCACUGGGCUUUGGGUUAAUAGGUUAGUCCCAAAAAUAAUAUAAAAGUGUAUAAUAAAGCCCAUAAACAUCCAAAACAGAUAAUAUAAUAGCAUGGAACAAUCAAAAAUUAUAGAUACAUUGGAGACGUAUCAGAUCCCGUGGCUAACUCCUUAGUCACAUUGAGCUCGUUAUGAUGAUGCAUUACCAAGUGGGCCCAGAGAUACCUCUCCGUCAUACGGAGUGACAAAUCCCAGUCUUGAUUCGUGCCAACCCAACAGAUACUUUCGGAGACACCUAUACUCAUGUAGUGCACCUUUAUAGCCACCCAGUUACGUUGUGACGUUUGGUACACCCAAAGCAUUCCUACGGUACCCGGGAGUUGCACAAUCUCAUGUUCUAAGGAAAUUAUACUUGACAUUAGAAAAGCUUUAGCAAACGAACUACACGAUCUUGUGCUACACUUAGGAUUGGGUCUUGUCCAUCACAUCAUUCUCCCAAUGAUGUGAUCCCGUUAUCAAUGGCAUCCAAUGUCCAUGGUCAGGAAACCAUGACCAUCUAUUGAUCAAUGAGCUAGUCAACUACUCCCUCCGUCCUUUAAAGAGUGUACUUCCAAUUUUGUUGGAGGGUCAAACUAUUUCAAAGUUUGACCGAGUUUGUGCAAAAAUAUAUCAAUGUUUGUGAAAUCAAAUAGGUAUAUGAUGAAAGUAUAUUUUAUCACGAAUCUAAUGCUACUAAUUUGAUGGCAUAAAUGUUGAUGUAUUAUUAUAUAAACACAGUCAAAUAUAAAAAAGUUUGACUUUCCAAGAAAGUUGAAAGUACACUCUUUAAAGGACGGAGGGAGUAGAGGCUUACUAGGGACAUAUUACGAUCUAUGUAUUCACACAUGUAUUAGGUUUUCGGUUAAUACAAUUAUAGCAUGAACAAUAGACAAUUAUCAUGAACACGGAAAUAUAAUAAUAACCACUUUAUUAUUGCCUCUAGGGCAUAUUUCCAACAUUUUUCUCAUGGAGUGCUAUGUGUGUGAGGCAAAUGGGUGCAUUAUAGCUCUAUAUCAGUGUCGAUCAUGGGCGUGCUAGGCUGACUAGGUUGUGAAUGCUACGGGCUUAGUCUAUUUUCUGGCUCCAGCCUUAGGUUGGAGAUGACUCAUAUGGCCUUGCCUUGUCGUAACUCCGUCAUUGCACAUUUUGCAGCAUGAGAUAUGGUGGGUCCUAUCUAAAGAUUACACCAUCAUCCAUGCUGGAAGAAAACCUCCCCAACAAUAUGCUCUAGUAGGGUAGAUGUCACUACAAAAAUGUGUCUAUCCUCCGACCUCUGCAUUAUAGAUCAACUAUGAAGCCAUCAUGUACAUGCAUAAAAAAUUGCACAAAUGAAACACGUUUUGUGUUAAAAAACACAUCAUUCUUGUUAAGCCCAAGAGACCAACAUAAGCUUGUCCUUCCCACACGAAUAUUUGUGUAAAAUAGUUUGUCAAUACCCUGUAGCUAAUUGAUGAACAUAUUAUGGGCACUACUACGAGAUAAAGGUUUGAAGCUACUUAAGAUAUGGCCCACACUGUGCGACCAAGUUUAGACUCAAAAUAUUGAUAUACUCAUCAUGUUAGCAAUAGACACAGGCCUUCUUGCCUUGCAAAUUAUAGCGUGUCGGGUUAUCUAGAGCCAAGAUCACACAUUUGUGUCGGCGGGUGAUCAUCGAGAUCGGAGCUAUGAUCUAGCUCCUAUAUAGUUUGGCCAUGGGUUAAAACACUUUUCCCAAAGGCAAGAAGCUGUUAGAAAAGGAUGUCGAGAGGGCAUUUGGAGUGCUCCAAGCCCGUUCCGCAGUUGCUCUCGGAUAUGCUAAACCAUGGGAUCUAUAGACAUUAUGGGGGUGAUGACAACUUAUGUGAAAAUAAAAUAAUGAAUGGGUUUUGAUAAGUAAAAAAGCGAAAAAAAGUCUUGCAUCAACGCACUUGACCAUUAGGCAAUGGAGAAGGCCCUAUGAUCGACGUUAACGCAAGGAAUAGGGAUCACCAUGCAACCAGGAUGCACGCAAAGCUAUGAAUAUGUGAAAGCUCUCCUAUGGGCUAAGUGGGUGCAUCCAACUUGCUUGCUCAUUAAGACCUCGAGCAUUUGAUGAUGCUCGUCAUUGGAAUAUACAAGCCAAGUUUUUUAAUGUAAUUUCCCCAUUAGUAUAAACACAUGAAGCUCAUGAAAUUGUCCAAUCUACAAUGCAUGAAGUGGUGAUACUUUGAAGCACAAAUGUACUAAAAAGGAUGAUUUUGUUGAUCCUUCUUCCAUCCUCACUUUUUCUUUCUCUUUUUUUGUGUCACCUCUGUGGUGCAUCUUUUAUUUGGUCUCUCUCUUUUUCUUCUCUUUUAUAGGAGCAACACCUUACAAUGAUGAACAAAACACUUUAUAAUGGCACACUUCAAACGAUGUAAUCUUUAAAUGGUGCAAGAUCUAUUUGGAACUAUAUAUGGAUGUCUUGGGUUUCCCUAAUAAAUGAAAUUUUCAUCUUGAAAGGUUGCUUCAGAGCUUUGCCUACUUAAAUGCAAAGUAUAUCGUCACCUGUCCAAACGAGGAGUGUGUCCUCUAUGUGGCAUGGAGGAGGAAGGAAUCUUUCAUGCCUCGAUCACAUGCAAUCAUGCUAGAAGUGCUUGGGUGAACAUGCAAUUUGAAUGGCCACUACCAAGUGAUGAUCAAUUGUUGAAUACCGGGAAGGAAUGGCUCAUGCAUAUCAUCAUGGGGUGUUCUGAUGAUGUUCGCGACAUGGUUCUUAUGCACGUCUUCCGUAGUUGGUAAGUAUGUACAGACCAAACUCAUGACAAGGAAGUACCUCCCAUUGAUACAACAGUGGAAUUCCCUAACAAUUACUACAUGCCCGUUAAGUUGGCAUGUCAUUUUUCUUCGAAGGAGAUUAUUAGAGAUACUAGCAAAUAUGCCCGUGCAUUGCAACGGGAGAAAAAUAAUCAAAUUAUGCAGAUGUGAUAGAGAUAAAAAUAAUCGGAAUCAAAUGCCAGGAUGAGAUAAGAAUUUUCAGUAUGUCAUUUCACAAACUAUGUCUGGGUGAUGUCAUGAUGAGAAGGGACUUUUAAAAAGUCAUUUGAAAAACUGAAAAUGUGAUGGUCUCCUCACGACUUGAUUUCCUAAGGUGCCACAACGAAAUAUUUUUUUGCUGAGCAAACUACAUUGAUGGACCCCCUGCCUGAGCUAGACUGAUGCAUGAUGUGUCUCGUCUUAACCUAGCAGAGUGGUGUUUUCCAUAGCCAGUAGAAUCAUGGUACCGAAAUAGUUGUGUAUGGAGGCAAAAAAUACAUUUAGUCAUUUUCAUAUAGAUUACAAAAAAACUAACCCAUAGCAAGAUGUGUCAAUUUUUGGGGGGCUCGGCGAACACGCAAAUCUUUUUUUACCCGUGAAAGUGCGUUAUAUCGACUAGAGGGCGGUGAAUAGGCAAUUUUUACAAAUUCAUCACUGAGGAAAUUCAAGGUGAGGAAUUUCGUAAGUCACGAACAACUAACAACGGAAUAAGUACUCAGAUGCAAGCGUAAUAGAGUAAACAUGUCAUCAUGGUGAAAUGAAAACAAGCACAGAGUACAAGUAGCGUGUAAACAGGAUAAGCAGGCUCAAGACAAAGUGACUGAAGAAUUAGGAUUGAGCAAAUUGAGAAAGUAUUUAGUCAAAGUCUUCAAAUAGUAACGAUCAAGUACUUCAACACAUGAAUGAGGAAAUGAAAGGGUUGAGGAAGUAGAACCAGUAGCUUGGUGAAGACAAUGAUUUGGUAGACCGGUUCCAACUACUGUGACAGUCAUACGUCUGGUUGGAGCGGCUAGGUAUUUAAACCUGAGGACACACAAUCCUCGCCAUAUUCUCCUUGAGCUAAGGUCACACAGACCUCGCCCAAUAACUCGUGGUAAGUCUUCAGGUGACUUCAAAACCUUCACAGACUCGAUCACUAGGCGAUCCACAAUUUUCUCUUGGAUGCUCUAGACCAUGAUGCCUAACCAUCUGGAGGAUACACAAUCCUCAAAGGUAACAAGCAUCGGUUCCACACAGGAACAAUCUCUUCAGUGAUGCUCAAUCACUUUGGGUUGGUAGGUGUUUGGGUAUGGGUUUUCCUCACUUGAUGAUUUUCGCUCAAAGUCCUCGGAGGAUGGGAUGCUCUCAAUGACAAGUGUCAGUUUCUCUCGGAGCAGCCACCCAACUAGUGGUUGUAGGGUGGCUAUUUAUAGCCUAGGAAGCAUCCCUACAUGAUAAGACAUAAAUGCCCUUCAAUGAUAUGACCAUUAGGUGGGUAGAUAUUUUGGGACGGCUGGCGCAUAGCACAGCAACGGUCGGAUAUUUGAGCUAUCAAAUUCCCCAGGGCUAUCAUGUUCCUCACUUGUAGGCAAUCCGUGAAGGAAAUAUGCCCUAGAGGCAAUAAUAAAGUUGUUAUUUAUAUUUCCUUAUAUAAUGAUAAAUGUUUAUUAUUCAUGCUAGAAUUGUAUUAACCGGAGACUUAGUACAUGUGUGAAUACAUAGACAAACAGAGUGUCUGUCGCAUGCCUCUACUAGACUAGCUCAUUAAUCAAAGAUGGUUAAGUUUCCUAGCCAUAGACAUGUGUUGUUGAUACGUCUCCAACGUAUCUAUAAUUUUUUAUUGUUCCAUGCUAUAUUAUAUUCUGUUUUGGACAUUAUUGGGCUUUAUUAUACACUUUUAUAUUAUUUUUGGGACUAACCUAUUAACCGGAGGCCCAACCCAGAAUUGCUUUUUUUUGCCUAUUUCAGAGUUUCGCAGAAAAAGAAUAUCAAACGGAGUCCAAACGGAAUGAAACCUUCGGGAACGUGAUUUUCGGAACGAACGUGAUCGAGAGGACUUGGACCCUAUGACAAGACAUCAACCAGGAGGCCACGAGGUAGGGGCGCGCGCCCUCCACCCUCGUGAGCCCCAUGUUGCUCCACCGACGUACUCCUUCCUCCUAUAUAUACCUACAUACCCCCAAACUACCAGACACGGAGCCAAAACCCUAAUUCCACCAUCGUAACUUUCUGUAUCCACGAGAUCCCAUCUUGGGGCCUGUUCCGGAGCUCCGCCGGAGGGGGCAUCGAUCACGGAGGGCUUCUACAUCAACACCAUAGCCCCUCCGAUGAAGUGUGAGUAGUUUACCUCAAACCUUCGGGUCCAUAGUUAUUAGCUAGAUGGCUUCUUCUCUCUUUUUGGAUCUCAAUACAAAGUCCCCCCUCUCUUGUGGAAAUCUAUUCGAUGUAACCUUCUUUUUGCGGUGUGUUUGUUGAGGCCGAUGAAUUGUGGGUUUAUGAUCAAGUUUAUCUAUGAGCAAUAUUUGAAUCUUCUCUGAAUUCUUUUAUGUAUGAUUGGUUAUCUUUGCAAGUCUCUUUGAAUUAUCAGUUUGGUUUGGCCUACUAGAUUGAUCUUUCUUGCAAUGGGAGAAGUGCUUAGCUUUGGGUUCAAUCUUGCGGUGUCCUUUCCCAACGACAGUAGGGGCAGCAAGGCACGUAUUGUAUUGUUGCCAUCGAGGAUAACAAGAUGGGGUUUAUAUCAUACUGCAUUAGUUUAUCCCUCUACAUCAUGUCAUCUUGCUUAAAGCGUUACUCUGUUCUCUUGAACUUAAUACUCUAGAUGCAUGCUGGAUAGCAGUUGAUGUGUGGAGUAAUAGUAGUAGAUGCAGGCAGGAGUCGGUCUACUUGUCUUGGACGUGAUGCCUGAUACAUCUCCAACGUAUCUAUAAUUUUUAAUUGUUCCAUGCUAUAUUAUAUUCUGUUUUGGACAUUAUUGGGCUUUAUUAUACACUUUUAUAUUAUUUUUGGGACUAACCUAUUAACCGGAGGCCCAGCCCAGAAUUGCUGCUUUUUUUGCCUAUUUUAGGGUUUCGCAGAAAAAGAAUAUCAAACGGAGUCCAAAUGGAAUGAAACCUUCGGGAACGUGAUUUUCGGAACGAACAUGAUCCAGAGGACUUGGACCCCACGUCAAGACAUCAACCAGGAGGCCACGAGGUAGGGGCGCACCUACCCCCCUGGGCGCGCCCUCCACCCUCGUGGGCCCCCUGUUGCUCCACCGACGUACUCCUUCCUCCUAUAUAUACCUACGUACCCCCAAACUACCAGAUACGGAGCCAAAACCCUAAUUCCACCGCUGUAACUUUCUGUAUCCACGAGAUCCCAUCUUGGGGCCUAUUCCGGAGCUCCGCCGGAGGGGGCAUCGAUCACGGAGGGCUUCUACAUCAACACCAUAGCCCUUCCGAUGAAGUGUGAGUAGUUUACCUCAGACCUAUGGGUCCAUAGUUAUUAGCUAGAUGGCUACUUCUCUAUUUUUGGAUCUCAAUACAAAGUUCUCCCCCUCUCUUGUGGAUAUCUAUUCGAUGUAAUCUUCUUUUGCGGUGUGUUUGUUGAGACCGAUGAAUUGUGGGUUUAUGAUCAAAUUUAUCUAUGAACAAUAUUUGAAUCUUCUCUGAAUUCUUUUAUGUAUGAUUGGUUAUCUUUGCAAGUCUCUUCGAAUUAUCAGUUUGGUUUGGCCUACUAGAUUGAUCUUUCUUGCAAUGGGAGAAGUGCUUAGCUUUGGGUUCAAUCUUGCGGUGUCCUUUCCCAGUGAUAGUAGGGGCAGCAAGGCAUGUAUUGUAUUGUUGCCAUCGAGGAUAACAAGAUGGGGUUUAUUUCAUAUUGCAUGAGUUUAUCCCUCUACAUCAUGUCAUCUUGCUUAAAGCGUUACUCUGUUCUCUUGAACUUAAUACUCUAGAUGCAUGUAGGAUAGCGGUCGAUGUGUGGAGUAAUAGUAGUAGAUGUAGGCAGGAGUCAGUCUACUUGUCUCAGACGUGAUGCCUAUAUACAUGAUCAUACCUAGAUAUUCUCAUAACUAUGCUCAAUUCUGUCAAUUGCUCAACAGUAAUUCGUUUACCCGCUGUGAAUACUUAUGCUCUCGAGAGAAGCCACUAGUGAAACCUAUGGCCCCCGGGUCUAUCUUCCAUCAUAUUAAUCUUCCAAUACUUAGUUAUUUUUAUUGCCUUUUAUUUUACUUUGCAUCUUUAUCAUAAAAAUACCAAAAAUAUUAUCUUAUCAUAUUUAUCAGAUCUCACUCUCGUAAGUGACCGUGUAGGGAUUGACAACCCCUUAUCGCGUUGGUUGCGAGGAUUUAUUUGUUUGUGUAGGUACGAGGGACUCGUGCGUGGCCUCCUACUGGAUUGAUACCUUGGUUCUCAAAAACUAAGGGAAAUACUUACGCUACUCUGCUGCAUCACCCUUUUCUCUUCAAGGGAAAACCAACGCAAGUGCUCAAGAGGUAGCAAGAAGGAUUUCUGGCGCCAUUGCCGGGGAGGUCUACGCAAAAGUCAACAUACCAAGUACCCAUCACAACCCUUAUCUCCGGCAUUACAUUAUUUGCCAUUUGCCUCUCGUUUUCCUCUCCCCCACUUCACCCUUGCCGUUUUAUUCGCCCUCUCUCUGUGUCCUCCCUCUCUUUCUCUAUUUGCCUCUUUUCGCCUGUUCCUCGUUUGCUUGUGUGUUGGAUUGCUUGCUUGUCACGAUGGCUCAAGAUAACACUAAAUUGUGUGACUUUACCAAUACCAGCAACAAUGAUUUUAUUAGCACUCUGAUUGCUCCUCUUACCGAUGCUGAAUCUUGUGAAAUUAAUGCUGCCUUGCUUAAUCUUGUCAUGAAAGAUCCGUUUUCCGGCCUUCCUAGUGAAGAUGCCGCUACCCAUCUAAAUAGCUUCGUUGAUUUGUGUGAGAUGCAAAAUAAUAAAGAUGUGUAUAAUGAUAUUGUUAAAUUGAAGCUAUUUCCUUUUUCGCUUAGAGAUCGUGCUAAAGCUUGGUUUUCGUCUUUGCCUAAAAAUAGUAUUGAUUCGUGGAAUAAGUGCAAAGAUGAUUUUAUCUCUAAGUAUUUUCCUCCUGCUAAGAUCAUCUCUAUUAGAAACGAUAUUAUGAAUUUUAAGCAACUUGAUCAUGAACAUGUUGCACAAGCUUGGGAGAGGAUGAAAUUAAUGAUACGUAAUUGCCCUACGCAUGGUUUGAAUAUGUGGAUGAUUAUACAAUUUUUUUAUGCCGGAUUGUGAAUUUUGCUUCUAGAAAUCUUCUAGAUUCGGCCGUGGGAGGCACUUUUAUGGAAAUCACUUUAGGAGAAGCUACUAAACUCCUAGAUAAUAUUAUGGUUAAUUAUUCUCAAUGGCACACUGAAAGAUCUACUAAUAAGAAAGUGCAUGUGAUAGAAGAAAUUAAUGUUUUGAGUGGAAAGAUGGAUGAACUUAUGAAAUUAUUUGCUAAUAGAAGUGUUUCUUCUGAUCCUAAUGAUAUGCCUUUGUCUACUUUGAUUGAGAAUAAUAAUGAAUCUAUGGAUGUAAAUUUUGUUGGUAGGAACAAUUUUGGUAACAACGCAUAUAUAGGAAACUUCAACCCUAGGCCGUAUCCUAGUAAUUCAUCUAAUAAUUAUGGUAAUUCCUACAACAAUUCUUAUGGAAAUUAUAAUAAGAUGCCCUCGGAUUUUGAAUCUAAUAUUAAAGAAUUUAUUACUUCGCAAAAGAAUUUCAAUGCUUUGAUUGAAGAAAAAUUGCUUAAGAUUGAUGAGUUGGCUAGGAACGUUGAUAGAAUUUCUCUUGAUGUUGAUUCUUUGAAAAUUAGAUCUAUUCCACCUAAGCAUGAUAUCAAUGAGUCUCUCAAAGCCAUGAGAAUUUCCAUUGAUGACUGCAAAGAAAGAACCGCUAGGAUGCGUGCUAAGAAAGAUUGCUUUAUAAAAGUGUGUUCUUCUAGUUUCCAUGAUAAUAAAGAUGAAGAUGUAGAAGUUAUUGAUGUGUCCCCUAUUAAAUAUUUGUUUUGCAAUAUGAAUCUUGAUAAUAAUGGGACUGAAUAUGAUCCACCUUUACCUAGACGGCAUUCCAAAAAUUCGGAGUCUUUAGAUCUUGAUGCUAAAAUUGUUAAAAGUGGGAUUGAAGAAGUAAAAACUUUAAAUAUUGAUGAACCCACUAUUUUGGAUUUCAAGGAAUUUAAUUAUGACAAUUGCUCUUUAAUAGAUUGUAUUUCCUUGUUGCAAUCCGUGCUAAAUUCUCCUCAUGCUUAUAGUCAAAAUAAAGCUUUUACUAAACAUAUCGUUGAUGCUUUGAUGCAAUCUUAUGAAGAAAAACUUGAGUUGGAAGUUUCUAUCCCUAGAAAACUUUAUGAUGAGUGUGAACCUACUAUUAAAAUUAAAAUUAAAGAUCAUGAAUGCUAUGCUUUGUGUGAUUUGGGUGCUAGUGUUUCCACGAUUCCAAAGACUUUAUGUGAUUUGUUAGGUUUCCGUGAUUUUGAUGAUUGCUCUUUAAACUUGCACCUUGCGGAUUCCACUAUUAAGAAACCUAUGGGAAGAAUUAAUGAUGUUCUUAUUGUUGGAAAUAGGAAUUAUGUGCCCGUGGAUUUUAUUAUUCUUGACAUAGAUUGCAAUCCUUCCUAUUAUUCUUGGUAGACCAUUGCUUAGAACGAUUGGUGCAAUUAUUGAUAUGAAGGAAGGGAAUAUUAGAUUCCAAUUUCUGUUAAGGAAAGGCAUGGAACACUUCCCUAGAAAGAAAAUUAAAUUACCUUAUGAAUCUAUUAUUAGAGCCACUUAUGGAUUGCCUACCAAAGAUGGCAAUACCUAGAUCUAUCCUUGCUUUUUAUGCCUAGCUAGGGGCGUUAAACGAUAGCGCUUGUUGGGAGGCAACCCAAUUUUAUUUUUUGCUUUUUGCUCCUGUUUAGUAAUAAAUAAUUUAUCCAGCCACUGUUUUGGUUGUGUUUGUGUUUAAUUAGUGUUUGUGCCAAGUAGAACCGUUGGGAAGACUUGGGGAAAGUCUUGUUAAUUUUACUGUAAAAAACAGAAACUUUAGCGCUCACGAGAACUGCUGCCAUUUUUAUUUGGAAAGUGCUAUUUAGUUAAUUAUUUUGCAUAUGAUUAAUAGAUAAAUUCCUCACGUCCAGCAAUUUAUUUUAGAAUUUUUGGGGUUCCAGAUCUUGCGUUAGCUACAGAUUACUACAGACUGUUCUGUUUUUGACAGAUUCUGUUUUUCGUGUGUUGUUUGCUUAUUUUGAUGAAUCUAUGGCUAGUAAAAUAGUUUAUAAACCAUAGAGAAGUUGUAAUACAGUAGGUUUAACAUCAAUAUAAAUAAAGAAUGAGUUCAUUACAGUACCUUGAAGUUGUGUUUUGUUUUCUUUCGCUAACGGAGCUCACGAAAUUUUCUACUUUAAGUUUUGUGUUGUGAAGUUUUCAAGUUUUGGGUAAAGAUUUGAUGGAUUAUGGAACAAGGAGUGGCAAGAGCAUAAGCUUGGGGAUACCCAUGGCACCCCCAAGAUAAUCUAAGGACACCUAAAAGCCAAAGCUUGGGGAUGCCCCGGAAGGCAUCCCCUCUUUCGUCUACUUCUAUCGGUAACUUUACUUGGAGCUAUAUUUUUAUUUACCACAUGAUAUGUGUUUUGCUUGGAGCAUCUUGUAUUAUUUGAGUCUUUAUUUGUUAGUUUUUCACAAUCAUCCUUGCUGCACACACCUUUUUGAGAGAGACACACAUGAUUCAGAAAUUAUUAGAAUACUCUAUGUGCUUCACUUAUAUCUUUUGAGUUAUAUAGUUUUUGCUCUAGUGCUUCACUUAUAUCUUUUAGAGCAUGUUGGUGGAUUUGUUUUAUAGAAACCAUUGUUCUCUCAUGCUUCAAUUAGAUUAUUUUGAGAGUCCUACAAAACAGCAUGGUAAUUUGCUUUAAUUAUUUGAGGCAUUCAAGAUUAAUAAAUAAAAUUUAUUAUGAGUGUGUUGAAUACUAUGAGAAGUUUGAAACUUGAUAAUUGUUUUGAGAUAUGGAGAUGGUGAUAUUAGAGUCGUGCUAGUUGAGUAGUUGUGAAUUUGAGAAAUGCUUGUGUUGAAGUUUGUGAUUCCCGUAGCAUGCAUGUAUGGUGACCCGUUAUGCUAAGAAGUCAGAGCAUGAUGUAUGUAUUGAUUGUCCUCCUUAUGAGUGGCGGUCGGGGACAAGCGAUGGUGUUUUCCUACCAAUCUAUCCCCCUAGGAGGAUGCACGUAGUACUUUGCUUUGAUAAUUAAUAGAUUUUUGCAAUAAAUAUGUGAGUUCUUUGUGACUAAUGUUGAGUCCAUGGAUUAUACUCACUCUCACCCUUCCACUAUUGCUAGCCUCUCUAAUACCGCGCACCUUUCGCCGGUAUCAUACACCCACCAUAUACCUUCCUCAAAACAGCCACCAUACCUACCUAUCAUGGCAUUUCCAUAGCCAUUCCGAGAUAUAUUUCCAUGCAUCCUUCCACCGUUUCAUUUACUAUGACACGCUCCAUCAUUGUCAUAUUGCUUUGCAUGAUCAUGUAGUUGACAUUGUAUUCGUGGCAAAGCCACCGUUCAUAAUUCUUUCAUACAUGUCACUCUUGAUUCAUUGCAUAUCCCGGUACACCGCCGGAGGCAUUCACAUAGAGUCAUAUUUUGUUCUAAGUAUUGAGUUGUAAUUGUUGAGUUGUAAGUAAAUAAAAGUCUAAUGAUCAUCAUUUUUAGAGCAUUGUCCCAAGUAAGGAAAUGAUGAUGGAGACUAUGAUUCCCCCACAAGUCAGGAUGAGACUUCGGACGAAAAAUAAAUAAAAAUAAAAACAGGCCAAAGAAGCCAAAUAAAAAAAAAGAGGCCAUAAAAAAGGCCCAAAUAAAAAAAUAUGAGAGAAAAAGAGAGAAGGGACAAUGCUACUAUCCUUUUACCACACUUGUGCUUCAAAGUAGCACCAUGAUCUUCAUAAUAGAGAGUCUCCUUUGUUAUCACUUUCAUAUACUAGUGGGAAUUUUUCAUUAUAGAACUUGGCUUGUAUAUUCCAACGAUGGGCUUUCUCAAAAUGCCCUAGGUCUUCGUGAGCAAGCAAGUUGGAUGCACACCCACUUAGUUUCUUUUUGUUGAGCUUUCAUAUAUUUAUAGCUCUAGUGCAUCCGUUGCAUGGCAAUCCCUACUCACUCACAUUGAUAUCUAUUGAUGGGCAUCUCCAUAGCCCGUUGAUACGCCUAGUUGAUGUGAGACUAUCUUUCCCUUUUUUUGUCUCCUCCACAACCACCAUUCUAUUCCACCUAUAGUGCUAUGUCCAUGGCUCAUGCUCAUGUAUUGCACGAAAAUUGAAAAAGUCUGAGAACAUUAAAAGUAUGAAACAAUUGCUUGGCUUGUCAUCGGGGUUGUGCAUGAUUUGAAUACUUUGUGCGGUGAAGAUGGAGCAUAGCCAGACUAUAUGAUUUUGUAGGGAUAACUUUCUUUGGCCAUGUUAUUUUGAAGAGACAUAAUUUCUUAGUUAGUAUGUGAGAGAGUCCUGGAUUAGGGGGUCUCCGGACAGCCGGAUUAUAUCCUUUGGCCAGACUAUUGGACUAUGAAGGUACAAGAUUGAAGACUUCGUCCCGUGUCUGGAUGGGACUCUACUUGGCAUGGAAGGCAAGCUUGGCAAUACGGAUAUGUAUAUCUCCUCCUUUGUAACCGACCUUGUGUAACCCUAGCCCUCUCCGGUGUCUAUAUAAACCGGAGGGUUUUAGUCCGUAGGACAACGUACAAUCAUACCAUAGGCUAGCUUCUAGGGUUUAGCCUCUCCGAUCUCGUGGUAGAUCAACUCUUGUAAUACCCAUAUCAUCAAGAAUAAAUCAAGCAUGACGUAGGGUUUUACCUCCAUCAAGAGGGCCCGAACCUGGGUCAAACAUCGUGUUCCCUGCCUCCUGUUACCAUCCUUCUUAGAUGCACAGUUCGGGACCCCCUACCCGAGAGCCGCCGGUUUUGACACCGACAUUGGUGCUUUCAUUGAGAGUUCCUUUGUGUCGUCGUCGUUAGGCCUGAUGGCUCCUGCAAUCAUCGAUAGCGAUGCAGUCCAGGGUGAGACUUUUCUCCCCGGACAGAUUUUUGUAUUCGGCAGCUUUGCACUGCGGGCCAAUUCGCUUGGCCAUCUGGAGCAGAUCGAAAGUUAAGCCCCUGGCCACCAGGUCAGAUUUGGAAGCUUAAACUACACGGCCGAUAUCCGCGGAGACUUGAUCUUCGACGGAUUCGAGCCUCUGCCUUGUGCGUCACGCGGUCACAAUGAGUACGAUUUAGCUCUGCCAUCGGACAGUGUUCAAGAAAUCGCACCGCAGCCGCUCCGACCUUUAAUUUGGAGCCAGUUGCGCCAUCCAUGGACGGGUGGAUGGACCCUGCCACGGAGGCCUUACCCUCAGCGGCGAUCGAGCCGAACAUCAACCUUACCCUGCACGAGAGCCGUGUUGUCAAACUGCCGGAUCCUUCUCCGGCCAGGGACUCCAAACCGCCGACGCCCGUUCCUAGCGAAUCCGAUUGGGCGCCGAUCAUGGAGUUUACCUCCACGGAUAUUUUUCAGCACUCGCCCUUUGGCGACAUACUGAAUUCAUUCAGGUCUCUCUCCUUGUCAGGAGGAUCCGGGCCGAACUAUGUCCGACAGGAUUGGGAUGCGGACGACGAAGAAAUUCGCGGCCCACCCCCCACCCACUUAGUAGCCACUGUCGAUGACUUAACCGACAUGCUCGACUUCGACUCCAAAGACGUCGACGGUAUGGACGACAAUGCAGGAGACGAAGAGGAACCACUGCCCACAGGGCACUGGACAACCACCUCAUCAUACGAUAUAUACAUGGUGGACACACCCAAAGAAGGCAAUGGCGACGAGACAGCGGAGGAUGACCCCUCCAAAAAGCAACCUAAGCGCCAACGUCAGCGGCGCCGCUCUAAGUCCCGCCAAAGAAAAAGUGGUGAUACCGGCACAUGAGAUAAUAACACUCCGGAUAGUGCCGAAGACAAUAACAACAACCCCCUCCAGCAAGAUUUAGAGCAGGAGGAUGGAGGAGCCAGCCCUCCUAAGAGAGCGGCAGAUGGAGAGGCGGAGGAUGAUAAUUACAUGCCCCCUCCAAAGAUGAGGCAAGCCUCGGCGAUGACGAAUUCACCGUGCCAGAGGAUCCCGUCGAACAAGAGCGCUUCAAGCGCCGGCUUAUGGCCACGGAAAAUAGCCUUAAGAAAAAGCAGCAGGAGCUUCAAGCUAAUCAAGAUCUGCUAGCCGACAAAUGGACUAAAGUCCUUGCGGCCGAGGAAUAUAAACUCGAACGCCCUUCCAAGAGUUACCCAAAAUGCAGGUUGCUACCCCAACUGGAGGAAGAAGCAUAUGACGCGGCUGAUCGGCCACCUCGUUGCCACGAUAGAGAGGCAUUCCAGCCAAAAACUCAGCCCGCACCCCGACAUCAUUCAAAUAAAAAGGCAUGGGGAAAUACGCCAGACCUGCGAGACAUAUUGGAGGACAAAGCAAAGCAUGCAAGAUCAAUUCAAAGUAAAUCCGGCCGAGCCGAACACAGUGGGCAAGACCCAUUCGAGCUGCGUCGUGAUAUAGCCUAAUACAGAGGCGCCGCACACCCCCUAUGCUUCACAGACGAAGUAAUGGAUCAUCAAAUCCCAGAGGGUUUCAAACCCGUAAAUAUUGAAUCAUACGACGGCACAAAAGAUCCUGCGGUAUGGAUCGAGGAUUUCCUCCUCCACAUCCACAUGGCCCGCGGUGAUGACUUACACGCUAUCAAAUACCUCCCACUAAAGCUCAAAGGACCAGCGCGACAUUGGCUUAACAACUUGCCAGCAAAGUCCAUUAGCUAUUGGGAAGAUCUGGAAGCCGCAUUCCUCGACAACUUUCAGAGCACUUAUGUGCGACCACCAGAUGCCGAUGACUUGAGCCACAUAGUUCAGCAGCCAGAAGAAUCGGCCAGACAAUUCUGGAAUCGGUUCCUAACAAAGAAAAAUCAAAUCAUCGACUGUCCGGAUGCAGAGGCCCUAGUAGCUUUCAAACACAACAUCCGCGGCGAGUGGCUAGCCCGACACCUUGGUCAGGAAAAGCCGAAAUCUAUGGCAGCCCUCACGACACUCAUGACCCGCUUUUGUGCGGGAGAAGACAGCUGGCUGGCUCGCAGUAAUAACAUAUCAAAGAACCAUGGUACUUCUGACACCAAGGACGGCAAUAGUAGGUCACGUCGCAACAAACAUAAGCGCCACAUUAAUAGCGACAAUACCGAGGACAUGUCAGUCAAUGCCAGAUUCAAAGGCUCUAAACCCGGUCAGCGAAAAAAGCCAUUUAAAAGAAGCACUCCGGGUCCGUCCAGUUUGGACCGCAUACUCGAUUGCUCGUGUCAAAUACACGACACCCCCGACAAGCCAGCCAACCACACCACUAGGGAUUGUUGGGUAUUCAAGCAGGCCGGCAAGUUAAUUGCCGAAAACAAAGAUAAGGGGCCACAUAGCAAUGACGAGGAAGAGCCCCGGCAGCCGAACACCGGAGGACAGAAGAGGUUCCUCCCACAAGUGUGGACGGUGAACAUGAUAUACGCAACCCACAUCCCCAAGAGGGAGCGGAAGCGUACGCUCAGGGACGUAUAUGCGUUGGAGCCAAUCGCCCCAAAGUUCAACCCAUGGUCCUCCUGUCCGAUCACCUUCGAUCACAAGGACCACCCCACUAGUAUCCGUCAUGGUGGAUUCGCCGCACUGGUCCUAGACCCAAUCAUCGACGGAUUUCACCUCACUCGAGUCCUUAUGGAUGGAGGCAGCAUCCUGAACCUACUUUAUCAGGACACAGUGCGCAAAAUGGGUAUAGACCCCUCAAGGAUCAAACCCACAAAAACGACCUUUAAAGGCGUCAUUCCAGGUGUAGAGGCCCAUUGCACAGGCUCAAUUACACUAGAAGUGGUCUUCAGAUCACCGGAUAACUUCCGAAGCGAAGAAUUAAUCUUCGAUAUAGUCCCGUUCCGCAGUGGCUAUCAUGCACUGCUCGGGCGAACCGCAUUUGCAAGAUUCAAUGCAGUACCGCAUUAUGCAUACCUCAAGCUCAAGAUGCCAGGACCUCGGGGGGUCAUCAAAGUUAAUGGAAACACAGAGCGCUCCCUCCGCAUGGAGGAGCACACUACGCCCCUCGCAGCAGAAGCGCAAAGCAGCCUCUCAAGGCAAUCCACCAGUUUGGCGUUUCAAGACCCGGACACCUUCAAGCAUGCUCGGAGUAAUCGGCAACUAGACCGCCUAGCACGAUCUGAGCUCGCGUAGCAAUGCGGCCCCCACCCCAGUCCUAGCCAAACGGCGAAAUUCGUGCCACGCGUACAUAGUUACGCAUUAAAAAUACCAUGGGCACAUGUGGGGAGGGGGGCACAACUACGGCACGCCCCAAGACGCGGCUUAAACCGCACUAGGGGCUUCCCGCUCUGUUAUUUUUCUCUUUUAGGACUUCAAUAUCUGGAAACCCUGUCCGGCAGCAUGAUUGCCGAACACAUGAUGCAUCAACCAAGGAGGCAGAAAGCUACGUCACACCACGGAACUCCCAGGUGGAUUACGAUAACGAGUGAAAUAUUUGCUUUAAUACUAUUCCUCAGCUUGCCCUUGGAAGGGACAUAGUCCUACUUUUUUCUUAUCACACUAUCUGUAUCAUCCUGCUUUAACACACCUUUUUGAAUAAACAAUGCACAACAUUACGACUAUCAUUGCAUUCUUGUUUUAUAUAUGUGUGUUCAUUAAUGACGCCUUGCAACCGUACACUUUGGUACGACCAAUACACCAGGGGCUUAAGUACCCCACAAUAUGGUGUGAGAAGUCCGAACACUUUCACAAGUGCGGCACCCCGAACUUAUAACAUUAUAUGCAUCAGCUCCGAAUCAUGUCUUUGGUCAAAUGUUGGGUUUGCUCGGCUCCUAUGUUUUGGUACCUUACGUUCCGCUCUAUCGGCUAAGGUAGCACUAGGAGAACUACUGCGAUUGUGCCCCGAUUCUGCUGGGCUAAGCACCUCAGUAGAGAAAGCUAAAACUGACUGACAUGAGAAGGCGAGAGACUGGUCGCUGUUCGGCGAGGUUUCGAGUCCCUAAAGACUUAUGCCGCUUAGAGCGAGGAGCCGGUCCUGUCUGGCUUAAAGGCGUGUAUCACGCCCCGAAUUCGGCCUUCCGGAUACUAGGGGCUUCGCCGAAAUUUAAAAUUAUAGAAUUCUAUAGCUAAGUGAGAGUGAUAAAGCAUUAUUAGUCCGGUUGCCUUGUUCGCUGUGCUGAGCACCUCCCUCGAAGGACCCAAAAAUGGGAACAAGAGUGCUCAGGUUUAUCCCGAACACCCCAGCACUCGUGGCAUGGGGGUAGAAGCCGAGGACUAGACAUCUCUUAGAUUGGAUAAAUAGCCAAACAUAAGGUAAUAUUUUAAAUUCAAACAAGCGUUGCAUAGCGCAUAUGAAACAAGUUUUCAUCAUACAGGAUCACACGAGCAAGUUUACUCAAAUAUUACAUCCUUUGAACAUUCGUCCGCUACAAGACGGGCACCCUUCAAGACACCCUCAUAAUAAAUUUUGGGGGUGCGAUGCUCCUUGCCCUGCGGCGGUCCUUCCUUGAUCAGCUUCACGGCGUCUAGCUUGGCCCAUUGCACCUUCACGCGGGCGAAAGCCCGGCGUGCACCUUCGAUGCAGACGGACCGCUUGACGACUUCCAGUCGUGGGCAGGCAUCCACAAGCCGCCUCACCAGGCCGAAGUAGCUGCUCGGAAGGGCGUCGCCCGGCCACAGCCGGACUAUAAAGCCCUUCAUGGCCUAUUCGGCCGCCUUGUGUAGCUCGACCAGCUGCUUCAGCUGGUCGCUCAUAGGCACCGGGUGUUCGGUCCCAGUAUACUGAGACCAGAACAGCUUCUCCGUUGAGCUUCCCUUCUCGGCCUGGUAAAACUGUGCGGCAUCCGACACGCUGCGGGGCAAAUCUACGAAUGCUCCUGGAGAGCUCUAGAUUCGGGUAAGUAAUAGGUAGUUUACUUUCACAUGCUUGCUUUGCAUAUAGAUGCCUUACCCGCCGCUAUUUUCUUCAUCGCGUCAAUCUCCUGGAGGGCCUUUUGGGCUUCGGCCUUGGCACUCUUUGUGCUCUCGAUGGCCGCGGCAAGCUCAGACUCUCACGUCUUUGAGUCAAGCUCCAACGCCUCGUGCUUCGUCACGAGAGCCUGGAGCUCUUGCUGCACCUCGCCCACCCGAGCCUCUUGCCUUUCCCGCUCGGUGCGCUCCUUGGCCGCUUUAUCUUCGGCCUCGGAUAGUGCUUGCCUCAGGGUCGCCACUUCGGUCAUGGCCCCUGGCAAAUUCAUGAUGAUCCUGUCAUUUUGCAAUCGCAUUCUUUUUAUACAUAUCCAUAGACUAGGUAUUACUUACCUUUGUUCUCCUCGAGCUGCCUCUUGGCAAGGCCGAGCUCGUCCUUGGACCCUUUAAGGUCCUGCUUCAGUGCGGCGACCUCCGCAGUCAGUGCGACAGAUGCCAGCAACGAAGCCUGCAUAUGCAUAUUGACAUACUUAUAUUAGACUCCUGCGAUAUUGUUUGAUCCUCUGUUCGGCUUUUCUUUAUGAACACCGAACAGAGCAGCAGGGGCUACUGUCUAUGCGGUAAUAUUUUCCCUAUAUUUUAAACACUUACCUCAAAGCCUGUUAGAAGGCUGGCACAGGCUUCAGUCAGUCCGCUUUUGGCGGACUGAACCUUCUGGACCACCGCACUCAUAAUAGUACGGUGCUCCUCGUCGAUGGAAGCGCUGUGAAGCGCUCCCAACAGAUUUUCCGGCGCCUCUAGAUGGAUAGAGGUCACUGGCAUAGGUGUCUUGCCCCUCUUGGAAGGAGGCCGCCUGCCCGAGUCCGGAACCACUGGAGGUUCCGGUGCGGUGUUCGGCCGAGGGCCGAACUCGGAGCCCUCAGGGGCCUUGUUCCUUCUUCUCCCGGAGUCCGGAAGGUCGCUUUGAGGCGCCUCCGGGACUGUCUCCCAUCGACCCAGUGCCUCUUGAGACAAUACCUCGGCGUCGUCCGCAGGGCAAGGGGAGGUGGUGGUCGGAAGUGGAUCACUAUCCAUAUCCGACGAGCCCAAGGAGCCGUCCGAUGAUACAUCGAUACGGGCUCGUGGCGGCCUACAUAAUCAUAUUUGGCAUUAGGGGAAGCAGUGCGACAAAAGGAUACUAUGAGUUACUCUGGUAUCCAAAUACUUACAACCUCCCCAGGGGCUUGGCCCUGGGCAACCACUCGUCUUCGCCUUCGGCGGCGGUGGUGGAACUGUCCGGAAGGAGAUCCUUCCCUUCUUGGACCCCCCGGCCUCCCUAGUUGGGGCGGCCUUCCUUUUCUUGUCUGCCCCAACUGAAGGGGGAGCAUCUUCUUCUUCCUCCUCGUCUUCGGGGGAGGAGUGUGCCGCAGAGUCAUCAGAUGGUGAGUCCGAUGACGCCUGGCAUCGGGAACUCUUUCGGGUUCCCUUGACCUUCUUGGUCUUCUCUGGCACCGUGUAAGGAGCCGGAGUCAGCAUCUUCGUCAGAGAGCGUCUGCUGGGCCUUUGGGCAAAGGAGCCGGACAGUCGAUCUGUCCGGCCGUCUCCUGCCAAUCCUGUCAAAGGUACGGGAGCUUAGAUCCCAUGUAGAGUCAAACUAUGAAAAACAAGUAUCAUGUGAGAGGUAAAAUAGCUUACCGCGCUGGCUUGGCGCUUCGCGCAGAAUCCGCGGUCCUUGGUAGUGGGAGGGGGAACCUUGGCACUCUUGAAUAGCACCUUCCAGGCAUCUUCUUGAGUUGUGUCGAAGAGCCUGUUCAGAGUUCGAUGCUGGGCCGGGUCGAACUCCCACAAGUUGAAAGCCCAUUGUUGGCACGGGAGGAUCCGGCGGAUGAGCAUGACCUGGACUACGUUGACAAGUUUGAGCUUCUUGUUCACCAUGUUUGAAUACAUGUUUGGAGUCCGGUCAGCUCCCCGGAACUACCCCAGGACAGGCCCUUCUCUUGCCAGGAGGUGAGCCACGUGGGGAAGCCAGAUCGGAACUCGGGGGCCGCUGUCCAUUUAGGGUCACGCGGCUCGGUGAUGUAGAACCACCCCGAUUGCCACCCCUUUAUGGUCUCCACGAAGGAGCCCUUGAGCCAUGUGACGUUGGGCAUCUUGCCCACCAUGGCGCCUCCGCACUCCGCCUGGCGGCAGCUCACUACCUUCGGCUUGACAUUGAAGGUCUUCAGCCAUAAGCCGAAGUGGGGCUUGAUGCGGAGGAAGGCCUCGCACAUGAUGAUAAACGCCGAGAUGUUGAGGAUGAAGUUCGGGGCCAGAUCAUGGAAAUCCAGGCCUUAGUAGAACAUGAGCCCCCGGACGAAUGGGUGGAGAGGGAAUCCCAGUCCGUGGAGGAAGUGGGUAAGGAACACUACCCUCUCAUGGGGCCUGGGGGUGGGGAUGAGCCGCCCCUCAUCUGGGAGCCGGUGCGCGAUGUUGUUGGGCAGGUAUCUGGCUCUCCUCAGCUUCUUGAUGUGUCCCUCCAUGAUAGAGGAGAUCAUCCACCUGCCUCCCGCUCCGGACAUGGUUGGAGAAGGUCGAGGUGGGAAAUGCGGACUUGGGCGCUGGAGCUCGAGUGUGCGAAAAUGGAUGAGCAAAGGAGGAAGAAGGCAUGGAUGAAAAGGUGAAUCCUUAUCCCUUUAUUUGGGCAGACGAAACUAGGCGUCCCCAUUAGCCUAGUAAAACUCGCUUAUCCCCCAAGUGCCAUAAUCGAUGGCGCGGUUGGGUUACCCACGCCCAUAUUGAUGAGAAUCCCGUGAUGUGUCAAAAAACCGCCUCGCGUUAUGUGCAGGGCUAGUUAAAGGAAACGGUUCGAAUAAUCACCGGGCCAUGACAUAAUGUCGUGUUGCCAAAACGUGUCAGCAGAUUAGAUUUGUGGAAAUAUUAUUCUCUCUAUGGUGGUAUGUGAAACUUAUUUUGCAGGGUCGGACACUAUCCUUGUAUUCAAAUUCUUCCAUUGUGUAUUCGGAGGAGGAACCCGCCUUGCAACGCCGAAGACAAUACUGCGCGCCGGACUCAUCAUCAUUGAAAGCCUGGUUCAGGGGCUACUGAGGGAGUCCUGGAUUAGGGGGUCUCCGGACAGCCGGAUUAUAUCCUUUGGCCGGACUAUUGGACUAUGAAUGUACAAGAUUGAAGACUUCGUCCCGUGUCUGGAUGGGACUCUACUUGGCGUGGAAGGCAAGCUAGGCAAUACGGAUAUGUAUAUCUCCUCCUUUGUAACCGACCUUGUGUAACCCUAGCCCUCUCCGGUGUCUAUAUAAACCGGAGGGUUUUAGUCCGUAGGACAACGUACAAUCAUACCAUAGGCUAGCUUCUAGGGUUUAGCCUCUCCGAUCUCGUGGUAGAUCAACUCUUGUAAUACCCAUAUCAUCAAGAAUAAAUCAAGCAGGACGUAGGGUUUUACCUCCAUCAAGAGGGCCUGAACCUGGGUAAAACAUCGUGUUCCCUGCCUCCUGUUACCAUCCGCCUUAGAUGCACAACUCGGGACCCCCUACCCGAGAUCCGCCGGUUUUGACACCGACAGUAUGCUUGAAGUAUUAUUAUUUCUAUGUCAAUAUUAAACUUUUGUCUUGAAUCUUUCAAAUAUGAAUAUUCAUACCACAAUGAAGAGAAUUACAUUGGAAUUAUGCCAAGUAGCAUUCCACAUCAAAAAUUCUGUUUUUAUCAUUUACCUACUCGAGGACGAGCAGGAAUUAAGCUUGGGGAUGCUUGAUACGUCUCCAACGUAUCUAUAAUUUUUGAUUGUUCCAUGCUAUAAUAUAGUCUGUUUUGGACAUUAUUGGGCUUUAUUAUACACUUUUAUAUUAUUUUUGGGACUAACCUAUUAACCGGAGGCCCAGCCCCGAAUUGCUGCUUUUUUUGCCUAUUUUAGGGUUUCAUAGAAAAAGAAUAUCAAACGGAGUCCAAACGGAAUGAAACCUUUGUGAACGUGAUUUUCAGAAUGAACAUGAUCUAGAGGACUUGGACCCUACGUCAAGACAUCAACCAGGAGGCCACGAGGUAGGGGGCACGCACUCCACCCUCAUGGCCCCCCUGUUGCUCCACCAACGUACUCCUUCCUCCUAUAUAUACCUACGUACCCCCAAACUACCAGACACGGAGCCAAAACCCUAAUUCCACCGUCGUAACUUUCUAUAUCCACGAGAUCCCAUCUUGGGGCCUGUUCCGGAGCUCCGUCGGUGGGGGCAUCGAUCACGGAGGGCUUCUACAUCAACACCAUAGCCCUUCCGAUGAAGUGUGAGUAUUUUAUCUCAGACCUACGGGUCCAUAGUUAUUAGCUAGAUGGUUUCUUCUCUAUUUUUGGAUCUCAAUGCAAAGUUCUCCCCCUCUCUUGUGGAGAUCUAUUCAAUGUAAUCCUCUUUUGCGGUGUGUUUGUUGAGACCGAUGAAUUGUGGGUUUAUGAUCAAGUUUAUCUAUGAACGAUAUUUGAAUCUUCUCUGAGUUCUUUUAUGUAUGAUUGGUUAUCUUUGCAAGUCUCUUCGAAUUAUCAGUUUGGUUUGGCCUACUAGAUUGAUCUUUCUUGCAAUGGGAGAAUUGCUUAGCUUUGGGUUCAAUCUUGCGGUGUCCUUUCCCAGUGAUAGUAGGGGCAGCAAGGCACGUAUUGUAUUGUUGCCAUCGAGGAUAACAAGAUGGUGUUUAUUUCAUAUUGCAUGAGUUUAUCCCUCUACAUCAUGUCAUGUUGCUUAAAGCGUUACUCUGUUCUCUUGAACUUAAUAAUCUAGAUGCAUGCUGGAUAGCGGUCGAUGUGUGGAGUAAUAGUAGUAGAUGCAGGCAGGAGUCGGUCUACUUGUCUCGGACGUGAUGCCUAUAUACAUGAUCAUACCUAGAUAUUCUCAUAACUAUGCUCAAUUAUGUCAAUUGCUCAACAAUAAUUUGUUUACCCGCCGUGAAUACUUAUGCUCUUGAGAGAAGCCACUAGUGAAACCUAUGGCCCCCGGGUCUAUCUUUCAUCAUAUCAAUCUUCCAAUACUUAGUUAUUUUUAUUGCCUUUUAUUUUACUUUGCAUCUUUAUCAUAAAAAUACCAAAAAUAUUAUCUUAUCAUAUCUAUCAGAUCUCACUCUCGUAAGUGACCGUGUAGGGAUUGACAACCCCUUAUCGCGUUGGUUGCAAGGAUUUAUUUGUUUGUGUAGGUACGAGGGACUUGUGCGUGGCCUCCUACUGGAUUGAUACCUUGGUUCUCAAAAACUGAGGGAAAUACUUACGCUACUCUGCUGCAUCACCCUUUCCUCUUCAAGGGAAAACCAAUGCAAGUGCUUAAGAGGUAGCAAUGCCUAUAUACACACUACAAAAAAAAGACACAUCCAUGACAUUUUGGGCCGAACGAUUUUUUUUUCUGUCAUACAUAUGACACUUCUAUGACGAUAAUUGUGACAAAACCCGGUAUCAUCAUAGAUGUGGUGGGCUCCUACUUCUAUGACAAAAAAUCAUGACAGAAAAUGGGCUUUUCGUCCUGGGCGGGCCGGAUACGUAACCGCAUGACAUUCUUUGGGACAUCCAUGACGGAAAAAACCGUGGUAGAAGCGAGGGCGAGGAAAAUUUCGGUGAGUUCCCGGUUACGGUGGAAGGUCGGGGGCCGAGCAAUGCGCGUUUCUCUCGUACACGUACGCACAUGUGUGCGAGGCGUUGGCUCUAACUGAACCCGAGCGAGGCGUUGGGCUCUAACUGAACCCGAGCGAUUGCACUGCAGGCUACGCGUUACUGAACCCGAGCGAUCGAUCGAUGGCUGUUAACUGAACCCAAUCGAGCGAUUCCUUCGCUACUGCUGCUAACUAAAGNNNNNNNNNNNNNNNNNNNNNNNNNNNNNNNNNNNNNNNNNNNNNNNNNNNNNNNNNNNNNNNNNNNNNNNNNNNNNNNNNNNNNNNNNNNNNNNNNNNNNNNNNNNNNNNNNNNNNNNNNNNNNNNNNNNNNNNNNNNNNNNNNNNNNNNNNNNNNNNNNNNNNNNNNNNNNNNNNNNNNNNNNNNNNNNNNNNNNNNNNNNNNNNNNNNNNNNNNNNNNNNNNNNNNNNNNNNNNNNNNNNNNNNNNNNNNNNNNNNNNNNNNNNNNNNNNNNNNNNNNNNNNNNNNNNNNNNNNNNNNNNNNNNNNNNNNNNNNNNNNNNNNNNNNNNNNNNNNNNNNNNNNNNNNNNNNNNNNNNNNNNNNNNNNNNNNNNNNNNNUAGAUGAACAGGACCCCGAUCGAUCGAGCCGAUUGGGGCUGGAUGAACAGGACCCCGUGGAGGGCUGGAUGAACAGGACCACCCCGUGGAGGGCUGGAUGAAUAGGAGACGGUGGAGGGCAGGAUGAACAGUAGCCCGUGGAGGGGUGGUUGAACAGGAGCCCGUGGAGAGGGCUGGUUGAACAGUAGCCGGUGGAGUAGCGCGCGGUGGAGGCUGGAUGAACAGGAGCCCGUGGAUGAACAAUCGCAGGUGGAGGCUGGAGGAGGUUGACGGUGGAUGAACAGUAGCUCAUGGAGGCUGGAGGGGGUCGACGGUGGAGAUGAACAGUAUCUCGUGGAGUCCCGUUUUGCGGUACGCCACACCCCUCCCGAUGAACAAGACCCCCUACGGACCGUUUCUUCUGUUUUGCGGUACGCCACACCCCUCCCGAUAACAGGACCCCCGUUUCGACUGUAGGAGGUCCGUUUCCUCCGUUUUGCGGUACGCCAGACCCCUCCCGAUCAACAGGACCCCGUUCCGAACGUAGGAGGUCCGUUUCCUCUGUUGUGCGGUACACCAGGCCUCAUUUCCAUCGCCUGUUCCGUCCAGGCCCUCCCGAUGAACACGACCACGCAUUCCGUUCCGACCCAGCCGGUUGGCUCCCAUGCGUUCCAUUGCCUCCCGAUGAACACGAGUCUUCCGUUGCCUCCCCAUGAACACAAUGCAUUUUGUUGCCUCCCCAUGAACACGAUGCAUUCCGUUGCCUCCCCAUGAACACGACGACGAUGUUGUUUCUCCGUUCCACCCAGCCAUGUCAAUGAGCCCUCGCCGUACAUGUGCGCGAGUAGGCGUUCGAGACCCCGCCCGUAUGUACACAUACGUGGCCAUAUUUUCUUUCUUGCUCCCUGGCCGCCUCUACUACGACACGUGCGCGCCUCUACAUCCACCAGUAUAUAUGUACGUAAAACAUUCACGACCAGAAUGACAACGCUAGAUAUGCUUCGACCAGGUGGGUCCCGACUAUCAAGCACUUCCUUGCGUGCGAAGAUGUAGCUGGUGGGUCCCAACAGUCAGGGGGGCGAAAUACGGUGGCCCGUCCGGUGGGUCCCCGCUGUCAGGUGGAGGAAUAAUUAUUUUGCAUGUAAUAAGGAGGCACUUCCUUGUUGCGGCCGUGGACCCAGCUGUCAGCCUCUCCAUGUACAGUCCACGUCCGAUGGAAGCCGUUCCUUGACCACGUUGACCACGCCGCGCUGAGAGCACCAGGGCGGUGGACGACGGCGAGGCCUAGGAAGGGGACGACGCAGAGCUGGGGAAGACGCAGAAGUGGAUGCCCAUGCGUAGAGGAGUACGAGGGCACUAGUUUGCUGCGGUGUGAGGCUGCCGUCGCCGCAGAGUAACAGGGGGUGUGGGUGAGUAGAGGGAUGGCCUGGCCAGUGGUGGGAGUAGUAGGGGCGGUGAGGCCUCUGCCGCAUCGUAGCCGGCCACGGGAGGCAGGAGCACGAGGCACGACCGGCGCUAGUUUGGGUGGCUGGAGCAAGAAGACGAGAGGUUGAAGAAGCACUACAGACGUUGGAUGGACAUCGUACGGUCACUGGAGCUAGAAUCAUGCAUUUUGACUAAGUUGACAAAGCCCUCCGUCCCCGUCAACUUAGUAGGCCCACAAGUUAGCCUGCCACUAUACUGGGUCCCAGCUAAUAGGGGGAGUAUUCAUUUUUUUUGUGCGUAAUAAGGAGGCACUUCCUUGCGUGCGAAGAUAUAUCUGGUGGGUCCGAGCUGUCAGCGGCGGUAACGUUUUUUUUUCCGCGAAAUAUAGAGGCCCUUUCGGUGGGUCCCUGAUGUCAGGUGGAGGAAUCAUUAUUUUGCGCGUAAUAAGGACGCAUUUCCUUGCGUGCGGCCGUGGACCCAGCUGUCGGCCUCUCCACGUAUAGUCCACUUCGGAUGCAUGUCGGUCGUUGACCAUGUUGACCAGGCCGCGCCGAGAGCACCAGGGCGGUGGACGACGGCGAGGCCUAGGAAUGGAACGACACGGAGGCAGGGAAGACUCGGCAGUUGUUUCCCACACGGAGGGGAGUACGACUGUACGAGGGUUUACUGGUUCGUCUGCCGUCGCUGGAGAAUAACAACAGGUGUGGGUGAGUAGAGGGAUGGCUAGGCCAGCGAUGGGAGUACGGUGGGGCGAUGGGGCGAUGAGGCCUGUGCGGCAGCACAACCGGCCGCGGGGAGGAGGGAGCAGGCAGUCCCGCCGGUGCUUGUUUGAGCGGCUGGAGCAGGAAGAGCAGAGAUUGAAGAAGCACAAUGGCCGUUGGAUGGACAUCCAACAGUCACUGCUUGUGCGUCAACCUUUUUUUAGGAAAGCCUCAAAUCCGUGGAAAACAGCAUACAACCCAUCUGCCAUUAUUUCUAAUAAUUUCCAGCCCAUUUGCUAAUUCUUAAGGUUUUUUUGGAGCCCAUAUUCUUUUUGUUAGCAUUAGAGCCCAAAUUGUGGCCACGGUUAAAAAAUUAUACGAAAUUUUGCAUAUUCCGGUGCGGUCCGAACUGUUUUUAAUCCCGAAAUUUCGACUCACAUUCAAACUGAUUUUAAAAAUAAAUGUAUAUCAAUAUAAAAUCCAAAAAAUUCUCCACGCAUAAAAAUUAAUGUAAUUUAAAAUCUUGAAAUGAAAAAAAAGAUAUUUGAAACUAAUUGCCGGUUUGAUGUGUUUUAAAAAUGUACAACCCAUUUCUCAUUAUUGAUGGGCCAUUUUCUCGGCCAGCCGAAUAAAAGCUCUCCUCGUCUUGAAAGAUUUGCAGCCCAACAGGCCUGACAAAGUGACUUACUUGGCAAAUCACAAAAAAACUGGGCUGUGGCUGUGGACCCAGCUGUCAGCCUCUCCACGUACAGUACUCUUCCGAUGGAAGUCGUUCCUUGACCACGUUGACCACGUCGCGCGGAGAGCACCACGGCGGUGGACGAUGGUGAGGCCUAGGAAGGGGAUGACGCGGAGCCAGGGAAGACACGGCAGUGGAAGCCCGCGCGGAGAGGAGUACGAGGGUUCACUAGUUCGGCUGCGGUGUGAGGCCGCCGCCGCCGCAGGGCCUGGCCAGUGGUGGGAAUAGUAGGGGGCGGUGAGGCCUCCACGGCAGCACAGCCAGCCACGGGAGGCAGGAGCAUGCGGCACGACCGGUGUUGCUUUGGGCGGCUGGAGCAAGAAGACCAGAGGUUGAAGAAGCACUACGGCCGUUGGAUGGACAUCGUAUGGUCACUGGAGCUAGAAUCGUUCAUAUUGACUAAGUUGACAAAGCCCUCCGUCCCCGUCAACUUUGUUGGCCCACAAGUCAUCCUCCCACUAUGCUGGGUCCCAGCUAGCAGGGGGGUAUUCAUUUUUUUGUGCAUAAUAAGGAGGCACUUCCUUGCAUGCGAAGAUAUAGCUGGUGGGUCUGACAUGUUAGCGGGGGGAACGUUUUUUUGCGAAAUACAGAGGCCCUUCCGGUGGGUCCCAGCUGUCAGGUGGACGAAUCAUUAUUUUGCACGUACAGUCCACGCCGAUGGAUGUCGUUUGUUGACCAAGUUGACCAGGCCGCACCGAGAGCACCAUGGCGGUGGAUGACGGCGAGGCCUAGGAAGGGAACGACACGGAGCUAGGGAAGACUCGACAAUGGUUGCCCACACGGUGGGGAGUACGAGGGUUUACUGGUUCGGCUGCUGUCGCCGGAAAAUAACAGGAGGCGUGGGUGAGUAGAGGAAUGGCCUGGCUAGGAAUGAAGUAGGGUGGGGCGGUGCGGCCUGUGCGGCAGCACUGCCGGCCACGGGAGGCGGGAGCAGGGAGUCCCACCGGAGCUGGUUUGGGCGGCUGGAGCAAGAAGAUCAGAUAUUGAAGAAGCAGCACGGCCGUUGGACUAACAUCCAACGGUCACUACUGCUAGAAUCGUUUGUGGACUAAGUUGACAAAGCCAAAGUACACGUCAACCUAGUAGACCCACAAGUCAGCCUCCAAAUCUGUCCCAAACAGCAUACAUCCCGAAAUUUCUAGCCAGAUUCAAAUUAAUUUUAAAUCUAAAUAUACCUUAAUUUAAAUUCAGUGAAAUUUUACCCGCACAAAAACAAUGAAAUUUAAAAUAUCAAAAUCCGAAAGAAAACAGUAUUUUGGAACUAAUUGUCUGUUUGCUAUAUUUUUUCAUUUUACAGCCCAUUUAUUAUUACUUAUAGCCCAUUUCUUAUUACUUAUAGCCCAUUUUCUGGGCAAAAUGCAUCCCUCCUCGUCUUGAAAGAUUUCCAGCCCAGCAGGGCGUAGAAAAGCAAGUAGGCCUACGUUGGUUAUUCUAUAAAAACAAAAUAGCUGGCUAGCAAUUUUCAGAAAGGAAAAAAACAAACUGGGCUGGUCAUGUGCUAAAAUAUGAAAUAAAAGCCUGGGCUAGACGGGCCACGGGUCCCGCACAACCCAGUUGAUACCCUUCUCCAUCCCGAAAAAACAAAAUUACCGCGUGCGCUGCUGGGUCCCUACUGUCAUCCUCACCAUGUACAGUCAUCUCCUUAUUCCUCUCAGUUGUUGACCAUGUUGACAACACCGGAGGGCGGCGCCGCAGCGAGCAAACCAAGGCAGAGGACGAUGGUGAGGCCUCGGACGGGAACGAACAGGAGCCGGGGCAGAUCAUAGCCAGCCGUGGGAGGCGGGAGCAGGCGGUCCCGCCGGCGCUGGUUUGGCUUUGGCGGCUCGAGGAAGAAGAUACUGAAGAAACGCGACAGACAUUGAAUGUCAAUCCAACGGUCAAGGUUGGCACAAUCGUUUGUUGACUAAGCGGACACCAAGUAGCAUACUUUUUUAUAUAUAGGAAGAAAACUGCGAGGAAAAUGCGUUCGUCUGCCGUCCUCCUCACAGGGAAUGUUCACCACAUAAGUGACUAGCACCCUUGGUUUUAAACCGAGAGGUCUUGGGCUCGAGUCCCAGGAACUCUCAAUUUUGUCCUCCUUCCUUCCUCGCAAAAAAGGGAAAGAAAAUCAAAGACUUGGGAAGGUGUACAAAACAAGCUAGUGUACCAGUAAAGAGACGUUGCCAAGUUUUAGAAAAAAGAAUGACGUGCUCCUGUAGCUGGUUCGAACUCAAACCUAGACUAUGACUAUAUAUGGUGCUAUGCUACUCUUUAAGUAAUGAAACUGACAUAUCCAACAUUCGUUUCUCCUCUUCUCUACUUACUCUACCUAGCAUCAGAAGCUCUGGCCGCAGCAACCAUGUUCGCUGGCUGCUCGUCCACCUGCUCUUCAGCAGGCAAUAACCAGAUAUGCGCCAAGUCGCAACCCGUACCAUCGCCUGUGGGUCUCAUCACACCCUCGCCGGCACGCACACCGCAGCCGAUUGCUCAUCGCAACCCGCUGCCGUUGGUGUGGUGCCACUGCUGCAAAUCACGCAGAGUCAUCCAUCGUGUCUCAACCACAAUCCGCAACCCUGGCCGAGUCUUCUACAAAUGCCUAAAUCAUGGGGUAAUAAUAUGUUUAAGUGUUGUUCUGCUGCUUUCAGUUGCUGAUUUUUUUAAUAGUUUGGUUGAUGAUCUACCAAUUUGAUUCGUGCAGAAAAGGGAAGAUUCGUGUGAUUUGUAUUUCUGGGAAGUUGUUGAUGUGGGGGAAUGCAACUAUGCUGAUUAUUUGGUUAGCCGAGGAAUCCCAAUACCAGCAGGUUGGGGUGUUGGACAAGUAACUGAAGGAACGGCAGAAGAGGAAGAUGCAAAGCAGAAGGUUAAAGAUGCAGUUCCUCUGAUCAUGGCCAAGCAACAGCUGCUAAAUGGUCUUGACAGCAAUGAGGAGAUGAAAGAGCUUGUGAAGAUAAUGGGCAAAAUCGAUGUGCUCUGUAGGAUGAUUGUCUCUUUAUUUGCAGUGUAUGUAGCACUCAUGAUGUAUUCAGUGGCUACGACAUGAGCACUUUGCUGAAACUAGUAAUGAAUGAAACAUAUGUAGCAGGCUGGGCAUAGUGUUGUGAACAUCUAAUGAUUUCUAUUAACGGAAAUCAGGGGGUAUCCCCUUUUGCUCAUAUAAAUAAAUAGCAGAGGCCCUGUCGGGUCAACUUUGUACUCAUUCGAAGAUGUCGAGCAAAUUGCAGUCCAACAUCAAACUAUGUCAUCAAAUUCAAGUUUCACAACCAAAUAUAAGUACAACUAAACAACAAUGUCAUCAUGUUUUAGUUGUCAUACAAUCACCAAACACAAAUCAGCAUACAUAACAAGUGAUGUUCUCACAGCAAAAUACUAAACAACAUGUUCAUCAGGUUUCAGUUGUCAUAGCAAACACAAUUUCACAUAGUAGAUAAAAAACGUCUUCUGACAGGCAAAUACGACAAAAGCAAUGUAAUCAUCAUCCGCAGCAGCAGCGUCAACAUCUUCGCCAUGUGUAUCAGUCUGAAUCGUAGUUCCCCACGGUGUCAUCUUCUUCUUCAUCCUCAACGUCCCCGAACGUUGGCUUCUUCUUGAUCAACUCUUGUAUGUCCACAGCACGACAGACAAUCUUUUCGCCUGCGUCAUUGACGUGAUGGUUCUCAAAGAUAUUAGGAGCAUCUGUGUUAUCUUGUACAUCAGGAGCAGUGUAAGCAUCAUCUUGUUGUGCAACUUCAUUAAACGAAUUCCUCUGCUCAAACCUUUGCAAUACUCUCCAGUCAUCACUACAUGCAAAUGUGUCUUCCAAGAAAAAUGUCUGUGUUGCUUGAUUUGCCAAAAUAAAAGGCUCGUUGGUCUAGUACGCCGCCUUGACAUUGAUGGAUUUGAAAUAAUCAUCAGCUCUGGGUUUUGUGAUCCUGGAAAACAGGUUAUACGAACGAUAGCACAAUAGAACCACACACCGAUGAUCCUCGAAACUGGAGAUAUACUGCAAUUGAAUAAUGUCUGUUAUGUUAGCAUACAUUUCAGUUGUCUCUUUGUCAUAUGCAUCCGUGCUCAUGAUGGCACUAUUUUGUGUCUUCCUGCCUUCGUCUCGUGCAAGGGUGUUGUAGUGCACAUCUCCAACAACGCAAGAUUCAUAAUGUCUUACCCUAGUAUGAGGGCCCAUUGCUAGUGAGUAAAGGGCAUCAUCAACUGCCUGCCCAUCCUCCCGCAUCUUCUUAACCUAUGGUUAGAAAAUAGACAAGCUGGUCAUCUUAUGUACUUAAUAUAUUAAAAAAACUGAUAGUGCACUUCAAAAGCUUACAUGGUUCUUGAACCAUUUCGCAAAUCCUGCCAUAACUAGUUUGUCAAUGUUUCUUGGAUUUUGCGGCAGUAACUCCUCUUUGUAGAUGCUGCACAACAUAGUGAUCGCGUCAAACAUAUAAAUAUAUAAGAAUGUGCUGCAAGUUUAGUAGAUUACGAUGUAUAAGCUGUAGUACUGCACUUACUUGAUAUAAGGUAGUAUCUCAAGAUAGUUAUUCAACACAUACCAAACCAUUUUGUCCAAAUCUGUAGGUUUGUCCUCUUGUCGAAUCUUCCCUGUAACUCGAACAGAAUAAUCGAAAACAUUAAGCCCGGGAUUGUCUUCACCCACCUCUUUGCUAAGCUUGUCGGAUUUCAGGUUUCGGCAGACCCUUGAGGUUCGAACACUGGGGUGCGCGCGGAGAUCUCUCCCCUACAGAUCUACGUCUGAUCCUCUCGUGCGAACUAAGAUGAAAAAUGAUGAACAACACAAGAGACACAAGGUUUAUACUGGUUCGGGCCACCAUUGUGGUGUAAUACCCUACUCCAGUGUGUGGUGUGGUGGAUUGCCUCUGGGGCUGAUGAUGGACAGUACAAGGGAAGAACAACCUCGCGAGGGAUGUUCUUGAGCUGGUGCAGUGUGUUCUACUUAGUCUCUACUGGGUUUUCUCUCUCUCUGCUAGAGUUCUACCAGAUCCCCCUCUCCCUUUGUGGAGGCUAGCUCUAUUUAUAGAGGCCCUGGGCCUCUCCCCGAAUAAUUGAGCGGGAAGGGCGCCAACAAUUGGCCAUUUUGAAGGGGAACAUCUAGUACAAGUUAUCCUGACCAAAGGUGGUCUUCGGCUGCCAAAAGCACUUGUGAUGACACCGUCUUGGGCUCCACGGUGACGUCCGUCCGGCUGGUCUUGGUCUCGUUGCACCGGAAUGGUAACCUUUGCCUGAUACCUUGGCCUGUGCUUGCCGCCUUUGCACCAAAGGGGAAACAAGGACCCUGUGCAGGCCGGCGCCCGCCUAGUCUCGAUCGUCAUGGCUUGCGUCACGGGUUCCUUGCGAGGUACCCCUGCCUUGAUCUCUCCGCCUCCUCGCGAGCCUGCCUGAUGAGGCUGCCUCUGAGGAAGCUUCCUGUCGUCCGCCCUGCGAGGCUUGGCCCCUCGCGAGGGUCUUGAGCUUCCGUUGAUGAAGAUGGGCCGCGCUGGGCCCCCACUUGAGCCAUGCCGCAGGCAGGCAAGUCUGGGGACCCCCAUUCCCAGAAUGCCGAUAGUAGCCCCCGGGCCCAAGGCGCGCCCAGGCUUGGCCUGGCGGGGGAGCGAAGGGGUAAGCGCGAAGCGCCAUGGGCCCCAACAGCCUGCGGCCUUGGGUGCCGCGUGGCGGUUGACUAGACAUGGUCGUAUGCGCUUCCCAUGACGCCCCGGCGACCGCACGACUUGACAAGUACCUGUAUGCAGAGAAACCGGUCAUGAUUACCUGUGAUCGUGGUGCUCGGCGGUUGGCCUCCUCUGGCUAUAAGUAUGGGGCUGGGCGAGCCCCUUCAGUCCAUCCCUUCUUGCUGCUCCUUUUCUUCUUCUUGGCUAAUCGCCGUCCCCAUGGACCCAAAGAGAUUCUCGGCCGCGGAGAAAGGAAAGGCCCCCCCGGGCAGGGCCUGACCCUCCCCGACCAAGCGCGGCCGAGGCCGCCCUCGCAAGUACACCACGGUCCCCGUGGUAGCCUCCCGCGGUCAUGGAGGCGGUUCCCUGCGUGGUGGUGAGCGCCCGGUUGCCAACGGGGGGCACGCCGUGGGUGUGCGCCCCCUAGACCACGCUUCCGCUCUGUGGAGGUGCUGCCGGAGUUCGUCGUGUGGUCGGCGGACCCAUCCAGCACCCGGCUCCAGCUCCCACGUUUCUUCAUAGAUGAACUGUCGGCCAGCACUCGGUGCAGCUUCUGGCUCCAGGCAGACGGCUGCUGCAGUAGGGCCUCCUAGGCAUCGCUGGAGGUCUCCGUCUCUGGGAACGGGGCCCUGACGCGCGGCUGGCAAAUGUUUGCCCGCGCGCGCGGCCUGGGCCGGUGGUGUACCCUGUACUUCAAGUUCGAUGACGAUGCCACCCUCUACGUGAGGGUGUUUGGGGAAGAUGGUCGCCAUGCCGGGUGCUGCCCUGAAGACGACGACCGCGGCCGCCUGCCCAGCCCCGACACUGACCAGGAUGAAGAUGGCGAUUGGCGUACAGGAGGCGGGGCUUGGGGUUCGCCAAGUUUCGUCGACUCUCCCUCAGGCAACAGCUCCUCUAGUGGUGGCCGCGACCAGCCCCCGUGCCGUCGCGCUCGCCUGGGUGAAGGCAGCGGGUCCACCCGCCAUCGCGCCCUCGUGAAGCGAGAGGAGGCGUCCGCUUGAUCCCUAGGAGCAGCUCGAGCUUUUGCUGUAGGUUGGUGUUGGACAGGUCGUGUCCAUUUUGUUUCCUUCCUUUCCUACGUAAGAAGAAGGUAGUACAGGGCCCCGUGGGGGAGUGUUAGAACUGUUGCUGUCAAGUGUCGCGUUGCUUUUGCCAUUUCUGCGCUAUGUUCCGUGCUGUGUGUCCAUGUGCGGGAGUCAUUUGAGCUUGGUGGAGCUUGACGCGGCCCUCGCCUCCGGAGGCUGAGGCCUCGCCGUGCACUUCAUGCCCUGCAAUAUUUAGUUAGAGGGGUAGCUUACGGUCUUGGUUGUGGGGGCGAUCAGCCUAGGUCAUACGCUCCUGUCGCGAUGCCCGUGGGGCACGGACUGGGAGGGGUGCUCCCGCAGAGGACUCAGAUAGGGAAGCUCCAAACGAUCGGGGUAGAAAACACUCGCGAGGGCGCCCGCGACUCCCUCGCGAGACUUGUGCGAGAGAAAACGAGGCAAGCGAGCGAGAAAGACAAAGAGUCACAAGCCAGGAACGCCAACAACUCCAAUAAGACUUCAAACGGGAAUAAACACGCCAACUGCAGAAAGCAAAUGAAAAAGCCGCGUCCGGCACCUAUUCUAGUCUUCGACGUCUUCUCACCAGCGCAGAGCUAAGUGCUGCCACUGGGCGUGGGCGGGAACCCCCGAGGCCCAAGGGCGGCAGUCCGGAGACUCCGGGGCGUGUACAUCCCCACUCAUUAUUACGUGAGAGUGUCACGGGCGGCGAGCUUCACAGGCGUUUGCCUUCUUCACAGGCACCGAGCCUUUCCCAAAACGCGAUAGCUUCACAGGCAUUGGCCUUCUUCACAGGCACCGGGCCUUUUCCAAAACGCAGCGGCUUCACAUGCAUUCACCUUCUUCAUAGGCACCGGGCCUUUUCCAAAAUGCAGCGGCUUCACAGGCAUUCACCUUCUUCACAGGCACCGGGCCUUUUCCAAAACGCAGCGGCUUCACAGGCAUUUGCCUUCUUCACAAGCACCGGGCCUUUCCUAGGCGUUAGGCCUCGCUCAGGGAUAGAACCUCCGGAGAUGUUGAAUGUUCCACGCGUUCUGGAUAGGUACCCCCUCCGUGGUCUCCAAGCGCGCGGAGCCAGGCCUGGAGACAUGAACAACCUUGAACAGGCCCUCCCACAUGGGAGAGAGCUUGUGCAGCCCCUCCCUGGAGAGAACCCGUCUGAGCACGAGAUCCCCUACCUCAAGAGUUCUGGGGCGUAUGUUGCGGCAGUGGUAUCGUCGCAGCGCCUGUUGAUACCUUGCCGCUCGCAGUGCGGAUUCUCGACGGUGUUCCUCCCCCAGUACGAGAUCCGUCCCCCGCAUGGCGUCCUGAUGCGUCUCGUCGAACGCCAGAACCCGCGCAGAGCGACGCCUGACCUCAUGAGGGAGGACAGCCUCUGCUCCAUAGACGAGGAAGAAUGGGGUCUCGCCAGUCAGUUUGGUCGCAAUUGUGCGGAUUGACCACAACACGGACUGGAGCUUGUCGUACCAACCCCUGCCGCAGGCCUCCAGCUUCUUCUUGAAGGUCCUGGCUUUGAGGCCCCUCAGGACCUCCGCGUUGGCCCGCUCGGCCUGGCCGUUGCUCCGGGGGUGUGCUACCGAAGCGUAGCAUAUCCGCGUUCCAAGGUUAGCACAUUAUGUUUUGAAGAGAUUACAGGUGAAUUGUGAAUCAUUGUCGGUGAUGAUGCGGUUGGGCACCCCAAAUCGGCUCACGAGGCCCUUGAUGAAUUUGACCGCUGAGCCUGCCGGGAUUAUGCGGACGGCUUCCACCUCAGCCCACUUGGUGAAUUUGUCCAUGGCGACGUAGAGGUAGCGAUAGCCCCCUGGCGCCCGAGGAAACGGGCCUAGAAUGUCGAGCCCCCAAACUGCGAACGGCUAUGAGAGGGGUAUAGUCUGUAGACCCCCUGCAGGCUGAUGGAUCUGCUUAGCAUGAAACUGGCAGGCCUCGCAAGCCUUCACAAGCUCAACGGCAUCGUUGAGUGCUGUGGGCCAAUAGAAUCCACUACGGAAUGCCUUGCCGACGAGGGUCCGUGACGACGAGUGGUGCCCGCAGUCUCCGCCGUGUAUGUUCGCUAGUAGAUCCUUCCCUUGCUCUCGGGAGAUGCAGCGUAGGGACAUGUCAUUUGGUCGCUUCCUGUAGAGCUCGCCAUCCUGGAUGCAAUAAGCCGUGGCCUGCCGCGCCACAUGCUCCGCCUCCUCCUCAUUCUCCGGCAGAGUCCCUUGCAUCAGGUAGUUCUUGAGCUCCGGGAUCCAACACCCUUCCCGAGGCUCUAACGCCAGGAGCAGGCGUGCCCCUGAGGCUGGACCGCAGACCGGGCUCCUGAGGUAGGCGGCUGAGGGAGCUCCUCCCUUGGUUGUGCCAUGCUCGACAGCUACGACACCGUCGAGGGUUUGAAGAGCUGCUCCUGAAAGACGCCAGGCUCCUGAGGCAGCUGCCUAGAUGCCCUCUUGGCAAUGUCGUCAGCCUCCUGAUUGGUGCCAUGAGGCACAUGCUGCAACUCCAGUCCCCAGAACUGUUUCUCCAUCUUGCGGACCUCAGCGAGGUAGGCUUCCAUGUGCUCGUCCUUUGGCUCGUAUAUCUUGUUGGAGAAGUUGAUGAGGAGCUGCGAAUCGCCCUUGAUGAUGAGGCGCUUCACCCCUAAGGCAGUUGCGGCCUUCAAGCCUGCUAUUAGGCCUUCAUACUCCGCUAUGUUGUUGGAGACCUUUUCCCCGUGCUGGAAGCAAAGUUGCACGCCGUAGUAGAGUUUGUCCUGGGUAGGGGAUAUGAGCACUGCGCCAGUUCCUGCACCGUGUCGGGAGAACGCCCCAUCAAAGUACAUGACCCAGCCAUCCGGUGCUUCACUUACCGGGGAAGUGAUCGGUCUUCGCCUGCCUCGAGACCCGGCGCUUCUGCCCAUUCUGCCACGAAAUCCGCUAGCGCGGCUCCCUUGAUGACUCUGGUCGUACUGAAUUCUAGCUGAAAUGCCUGUAGCUCGAUGUUCCAUUCAGCAACCCUUCCAGCUGAGUUGGGGCUCCUGAGUACCCUCUCCAAGGGGUAUGCCGAGACGACCUUGAUGGGGUGGCCUUGGAAGUAGUACUGCAGCUUGCGUGAGGCCACCAAUAGCGCAAGGAGGAGCUUUUGAGGCAUGGGGUACCGCGCCCUCGCGUCGCGUAGCACUGUGCUGACGAAAUACACGGGGUGCUCGACGAGGUUGAGGGUGCUGGCACUGCUUGCGUCCUCCAGAGGUCGAGGCGUCUCUUGAGACGACGGAGCUCCUAGUGCUUGGUCGCCUGAAGGGGCCUCUCCUGCUCCGGGUGCGUUCUCCUGCCGCUGCUGUUCCUUUCCAGCUGCGGUUGCGGCCUUCGUGAGGCCCUCCUGGCUCUGCUUCACUUCAGUUCGGACGGUUGAUGCGGCCUUGGCACAGCGCUCCUCCCUGACUGCUACCAGGGCUGCACUAGCGGAGUAGGGGGUGGCCGCAAGGUAGAGCACCAGGGGCUCCCGAGGACGCGGAGCUACCAUCACUUGUGGACUGGUAAGGUACCUCUUGAGGUCUUGGAAUGCCUUGCCAGCCUCUUCAGUCCAUUCGAAGGGGCCCUUUUUCUUCAUCAGCUUGAAGAAGGGCAGCGCUUGUUCCCCCAGCUUGGAGAUGAAAUGCCCCAGCGCAGUUACACGCCCGGUGAGCUUCUGCAUUUCUCUGAGGGUCCUUGGCGGGCUCAUGUCUUCCACUGCCUUGACCUUCUCCAGGUUGGCCUCGAUGCCCCUGUGGGAUACGAGGAAACCCAGGAGCUUGCCUGAGGGGACCCCAAACACGCACUUCUCCGGGUUGAGCCGUAGGUCCACUUUGUUGAGGCUCGCGAAGGUUUCUUCCAGGUCCUGUAUCAGGGUCCUUGCCUCAUGAGACUUCACCACAAUGUCAUUGACGUAAGCUUCUGCGUUCCUCCCGAGCUGCCGGCCUAAGGCGAUGUGCAUCAGCCGCUGAAAGGUCGCGCCUGCAUUGUGCAACCCAAACGGCAUGCACGUAUAGCAGUACAAUCCACACGGGGUCAGGAAGGCCGUCUUCUCCACGUCUUCUACCGCCAUCUUGAUCUGGUGAUAGCCCGAGAAGGCAUCUAUGAAGCACAAUAGGUCACACUCUAUGGUGGAGCCGACUGUCUGGUCAGUGCGGGGGAGUGGAAAUGGAUCCUGCGGGCAGGCCUUGUUGAGGUUGGUGAAGUCGACGCACAUGCGCUCCGUCCUCCCUUUUUCAGCACAAUGACCGGAUUAGCCAGCCAAUCAGGGUAGCGGACCUCGUGGAUAACUCCUGCCGCCUCUAGCUUUCGGGUCUCUUGAACGAUGAAAGCUUGUUUCUCAGUAGACUGCUGCCUUGCCUUCUGCUUCACGGGGCGCACAUUGGGGCACACGUUGAGGUGAUGCUCAAUCACUUCCCUUGGGACUCUUGCUAACUGAUCAGGUUCCCGCGCAAACACCUUCUUGAUUGCACGCAGGAAACCGAUCAGGGCUUUCUCUUGCUCGGACUUGAGGUUGGACCCUAUGGUGAAGGUGGUGCUAGGGGACCCGUCCUCAUCGACUAGUACCUGCUUGGUUUCUGCCUUGUCUUGGGUGAACAACUGCUUCUUUUUAGCCGGCGCAUCCCCCUUGGGCUCAAGGGCGUCGGUGCCAGUGGGCUGCGCCACCGCGGCCACCCUGAAAACAAGCUGGAGCACCUACAGCACAUCCCUUGUGUCUCCUGACACGAUGAGGACGCCGCUGCUCCCAGGCAUCUUCAUGAGGUUGUACGCCGGGUGAGUUGCUGCCAUGAACCAAGCUAGGGCCGGAUAGCCGAGGAUGGCGUUGUAGGGGAGGCCGAUGGGGGCGAUGUCGAAGUCGAUCAGAUCCGUGCGGAAGUUGUCGCAGGUGCCGAAGGUCACUUGGAGGCGGAUCUGCCCCAAGGAGGCGGUGGAACCGGCUCCGACGCCCGAGAAAGGCCUGCUGGGUCGGAGUUGCUCCAGCGGCAUGUGGAGGAGGCUGAAGGGCUCCACUGAGAGCACGUUAAGGCCGGCACCACCGUCGAUGAGGGUCCUGGUGACGGCCACUUGGCAGAUGGUGGGGGUGCACAGCAUCGGGAGCGCGCCCGAACCAAUGGGGUUGAAGGGGUGGUCCUCCGAUUCGAAGGUUAGAUCGGCCUCGGGCGCCACCCAGCCCAGGGGGCUUCUUGGUGCUUGGAGGCAGUGCUGAUCCGGCGGGUGAAUGGCUUGACGUGAUGGCUCAAGGGUGGUGCCUGGGAGCCACCCAGGAGAGCUGCGACGACGGGCGGCGCUGGUGCGGCGAAACGGGCAAGGAAGAGGUCGCGCAGCUCCUCCCAGGAGGUGACAGAGGCCGUCGACAGGUGGUGGAGCCACGCAGGCGGGAUGCCGGUGAGGGCCAUGGGUAACCAGUUGGCCAUCACCCGAUCGUCGCCCCCGGCUCCGAGGACGGCCUCCUCGUACGCUAGCAGGAAAAACAUCGGGUCCGUCGCGCUGUCGUAGCGCGGUGGCAUCUCGGGCCUAAACUUGCGCGGCCACUGCACCUGUCGCACGGCGGAGGCCAAGGCCCGGAGCCCCCUGGCCCCAGUGUCGGCAUCUGUUGCUGGAGCGGGCGGCGCGUUGUCCGUCAUGAGGGCGGGAUGUGAUGUUGAGGGAGAGCGGGUCGUCAGGAGGGAGGACUAUGGCGCACCCCUACCUGGCGCGCCAAAUGUCGGAUUUUGGGUUCCGGCAGACUCUUGAGGUUCGAACACUGGGGUGCGCGCGGAGAUCUCUCCCCUACCGAUCUACGUCCGAUCCUCUCGUGCGAACUAAGAUGAAAAAUGAUGAACAACACAAGAGACACGAGGUUUAUACUGGUUCAGGCCACCGUUGUGGUGAAAUACCCUACUCCAGUGUGUGGUGUGGUGGAUUGCCUCUGGGGCUGAUGAUGGACAGUACAAGGGAAGAACAGCCUCGCGAGGGGUGUUCUUGAGCUGGUGCGGUGUGUUCUACUUAGUCUCUACUGGGUUUUCUCUCUCUCUGCUAGAGUUCUACCGGAUCCCCCUCUCCCUUUGUGGAGGCUAGCUCUAUUUAUAGAGGCCCUGGGCCUCUCCCCGAAUAAUUGAGUGGGAAGGGCGCCAACAAUUGGCCAUUUUGAAGGGGAACAUCUAGUACAAGUUAUCCUGACCAAAGGUGGUCUUCGGCUGCCAAAAGCACUUGUGAUGAAGCCGUCUUGGGAUCCACGGUGACCUCCGUCCGGCCGUCCGGCUGGUCUUGGUCUCGUUGCACCGGAAUGGUAACCUUUGCCUGAUACCUUGGCCUGUGCUUGCCCCCUUUGCACCAAAGGGGAAACAAGGACCCUGUGCAGGCCGGUGCCCGCCUGGUCUUGAUCAUCAUGGCUUGCGUCACGGGUUCCUCGCGAGGUACCCCUGCCUUGAUCUCUCCGCCUCCUCACGAGCCUGCCUGAUGAGGCUGCCUCUGAGGAAGCUUCCUGUCGUCCGCCCCAUGAGGCUUGGACCCUCGCGAGGGUCUUGAGCUUGCGUUGACGAAGAUGGGCCGCGCUAGGCCCCCACUUGAGCCACGCCGCAAGCCGCAGGCAGGCAAGUCUGGGGACCCCCGUUCCCAGAACACCGACAAAGCUGAUCAACUAUUUCAAUGUAUUUUGAGCAGAAUGUCAAUGCUUCUGUAGCAAUGUAGGCCUCUGCAAUGGAACCCUCGGGUCUAGCUCUGUUCCUAACAUAGCCCUUGAAAGUGCCUAGCCACCUUUCAAUAGGGUACAUCCAGCCAUAUUGUACUGGACCUCUAAGUAGUGCCUCAUCAGGUAGAUGAACAAACAAAUGCACCAUCACAUCAAAGAAGGCUAGAGGAUAUAUCUUCUCAAGGUCGCAUAGGAUAGUUGGUAUCUUGUCUCUAAGACGCUCCAAAGCAUCUAUCCUAAUAUUCCUACUUCAGAGUUCCCUGAAGAAUUGUCCCAACUCUGCAACUGCUCUGUAUAAGUCAGGGCGGCCCAAUCAUCUAAGGAUAACAGGUAAAACCCUUUGAAGUAGGACAUGACAGUCAUGAGUUUUCAACCCUUGUACCUUGUUUCCAUCUGCACUGACUCUCCUUUCAGGGUUGGAAGCAAAUCCAUGUGGGAAUCUCACACGUGACAGGACCUCGCAAAAUUCUUUUCUUUUUACCUUGUCCAAGACGUACACAGCUGGUGCCAUAUCCCGUGGUUUACCUUCAUCUUGCACCUGCAAAUCCUUUCUGAUACCCAGGUGUGUCAAAUCAAUCCUAGAUUUUAAGGUAUCUUUCGUCUUGCCUUCAAUAUUAAGAAGUGUGCCGAUAAUGCUGUCACAUAUAUUUUUCUCGAUGUGCAUCACAUCAAGAUUAUGCCGCAGAUCCAAAUCUUUCCAAUACUCCAAGUCUCACAAAGUGGACCCGCGGGUAAACAAUAAUCUCUCUUCUACCCUGCCACGCUUCCUUUUUCCGCUACCAUUACCAGGAUGGUUUCCUGGUGUAAUAUGCCUGACCUUCUCUAAUUCCACUUGCAACUCAUCGGCGGUGAGCCUCUUUGGCGCAUCAUGGUUUUCAUGCUUUGCAUUGAACACAUGUCUUCGGUAUUUUCUAGGACGCGGCUUGUCCUUGGCAAGGAAACAGCGGUGUCCAAUGUAACAGAUCUUGCUAAGUAUUGCGUAUGACAGCGGAUUCCUGUCACAGCGAACACAUGCAUUGUAACCAUGUGUCGUUCGCCCUGACAUAGUGCCCAAAGCCGUAUAAUCAUGGAUGCACCAAAUUAUAAUAGCACGCAGAAAGAAAUCAGUUGGUGGGCUGCUAUAUAGGUCUCGAGUGAGAACACCCUUCCAUAGCUGUUGAAGUUCCUCCACAAGAGGCUCCAUGAACAAAUCAAAAUCCUUUCCAGGACUUUUUGGACCUGGGAUGACCAAGGCCAUCAUGUAGUUUGAUUCUUUGGUGCAGACAUUUGGAGGCAUGUUGUAAGGGAUAACAAGCACUGGCCACAUGCUAUAUGUGGCGCUCUGGUGGCCAAAUGGGUUAAAUCCAUCUAAAGCUAAGCCAAGUCUAAUGUUUCUCGGGUCAGUAGCAAACUCUUUGUGUUUAUCAUUGAAGCUUUUCCACUCACUACCAUGAGAUGGAUGGCUCAUUACAUUCUAAUCUCUGUACUCCUGGUUCCUAGAAUGCCACAGUAAAUCCUAUCUUAUUUCAGCAUCAUGAAACAACCUCUGCAAUCUUGGUGUAAUUGGAAAAUGUCUCAGAACAUUAUGAGGAAUCCUCUUCACAGCAUCGCCAUCUUUCCAUCUUGAUGAUUUGCAUUUCGGGCAUUCACUUAAGUUGGCAUAAUCCUUUCGGAACAGAACACAAUUAUUCUUACAAACAUGGAUCAUAUCAUAUCCAAUUCCAACUGCACGAAGGAAAUUCUUCAUUUUACUGUAGGUGUGUGGCAGCUCAGACGCAUCUGGGAAAGAUUCGUAGAAAGCAGCCACCAUCGCAUCGAAUGAUUUGUUGGUCAUCCGCUCAGAUGUCUUCACCUUAAGAAAGGUGACCAUAGCUGAGAAUACUGACAACUUAUUUCCUGGGGUGACAGUAACGUUGCAUUGUUCCAACAUGCGGGCCCACCAUUUUUCUUCUGCAGGUGAAAGUUCACAGAAUGCACGAGCAUUUCAUAGCAUUGUUUCAAUGUUGGUCAAACUCACUGGCUCCGCCACCACCACCUCCUCCUCUUCUACCUAAGCAUCAGGCAAAUCAAGAUGGUGAUCUGCUGCUUCGACGUAGUCAAUAACAUUGACGUUCACAGCUUCACCAUGAUGAACCCACCUAGUAUAUGUGACCGACAUCCCAUACAAGCGUAGAUGAUUUUGCACAGUUGACUGGGGUCUUGUAACUGAAUUCAUACAACUGCUACACGGGCAGAGCACAUCUGAUUUCGGACCAUCGUACUCAGCUCUGAUAAAGUUCAUGAAGUUUUCAACCCCCUUGACAUAUGCAGCGGAGAAUCUUCGAGCAGAAGUUAUCCAAGUCAUGUCCAUCUGUUAGACAUACAAAUUAGUUCUUCUACUAGAUAUUACAGGAAAAACAUAUAUGAUUUUUUAUGAAGUCCAGAAAAAAAUACCUAGGUCGAUGUCUAAAGCUAUGGCAAGAUAUUUGGACGAGUAGAUCUAAGUAACGAAAUAUAUGUAAAGCUAAUUCAGCAAACAGAUUUGAGUGCCAAAUUAUGGCACGCUGUUUCAGCAGUCAAUGAGGCCGAGCACACAGCCAUCGAACUAUCGAAGGCCAUCGUAGCAACAAAGAUCGAGUAUAAAAUGGUGUAGAGCUAUUUCAGCUAACAGAUUGGCUACUAGACCAUGGCAAUCUACGUCACAAUAAAUAUAUGGCGGGAUAUUUUAGCAACUAAUCGGCCUUGGCAUGCCAUCUUAGCUAAGCAGAUUGAGUGCAGAACAGGGCAAAGAAGCUUUUUAAGCAGAGCAUAUUGACAGUAAACUACUUCGGCAAACAGUGAGAUUAAUAGCGUCUAUCAGCUAACAUUCAGCGCUACACCGACAUGAACGGGGCCUCAGCCUAGAAUGCGCGUACCGUGGGAGAAGCUGACCGCCGUGCGUCUCCACACGAACGUCACCAGCGGUGGCGGCGCUGACCGCCGUGCGCCUCCACAAGAACAUAGCCAGAGGUGGCGGCGCGGCUAGAGGACGGUAGUCUACGAGAGCGUACUGUGGGAGCGAGAGGAUCGCCGAACCGCGGCGCUGACGUAUCGGCGCGGCGGGGAGGGUGGCUUUGGCAGAGCNNNNNNNNNNNNNNNNNNNNNNNNNNNNNNNNNNNNNNNNNNNNNNNNNNNNNNNNNNNNNNNNNNNNNNNNNNNNNNNNNNNNNNNNNNNNNNNNNNNNNNNNNNNNNNNNNNNNNNNNNNNNNNNNNNNNNNNNNNNNNNNNNNNNNNNNNNNNNNNNNNNNNNNNNNNNNNNNNNNNNNNNNNNNNNNNNNNNNNNNNNNNNNNNNNNNNNNNNNNNNNNNNNNNNNNNNNNNNNNNNNNNNNNNNNNNNNNNNNNNNNNNNNNNNNNNNNNNNNNNNNNNNNNNNNNNNNNNNNNNNNNNNNNNNUCUCCAAGUGCAGUCCCAUGUGUCAGUGAAAAGGCAAGCCGAAGCGCAUUCCGUUUGCGUGAGCCGUGUGCAGGACCGAACAUGUGCGGGGUGCAAUGCGACCGCGACAGGAGUAAUGUGAGUGUAUCGCAUUUUUUCCUUUUAAACUAGGUGCUUCGCCCCCUCAAAAAAAAUCUGUUGCUUCGCGCGAUCCAUCGAUACUACUACUAGUAAUCUGGUAAUCCCGACUAAAACGGCGUGGCCAGGUCUUUUCCCGCGUGAUAUGCUGGGAGGUUGGCUUAGUUGGGUUUUUUAGGACGAGUAAUGCUACACCUAUGUAAUCCCAGUUACAUAAUUAACGUAAUGUGAAACGUGUGAGCUGUUGAUUGUAGAUUGGGGGGAGGGAGGGGCCCACCACCAUGAAAAUCAGGGGAGGAGAGAGAGAGAGGCAAUUUACGUUAACCCUUUCGUAGGUUCCCGUAGAUGUAGAAAGAUGUGUCCGAUCUUGCAAUAUAGGCCGUCCAAUCUAUAUCUAACGGAUAGGAAGGAAACUAUGACAAUUUACCCGCACUCCUCUCCACAUUUGCAGAUAAGGCUUUCCCUCGUUCAUCCUUUUCUCCCACAAGAUCUUGAUCUUCCAUGCAACGCACGGGCAUCUUGCUAGUACUCCUACAAUAUGUAUAUUAUUGUGAAAGUUCAUAUACACCGGUCGAGAUUAAUGCAAACACGGCAGAUUUUCAUUACAUUUCAAACUUUUAUAGGACAAAAAAAUAAAAGAAACCCGACCCUAAACCUAUUCUAUGGCAGCGACCGACGUCCUCCAUCUGUGAUCUCCAUGUACGGGGGCGGGGUUCAAGACCCGUGAAGUGAAGGUGCGGUCUCCGGCGAGGAAAAGUAGAACACGGGAGACGGACCGGCCAGUUGGCACACCAUGCCCUACUCAUCCUCGGAGGAGUCCCCGACCUCGGCGGUGCCGGACGUUGGACGGCGGCAAGUAGGACGCGUGGUUGACGGUGCUCCCAUCAUCGGCCGCCAGCGUGGCCACCGCUUGUGCGGCGACUUGAGCGAGGGCGGCGACCUCGAGCUCCAUCCCUGAAGACAAGCUCUCCCGCAUAGCGUUCGCGCUGGCGGUCAUGGCGGAUGUGGUUCCAAGUAGGAGGACGAUGCGCUAUGGUGUGGAGGUUAGCUAGGCGUUGCCGCUUUAAGUAGCACAUUCCGGUGAGGCCAAGCGUCCGGGUGCGUCAUUAAGUCGCCGGAGUUGGUUCCGCGGGCACCGAGCCUCUUAAUGACGACAUAUGAACGGACGGCAUGAAUGCGGGCAGCUAGCGCCGGCUGGGAACGCACCGCGCGACGGCGUGAGGGACGAGGGUUUUGGUGUGCCAGGGUAGUCAGCUGCGGUCGUGGCAACGCUAGAGAUGCCCUAUGCUCACAUGCGAUCCCCGCAUGUCAUUGAAAAAGCAAGACGACCCGGCAUGGUCUCAGGUCCAGAGGAUGCAGUUGGCCGUGCUACACCACUCCGCGGAUGCGUCGCGGCUCCCCAUGCAUCCUCGAUGAGCCGGGUGUUGGGGUGUGUUUGGAUUGUGGCCAAAGUGCACCUUACCAAAAUUUUGGUCAUGACCAAAAGAUUGGUCUUUGUUUGGAUGGUUGCCAUUUUUUUGGCAUGCCAAUGAACUCUAGCCAACUCUAGUUCAUUUUUCUUGCCAAUGUCGGCCAAAUCAUGGGCAACCAAUACCUCAACCAAAAUUUUGGUCAUGACCCAAAGAUUGGUCUUUGUUUGGAUGGUUGCCAUUUCUUUGGCUUGCCAAUGAACUCUAGCCAACUCAAGUUCAUUUUUCUUGCCAAUGUCGGCCAAAUCAUGGGCAGCCAAUACCUCAACCAAAAUUUUGGCUACCCAAUGCUUUGAUGGGGCAAUCUUGGGCACAAACCAAACAUACCGUUGGUCGUGCCACAACACUAACGCCACCCUCGGCAAACUGAAACCGACCGUGUCUAGCGACGAUAUGAGCGUGUCGCUCACUGCGGUCGCCGUGUCCAGAGGCGGUGCUGGAGCUGCGCCCCAUUGUUGGCCCCAACGACCCACAUGAACGGUUGUCGGUGGCGAGGAGGUCGUGGGCCAACUCCUCCAUUGGACUAGUCUGCACUACGUCGUCCUGACGGGUGUGCCCCACAUGUCUGUUUCCCUGUUUUCCCGGCCAUAUUCGAGCGUCAGUGCUCUGCGUUGCGCAUUAGGCCUUUCACUAUGUAGGCCAAGCGAGACAACGUAUUGUUUAUUUGAGCCGUUCAAGUAUAAUCAUGUGGCGUUUGCUUAUUUCUCAUUCCUCUCCAACCCUCUUCUCCAUCGAUCAUGUCGCCCUCCAGUCGAGUCCAUCCUCCCGCAUGCCUCAUUUGAACAUUCCGCCGAGUAUCAUUCGCAUGUACCCACCCUAGUCCUCUUUCAAUAGAUCUUCGAACCCCGAGAUGAAAUCGAGAGGGAACGAGUGGGGGCACGUGAUACCUAAGGCGGAUUCAAAAUUUUGAACCGGUGAUCAUAGCAUCCGCAAAUCAUAUAUAAAGGGUAUUCAAUGUUCGUUUCGUUUUUGAACGUGCAAUAUACUCCCUCCUAUCCUUUCUAGUUUACAUAUAAGUUUUAUGUGUAGUCAAAGUAUAUCUACUUUGAUCAAAAAGGUAUCAACAUUCAACAACGCCCAAUCAAUAUUGUUAGAUUCGUACGUACUCCUAUAUUUGUACUCGAGAUGGUUUCCAAUUUGACUAAUGACAAGAUUAAUAGUACAUGAGAUGUAUAAUGUGAAAAUUAUAUCACUAGAAACUCCUUUCACAUACGAAUUUGACCGUAUGCUUUGUGUAAGUUGCAUGUCAUAUAUUAUUACUCUAACAUUUGGUCAAAGUUAGCCUCGAAAAACGCAUUAGACCCUAUAUGCUUUGUGUAAGUUGCAUGUCGUAUAUUAUUACUCUAACAUUUGUGUAAGUUGCAUGUCAUAUAUUAUUACUCUAACAUUUCGUCAAAGUAGUAUAGUGGAAGUGGAUUCUCUGACGUAGGUAUCCCUGCCUUACCCUCCCUUUCGGUCACUUACUGGCGGACCCCAUGGUUGCUAGGCCCCGCAUGUCAGUUACUCAAUGAGUUCGGCCACGUCAGGGGAUCCUCAUCCGUAGUAUACUCCCUCUAUUUUUAUUUACUCCACAUAAAACGGAGGGAGUGGUGGUAUAAUAAAUGACGCAGGCGGGGGAGGGGGAGGGACGUCGGUUUGCUCUCAACUGCGGUCCCACAAGCGAGCGAAAACGCAAGACGAAGCGCGUUCCAUUCGGUGAGCGACGUGGAAGGUCCAGCAUGCCGGGCUGCAACGCGAACGUGACAAGAGUGAUGUACAGUCAAAACCGAUUGACCGGUCAUCACCGGAACCACUAUUCACACCAGAACCUUCGCUGCUCGGCCUACGCCAGCCACUGCCCUAAAACCACACCAAAUCUCUAGCCCAAUCCCCCACCUUUCGAUCCCCUAGCCCACAUCAAGCGUCCCCUAGUUCGUCGGAAAGCCAUGGUGCGCUGCAAGAUCACUUACUACAAGAUGCUGACGCUGGAGCGCCGCGCAGAAAUCACGGCGGUCGGCACCACAGACCUCCGUUCCCAAGCUCGCUUUGCGGCGGGCCAAUCCCCGAGUUCUAUGGAGCCAAGCUACGAGGAGGAGGAAGCCGAUCCAAUGUUCAUGGCGGAGGUCGCGGCGCAGAAGGCCCCCGAUGGGUAUGAGACGAUGGACGUCGACUUCGUGCUGGCGUCCGAGUCCCCCAUGGUGCAGGCGGACCAGUGGUUCAACAUGGCGAUACUAAAGGAGGACCGGGAGGCAGAGGCUCAACUCGAUGCAGAGCGCGCGCAUGCUGCUGCCAUCGAGGCUCUCCUGCAGGCGGAACCGGAUGUCGUGGAUGUGAACCGAGCGGCGGAGGCUCAACUUGAGGCGGAGCGCGCGGAUGCCGCUGCCAUCGAGGCCCUCCUGCAGGCAGAACCGGACAUCCUGGACUUGAACUGGGUGGCAGAGGCUCGACUCGACGCAGAGCGCGCGGAUGCCGCUCUCAUCGACGCCCCCCUGCAGGCGGAACCGGACGUCCUGGACAUGAACCGGGCGGCGGAGGCUCGACUCGACGCGGAGCGCGUGGAUGCCGCUGCCAUCGAGGCCCUCCUGCAGGCGGAAUCGGACGUCCUCGACUUGAACCGGGCUGUGCUCUCGUCCGUGCAGAGCACCCGCAUGCUCUGCUUGAAUGAGUAGCUGGAGGCCGAGGACAACCACGGUGCGGAGACACACGUCGGCAGUGAUGGCUGGUUCGCGCUAGCAGCCAAAGACGACGAGGUCGUCUCUUUUCGUGAGCAGUGAUAGUUUUUCUUUAUGUUGUUGUUUUUAUGGAUCUUUUGUUGUGUAAAAACAUAUAUUUGUUAUGCAAGUCGCCUGACUUGGGUCAGUCUACCAUUUCAGGCGGUUGGAUGAAUAUCCUACGUCUCCUAACCCUUCUUUCCUUCUUACUCACCUCUUCUUCUUCCCCAACAGACCACCGCACGGGCCGUACGGAUACUCCCCAACAUGCGGUUGGAUAAACAUACUCUAUGAAACGAAAAUUAUGUGUCAGCGAUAGGAUGGCUGAGUUUGGUGUGUUCACAUGCGACAGCAUGUGUCAGUGAGGGUGCGUUCCCUUGGUUGGGUUUGCGGCAUGCAUGAGCGACUGUGUGAGGGUGCGGUGCGACCGUGGCGUGCAUGAGCGACCGUGUGAGGCUGCGGUGCGACCGCGAUAGCCAUGCGCAAGUGGACCUCCUUCUCAUUUUGAAAACUUUAGGCAAGCUUGGCAAAAAUGUGUGGCGAAGUUUGGCAAUGCAAGGCCUAGACCCAAACAGGAUAAGUACGUACGUACUAGGAGUACUAGUGUUAAAAAAGAAAGACUGAGUUUUCCUUCGCGGGAUUUAAUCAAUACAAAUCCUCGUUUCAUGUGUCAAUUAAUGCAUAUUUUUUUCUCCAAAGACCAAAGAGCUAACCAUCUCACUCCUCAUCGCUUGAUUAAUGCAGCGCCAUGCAAACCAACCUUCUCACUUCCGCAUGCAUGCAGGGGAUAUUAAUGCCCUUGGUUGCUAACCCCAUCAAUUUUGCCUCGAUUAGUGUUAGUGGCCCGUUGCAAAUUGUAAUUUUGAUAUACUGGCCUUGUGUAUGAAAAAAUGGAGGUAGUAACUAUAUUUGACUUCCUUCCCCAUUGCGGUGACGUCAAUGAUAUUUUUUUGGUGGUUUGGUGAAGUGCGUUCGACGGAGAACACCAUUGAGGGAGACCACGGUAAGUCGCUCGCAAGUGCCGCCUGCAAGCCAAGACAACCGCCUUAUUUGCAUCCAGGAAGUCCUUUACUAGUACUACUUGGAGUAACUAAUGCGGUGAGAUGGCUUCUCGAAGAAGACGAUGGAGAAGCGGAGUCACCGAAGAGUGAAAUGAUGGUUGCUUCGUCCGUGCUUUUGUGAUUUGACGCCUCACUACUUUGUGAUUUGUGAUAGAAGGGACAGGGGAGUAGACACUAUGCUCUAUACUGUACUACAUGCGUCCAAGCAUGGGAGAAAGAGGAGAGACAUUGCAAUUUUCUAUUCCUUCAAUCAAUCAAUUAAUCAAUCAGAGAGCUUCGGUUCCAUCUUUUUGGCUUUGGCAACACCGUCCACAAUGGUUCCCACGAUGCCAAAAGCUAUUUUCACAUUUGGCUACACAUUGUGGAUGCCCUUAACCGUACCACUUGGUUUUGCUCCUGUGUGCUAUCUAUACAAAUCUCAAUUAUAUUGAUCUAAAAAAUUAUAGAAUCGAGAUUAGUAAAAAGGAGGUGAUUUUGCCGCGCGGAUGGCGGGGGAGGUUUCUUAUUUGAGCAAUGCUACAUCCAUGUAAUGGUUUACGGAAAGUUACGAACUGAUGUGAUGUGGGACUAUUUGAUUGGAUUAAAGGAGAGGAUUAGGCCCACCCCACCUGAAAAUCAGGGGGCAUAUAUAGAUUAGAUGGGAAGUAUACGUAGCAGCUACGUAGCCCUUUGUAAGUCUAGGAUUAGGCUUCUUAUUUUCGGAGGACGUUGUCCUGGUGGUUUGCUAACAUGCGGUCCCACGUGUCAAUGCUUUACCAAGCCGAUCCGCGUCCCACAUGAGGCAGAACAACGGCAGAAGCAACAUGUGGUUAAGUUGAAGAAGAUGAGGGAGAAGCGGACUCAGCAACGAGUGAAAUGAUGGUUGCUUUGUCCCUCCAACUUAACUAUGGGAAAGGUGCAACUUUGUGAUUUGACGCCUCAUUGCUCAUUACUACGCCGACGCCAUGACUGGGGUGCUUCACCCCGGCUGCUCUGCACUGUAUUCCGGUAUGGCACGUGGACCUGGUAGCUUGAUGUCCCACAUGUCGGCGAAAGGGAUUAGAAGAUUUAUGAAAGCGAGCGCUCCACUCUUACGACGGAGGAGUAGACGACACGACGACCCAGUGAACUGUCACUUGUACUGUAUAGUACUAUAGUUUUGCUGUUUCGCACGAUCCAUCGAUACAAACCCGAUUAAAUAGGAAAGGGCGGGAUUUUUCCCGCGGGGUAGAUGAUACUGGCCAUACAUUUCAAAGGCAAUUUUAAUGUAUGCAAACUGAAUAAUUAUAAGUAACAAUAUGAUAUCUAGUAAAACUAAAAACACAUAUGAUUUAUUGUGUUAGAGUGUAGUAGUAGUGUUGUAUUGCAUAGUUGUUAGAUGUAACAUGCGAGAACGUGUAGAGAUGUAGUUUUGGAGGGCCUACAGAGAGAAAAGCGUAAUACGGUCACCGAACUUCAGAAUAAGCUGAUUACGGUCACUAUAUACGUUUGCGGUGAUUAUACGGUCACUUGCUCAUAGCUCAGCAUCGGAUUGCACUCUGUUGACCGGCCAAAUAGUCUGCGUGGCACCAUGUUGACUAGUUAAAUUGACCACGUUCGUUGUGGGUCCCACCUGUUAGUUCGCAUAGGUAAAAGGUCAGAUAAACACAAAUUUACGCAGGCGCGACAAGGCUCCAACCCGUGCGCGGGAAUCACCUGGUUGUGUAUGUGUCUGUCAGGGCCUGAUGUGUGCGCAUGCACGUGUAGGUUGAGCACUUGAGCGUGAGAGUGUGUGUUGGUCGUGUGGUGUACUGGUGUGUGCAUGCAUGCGUGUGUGUGUGUGUGUGUGAGUGUUGCGUGCGUGCGUGGCUGCGUGUGUACGUGUGAGUGUUGCGUGCGUGCGUGGGUGCAUGUGUUUGUGUGAGUGUUGCAUGGAUGCAGUUCGUGUGCAUGCAUGCGUGUGUGUAUAAUCACCACACCAGCUCCUGUGUGUUAAAACAGACGACUCAGCAUACCAAUACAAGGCCACCUUGUCCGCUGUGCUCGCGGUCAUGACUUCGAACCACCAUCCAAAUAUUUUUUUGUAGUUUGUUUUCAUUCUUACUAGCAAGAUGCCCGUGCGUUGCAUGUAACAUCAAGAUGCAUUUGUAUGACUUGUUUAUCUUGUGAGAGAAAAGGAUGAACGAGGGAAGACCUUAUUUGCAAAUGUGCAGAGGUGUGUGGGUACCUUUUUGCAAAAUUGCCAUAGUUUCUUUCCAAUCCAUCAGAUAUAAAUCGGACGGCCUAUAUUGCAGGAUGGCAGGCACACCAUCAUCACCAACUCUAUUUUUUUAUAAGAGUGUAUUUUAUAAGAGUGUAGAUGUAGAGUAGAUACAAGUCGAUAGGUGGGCACGAUGGUAGUGAGAUAAUGUGAUGCAACACUAGAGGUGCCACGUGGAGCGUUUAACUGGUCAGCUAGUCAUGUCAUGAGCAAAUACAGAGUUGUACGGCGAGCCCGUGACUGCAUAAUAACCACUAAAAGUAAAUGGUGACCGUAAUGAGUGGAUUCUGAAGUCCAAUGUAUGUAUCGUGCUUUUGCUUCAAAUACAAUGAUCGUCAUUGCAUAUAUCGCGAGAGAAAGAUGAAACGUGCAUGAAUUUUCUAGGGGCUUACUUUUAGAGGACCUGGAGAUAGUUUUGUGUGCAUACGUGAAAGGGNNNNNNNNNNNNNNNNNNNNNNNNNNNNNNNNNNNNNNNNNNNNNNNNNNNNNNNNNNNNNNNNNNNNNNNNNNNNNNNNNNNNNNNNNNNNNNNNNNNNNNNNNNNNNNNNNNNNNNNNNNNNNNNNNNNNNNNNNNNNNNNNNNNNNNNNNNNNNNNNNNNNNNNNNAAACAGUGACCGUAAUGAGUGGAUUAUGAAGUCCAAUGUAUGUAUCGUGCUUUCGCUUCAAAUACAAUGAUCGUCAUUGCAUAUAUCACGAGAGAAAUAUGAAACACACGUGAAUUUUCUAGGGGCUUACUUUUAGAGGACCUGGAGAUAGUUUUGUGUGCAUACGUGAAAGGGGCGUACAGGGGGGGGGGGUAUGCGAUGGAGAGAGAGAGAUGCUCUUCGUUUCUCUUUAUUAUGACUAACUUUGUAUAUAGUAUAAAAAUAUACAAAUUCAUAGUGCGGAAUAAAUAUCAUUGUGGGCACCAUGCAAUGCAAAUUAGCGUUCGUACUCCUCCAUAUAACUUUGUAAUGUUGUAUAUAUGUAGAAACUCUAAAAUAAUUUUUUGGCCACACUUUAUUCAAAAGGAAUGUUGUAUGCGAAAUANNNNNNNNNNNNNNNNNNNNNNNNNNNNNNNNNNNNNNNNNNNNNNNNNNNNNNNNNNNNNNNNNNNNNNNNNNNNNNNNNNNNNNNNNNNNNNNNNNNNNNNNNNNNNNNNNNNNNNNNNNNNNNNNNNNNNNNNNNNNNNNNNNNNGGGGGGCGUGGGAGAGAUAGCACGAGAAAUGAGAGUGGUCUAGAGAGAGAGAGACGAAUAUGACGUCACGACAAGAGAUUCCAUUCCCUUGAGUGUGUAUAUGCAAGGGGGAGGGAAUAGAGGCACCAGGAGAAAUUUUCUGUGUGUGUGGUGUUUGUGUUGGUAUGUGUGGGUGUGAGAAGAUAAUGAGACGUGGGGGCAGAGGGUGUGUCACCGUGUGAGGUCCGGUGGGUCGAGGUGAGGCCCUUCGUUCUGUUCCGUCCUGCGCCACAUUGGUCGGCCUAUGACGCAUUUAGGAAGACCCAUGGAUGACUAGUCGUACAAGACAAAGAUAGCAGAAUUGUGAAGGACUCUGUGUCCACUGACAAAGCCGGCUAGGAUUUGUAACCCUAGGUUCUCGGACUAAGGUAACCCCUUUAUCUCUGAUAUUACUAUUCAUCCAGCCUAACUUUAAGGGGCAUCCUAUAGAAUGCUCUGCUAGAAUCAUACUCGUCGAUUAGGAAGAGAGGUGUGAGACAAUGCAUGAGAGACAGGCGUAAAGAUAAUGUGCGUACAUGAGACACGUAGGCAGGUCCAUAUAUAUAGAAAGGGUCGAUGAGGAUUGUGCGUGUGUACGUUUGCGAGAGGAAGAGUGCUUGUGAUAAAGGUUAGUGAAAAAAGUUGUAAAUGGUUACGAGAGGGAGGGAGGGUUAUAUCUAGAGCAUGUGUGCGAGAAAGACACCUCGGGAGAGAGUGUGUGAGCAUGUGUGAGAGACCACCGAUGGAGAUUGAAACUACACGUGAAAGACUGCUCUACACAUUGAUUAAAGAUAUAAAUUAUAUCCAAAUAUUAGGAUGGGAUCAUGAUAUUUGCAAUUCGCGUAAGGAGCGGUCAUUGAUCCAUCAUACAUCUAGAUUCUAUCGAAUUUGAGCAUGUCUAUGUUAUUAUUCGACACAGUUGAUCCACAUAGUUAGUAUUUUGAACUCUAGACAAUGCAUCGCUUUAGCAAUCGAAUAUAAACGUGAGUAUAGUUCAUGUUGUGUGUGUAAAGCACAUUAUACAUACGAAAGUUACACAAUGGACAAACAUUAUAAAUAGCUACUACCUAUGAACUAGCAUACAUUUGAAUUCAACUUAAGCUGGUUUAAAAAAAUCGAAUUCAAUAUGAAGUCCAUUCAAUUAUUUGAAUUUGAUAUCAUGGCAUUUGUAAACCAUACCUGAAUUAUGGGGGCACCAAUCUUUGCUCUGAUUUUGUACAUAAUAGCAUAUGUAGUCGUGUACAAAAUAGAUUCAAAUUUAGCUCCUCCAUUCCAAAUUAAUCGUAGUUAUAGGAUUUUCAAGUAUCAAAAUUUCAAAAAGAAGCGGAUAAUUUAAUGAGGUUUUCAAACAUACAAGGUCAAAUAUAACGUUGUAUAUUUAGGUCAAUCUUCAUAGUUCAAGAGUACUCUAAAUGUGAAUGCUUGUGUUUCAAAAUUUCGAACGAAGCGCCAAAAGAGCCUCUACUCGCCCAAAACCGCGUGAGACCAAUGUUUGGUAGUACAAGGAAAUUACUUUUCUAAUAACUCCGACCCGUGAAACCUACCGGCCCGACGUCCAAAGGUCUAAACCGGGGUAGGUUUGUAGCUUCAUCUAGACGCCACGCAACCGCAUCCGAAAAACAUUCAUACACAAUGGCCGCCUAAGCACACAUGCGCGCUACCGAAAUCGCUCCCGCCCACUAUUUGGGACACCUAGGAUUACCAUCCUACCCCCGACCCGCAGUAGGUCCGAAAUUUAAGAGGGGGGCAAAGUUUGUACUUUCCCCAAAUUUCAAAUAAGCGCGUCCCAUCUUCUGUUCAAAAAAGCUAAAAACAAGCGCGUCCCAGACCGAAACAUGGUUCCCCCCACCCAUCCGAUUCCCCAUUCAUACUCCGUGGGUGCCAAAACUACCUCUCCACUAGCCGCGAAACCCCGACGUCCUCCAUCUGCCACCCCAUCCCACCCAUCAACCGCCGCCCUCCUCCAUCACGCUGGAGCCGAUACCCCGACGUCAUCGUCCACCGCAACCUCAACCGCAACACCCUCCACAACUAGUAGUUGAAGCCGAGGCUGAGCUGUCCGUACCCGAGCCAGUUCAACCACGCCAUCAUGCACCUCACCGUUGCCGCUCCAACUUCGCCACCCUCCACCGCACCGGAGCUGUUCCUGCUACGCCGUCCUUCGCCACCUCAGAUCUGCUUCCCCUCCGCCGACAUACGGCCACAACAACACAGUCAACAAUUUUUCCAUGGGUUCGUCCAAGCCUACACCCUCCAGAACAUCGGUUUCCCCGGUAAAAAGAAGAAAAUCGGCGCGACUUGUGGAGGUGACCACACCGGCAACCGAAAAAGGUACUCCUCUUCCCUUAUUCAUACAAAUCUUACGUCUCUGCUUGCACGGUAUUCAUCCCACAGAAGACACUAGUUGACCGCUUCUUCUUGAUACUAGAUGUUCCUAAUAACUCGUGAUGCACAAGGUUUCUCCUCAUAUACUAUUUCACCUUAGCUAGAGGUCCGUCGCCCCCCUGAAUUUCAAUUUCUGGCCACUUGAUUCCCAAUUAACGGAAGCAUUCCCCGGCAUAACAGGCGCUAGUACGCCUAUUACGCCGGGGAAGCAGUGCCUUGGUGUUUAUCUUAGGGGCGUGUGUGGCCUAUAGCUACUGGCGCCUGAUCUGGAGGUCGGCCGGGAUUAAAGGCAUGGCCUGGGGGCGCUGCCAAGAACGGCAGUGGUGUGAGGUCGAUGGGAGGGCGGGGCGGCGGAGGCAGGGGUCUGGGCCGGUGGUCACUGGCGGUUCGAGAAAGAUCAUCAAUAGUGACUGGCGGGAGGUAGACGAAGGCCAUCUGCCCGUUCCUUAUAGAUCGGACGGUUCAUUAAAAAAUUGACUGACCUAUUUAUUUUCAGUCGACUGUUAUCUUAGAUAUGACCACAUGUGGUGGUCUGCUGGAGGAGUACCUGCAUUUCCUGUGCUCGUAUAUUACAAAAUCAUACAGAGUAGAAUCUAAUUUUGUUUGCCAUGCAAUGUUGUAGAGCUAUCAUAUGUCUCCUAUCAUUUAUUUUUCAGCCACCUGCUAUCUGCUACUUUUACAGUGCACUAGUUCCGCACACACUUCACCCUUACUCUCACUGUUGUGUUUUUAUGCAAGGGUAUUUCAGCCUCUGCUGCCAUGAGAGAAUCCAAAAAGAAAAGAGAAAAGUCGCUCCAGUUUGGUGUGCGGCUAGGCAAGACAUGUUUCAACACUUUAAAGGGUGUAGUGUCAGCAGAUGGAGACGGGGAACGUAGCUCUGGAGUUGAUGACCUCACUCGCAAUGAACCACCAUCCCAGGUGCUUGCUUUAACUUCGUGGUGUCAUAUGUGGUUGCAUGUUCCAUAUGGUGUCUAGCUUGUAUUCGAAAGGCCGAAGUUGGUAAGAUAAGGAAAUAUUUUUUUUACAUGAACCACCAUCCCGUGAGCACCAGAAGACAAAUAGCUAGUUAGGGCACUGGCCGAGCCAGUGACAAGCCUAGCAAAGAUAGACAUCACCUGGAAGCCAACUAAAAAGCUGCGAUGGUGGCGAAGCAGCCCGCCUCCCACCAGGUUCUCAGGUCCUAAAUGAUCAUGCUCACCACUCCAGCCGGAUGUCUAGCUUGUAUUGCUUCCAAUUUGGUUAAAUUGCAUCUUCUUAGCUUACACAUUAUACCUUUGAAUAUGACAUGCCUUUCUGUUUUUGGUACAUACUAGUACAUCUGUGUAUUAACCAUGUUCUUACAUCAAACUAAUGUUCUUGUUUAUCCCUCAUCAAUCACUUAUGACGAGGCAGGCAGGCAAGGGGACUACUCCUCAUUUAAAGAAUGCAGCGUCAGCCUCCCGACAUGAUUCUCAAGAAACAGAAAUGCUAGAUGAAGAUAGUGAACGUAGCUCUGUAGUUGAUUACAGCAUUUCCCCUACACUAGCAUCGCAGGUGCUUGCUCUAACUUGGCAGCGUGAUAUGUGGUUGCAAGUUGCAUAUGGUGUCUAGAUUGUAAUUCUUCCAAUCUGGUUAAACCGCAUGUGCUAGUCUGCUUAGCUUAUACAUUAUACCUGUUAAUGUGACAUGCCUUCCUGUAUUUAGUACAUAGUACAUUUGUCUAUUAAGCAUGUCCUUACAUAAAACUAUUGUUUUUUUAUCCCGCAUCAAUCAACAUGACGAGACACCUUUAGUAUAUGCAGUGCAAUAUUAGUUGCAUAUUUCAUAUGAUUUAUAGCAUGCGCUGCUUCUAAUUUGUUGAAAUUCCAUUUAUGAUGGGACGCUUUUAACUUGGCAGAGUCAUAUUGGUUGCAUCUUUCAUGUGGUGUCUAGCUUGCAUUGCUUCUUAUUUGCUGGAAUGGUUUCUGCUUAGUUUACACAAACAGUUGUGAACAUGCCAUGCCGUCCUGUUUUUCGUACAUAUUCCAUCCUGGUAUCAUGUGUUUGCCUUACAUCAAAUUAGUGAUUGUCAGUAUCAUGCAUGAAUGAGUUCUGAAGAGAGAAUUUUAUUGCUUUUUCUUGUCGGUUUUACUUGACAAUUCAAAAUCAAUAAAGCGGAAGGAAGUUAGCAAGGCAGCGGAUAAAGGUGCUCCUUCCGAAUGGAGGGCCUCUACAGUUUCUACUCCUCCACACCCCCAAGAUGAUUUCCAAGACAACACAUGCAUAGACACUCAACAAAGUUGUGUUUAUGAUGAGCACGUCUCCCCUAGUGCAGCAUCAUCGGUGCUCCCUCUAACUUGGCACUGUUAUAUGUGGUUGCAUGUUAUGUGUGAUGUCUAGCUUGUAUUUCUUCUAAUUUUGUUGAAUUCCAUCUGCUUACUUUACACAUUAUACUUGAAUAAGACACGUGUUCCUGUUUCUAGAACAUACAAUAUUUGUUUAUCACACCAUGUUCUUACAUCAAAUUACUACUGUUGUGUAACCUGCAACAAUCACUUAUCAUAAGACAUGUUUGACUUUGGAGUGUGAUAUAGGUUACAUCUCACAUUCUUUUCUAGCUUGUAUUACUAAUUUGUUGAAAUGGCACUUAUGACGAGACAGUUUUAACUUGGUAGAGUGAUAUUCGUUGCAUAUUUCAUAUGGUGUCUAGCUUUCAUUGCUUCUAAUUUAUUGAAAUGCCUUCUCCUUAGUUUACACAUCAUAAGCUGUGAAUAUGCAAUGCUGUGAAUAUGUAAUGGCACUAAUGACGAGAGACCUCUAACAUGGUAGUGUGAUGUUGUUUGCAUCUUGCAUAUGAUUUAUUUCUUGUACUGCUUCACAUUUGUUUAAACGCCAUUUAUGAUGAGACACUGUUAACUUGGCAAAGCGAUAUUUGUAGCAUCUUUCAUAUGGUGUUUGCCUUCCAUUGCAUUGCUUCUAAUUUGGUGAAAUGUCUUCUUCUUAGUUUACACAUCAUAGUUCUUGUUAUCUCUUCUGUCCUAUUUUUCAUACAUAUUACAUCCUCCUAUCAUGUGGUUGUCUAACAUCAAAGUUCAGUUCAUCUGCAUCACACAUCAAUUUGUUCUGAAGAACUAAAUUGUUAUUCGUUUUUCUUAUCGGCUUGACUUAACAUGGCACAGAGAAAGAGGAAGAAACACAAAAUGGCAGGGAAUGAGAAGCGGAUGAAUCCUGCAGAUUCUGCUGGUACUGAUGGUGCAAUAGAAGGUUAAAGUCUAGUAGAAAAUUCUACAAACACGACAUCCCAUGCUACACGAGUUGCAAAAAAAGACAAACAGAAACAAAUAGCUGCCACCAAACAAGCAGAGACAACCCUAGUUCUUGCAACACCUACCACAGUACUACCAGCUGCACGACGUACUCAUGCGUCAACUGAGCUAGCAGCACGUUCCCAAGCUCCCUUACCACCUGACACUACUUCCCAAGCACACUUGACACAAGACAAGUUGGCAAUAUCAAAUGAACCUUGUGAGCUUCAACAACAAGAAGGUAGUUGCUGGAGUCAAGUUACAGUUGCAUGCUUCUUUAUAUGUAGUCUCACAGUUUGAUGUACACUAACACUUCCUAUGUUUGUUGUUGGACUAGCACCUAGGCGCAAGAGCAAACAAACAUCAGGGAUAAUGCUCGAUAGGUUAACUAAAUCUAGAGGAGGAAGAAUGGAGAUCCGUUUUGAGGCAGGUUUAAAAAGGCCACGUGAUGCUACAGAGUCAGCCAAGUUAGUAUCAGAGGCAGCAGUUGCCGUUAGGUGUCAUGUACGUAUCCUCCUAACAUGGAUUCAGUACAGGAAUGACAAAUACGAAACCCAGUUCAACAUCUUCCUCGACCAUUUAUCUGUAAGUAUGGUUAUGUAUGGAAACUAGUAAUAUCGUCUUGCUCUGUCCAAUACUUUCUAGGUUGCUGAUAAUGAGACUCCCAUAAUUUUCAACAUAUGAAGUUCAAGUUGGAUAGCCAAGAUGAUGCAACCAGACAAGCUUGCAUCCAUGUUUUCAAGUCUGCUCUGUGACAGUAUCGGUAUAACUUGAGGAAAACUCACUUUGAAGGCAAGGCUAACAGUGAACUUGCCCAAACAUCUCCAGUGGAAAAUAUAUCUGACGAAGACUGGAGAGGCCUCGUUAAGCACUGGUCUGAUUCGAAGUAUCAUGUACAUUAUAUAUAUGUCAUCAGAUCACAUGUUGAAGUCCUAUUUACGCAUGUGCCACACAAAUCUAUCUUCUUGUAGGUGAACUGUUCAAAGAACAAGGCCAACCGUACGCAAGUGAAAUUCCAAUAGACGACAGGAUCUCGUAGCUAUAUUGCACACUGCGAGGCUCUUGUAAUUAGCUGCUGUUUCACUCUUUUCGCAGUACCAUAUUAUCAGAUCUAUAUUGACUUGUUCCAAAUGCAGAGGAAAGCCCGCAAGGACCAAAAAGUACCUGAACCAAAUGCUAUGGAAAUCUUCAAGGACUGUCACACCAACAAGAAGAAGGGCAUGACUACACUAGUCAAAGCCGUUGUUGUAAGUCCUUAAUCCUCAUGCGUUUUAACUACUACUUACUCUGACUUGUGCCUUGAACUGCAUGGUUUGCAGCCAAUGUCUAUUACUCUUUUCAAUUUUAUACACAAUUGUCUUAGCGUAUCAUUGCACCUUACAAGGUUUAAAAGAGAGGAGUGAUGUUCCUUUGAUCUUGACCCGUAAUCUAGUUCCCUGCUGGACUUGCCCACACAACAUUACAAUUGCCUGUUUGUCUGUUCUCAGUUGUUUUGUGAUAUGAAUGACGUCAUACUAUGCUUACCGUAUUAUAAACUUCGUCUCUUUAUCCUUAGCCCUCAAUACAAUGUGAAUAAAUAACAAUACAUUAGCGAUGGUACAUGGUCAUAUGUUUGGAACCUGGUUUUAUUAUGUACUUUGCAAUAAAAUACAACUAAUAUUUUACAUGGGUUCACCAGAAUAAGUUUUCUAUAUAUACCAAAGCUAUUUUGUUUGGUUUUGCUGCCUCCUUAAUAUCUUCUGUUCUGGUACUACUAAUGUAAAACCUCAACUUUUCAGCGAGCUAUGGAAAAAAUGGUGGAACCGCCACCUUCUGAAGGUGGAGAGGCAACUAUAACCGCAAUGUCGGCUCUUGCUGCAGUGGGUCAGUACCUGUCCACUAACAAUGCCAAAAGCACGUUCCUGCGUAAUACUGGGUUGGUUGUUAAGGCAAUAUCGUCCAAACUGCCUCAUGAUCAAGAUAUGCAAGCUCAAAGCAAUGUUGUAUCUGCGCUCCAGACACAAGUCCAUACCCUAACAGAUACCCUUUGUGAAACAAGGAGAAACAUUGCUCAAUGUCGUCAAGAUAUGCAUGGUUUUGAAACCAGACUAUCAGACAUUUGCUAUGUUGUUCAGGAGCCUAGGGGAAAUGAAGGCGAGGGUUAUGGUGCUCCAUCGGAUAAUACAACAUGAAAAUGUAACAGUUAGGUCAAAUGAACUGAGCUUCUGAACUUCUGGUGGUGCAUUUAUCUGCUAGACUGUUAAGUUUUAUGCCAACCUUCCUUUUGUUAUAUAGUUGUAAUUUGUUUUGGUGCGAUACAAAAUUUAUUCUUAACAUGCAGCCACCGCCUGAAGAAAACAUCAAGCCAUUUUUGUAUAGUGUAGGGUGUUCCCUAUAUUUGCACUGGUGGCGAUCUUUGAUGCCGAGUGGAUGUAAUUUGUGCAAUCACCUUAAUAGCCCAGCGUUAGUUUCGGCCUUAUUUAUUUCCUAGUCUUCUUUUUCCCUGGUUUGCUAGUGGCUGCAACUACCAUGGGCCAUAUACGGGCCGUAGGAUCCAUGGGUCUCCUACGGGACGUCGAUAAAUGGGCCCGGGCCGUAGGAUAAAUGGGUCUACAUGGGCCAUAAUCGAGCGUAAUUGGUAUCGGCCCAACACGAUAACAGGCCAUUAACAGGCCGUAGGACAGCAAAGGCUUAAUUCUGUCACAGGCAUAAUGGGUCGUUAAUGGACCAGAAUGUAGGACGGUCUGGAAACGGCGCAACGGGUUAACAUGCCAGAAACGGGCCGACUCUUGCCAUGGGCCAAAUUUGGCCCAUUAGGGUAACAGGCCAGUAACGGGCCGACUCUUGCCAUGGGCCGAAUUUGGCCCAUUAGUGGAACAUGCCAGUAACGGGCCGACUCUUGCCAUGGGCUGAAUUUGGCCCAUUAGGGGAACAGGCCAGUAACGGGCCGGAAGUAAUCGAGGGCUGAAAAGGAGCCCAAGAACGUAUGGGCCGUCAAUAGGCCGAAAGCUAACACGGGCUAGAAACGGCCCAUGUAAAUCAUGGGCCGUUAAUGGGUAUAAAGAAAAUUACUGUUCAUUAUGGGCUAGAGUCAACGUGUGCCUGUAAUGGGCCGAAAGAUACGAAGGCCCCAUAUGGGCCGAAAGACGUCAUGGGCCAUACAUGGGCCGAAAGUGAAAUGGGCUGGUAUUAUAUUCGACGGCCCACAUGACGUUGUUGGGCCGAUUUCCUUUAGAGCCUAAUGGGCCGUGAGUUAACGUGUCGUAAAAUGGGAUAUUUGUGAAGAGACCAUUAACAGGCUUUUCAUGGGCCAGCCCGUUAACUUUUGACCAAGUCAAACGGGCCGGCUUUGUAAGCUAAAUGGGCCACUGUUGGGCUGUGCCACGUGUCAACAUAUCAUAAGCGUCUAUCUGACCCAGUAACGAGCUGGCACGUGUUUCGUCCGGCCAAUAAGAAUUUUACACGUGGAAAUUUCCCAUUGGUCGGGGCUGUUAACAGGUUAUCGGAUCCAAAACCCGACCCGAUAGCUUAACGGUGUUCCGUUAUGGUGGAUGCCACAUGUCGGUCACCCUUGACGAAAGCACUUCUGUGACGCGCGAUUUAUCGUCAUGGAAGUGGACACUUCCGUGAUGAUAAUUUUGGUAAUGUCAUGGAACACUUCUACGACAGCACAGGUAUGACUAUCUUGAUUCUGUCAUAAAUCUGUCAUGGAUGUACAUGCAUGACAAAAAACGCAACCUACUGUGACAAACACGUAUCAUCACAGAAGUGUAUUUUUUUGUAGUGACAUGAUCAUACCUAGAUAUUCUCAUAACUAUGCUCAAUUCUGUUAAUUGCUCAACAAUAAUUUGUUUACCCACCGUGAAUAGUUAUGCUCUUGAGAGAAUCCACUAGUGAAACCUAUGGCCCCCGGGUCUAUUUUCCAUCAUAUUAAUCUUCCAACACUUAGUUAUUUUUAUUGCCUUUUAUUUUACUAUGCAUAUUUAUCAUAAAAAACAAAAAAUAUUAUCUUAUCAUAUCUAUCAGAUCUCACUCUCGUAAGUGACCGUGUAGGGAUUGACAACCCCUUAUCGUGUUGGUUGCGAGGAUUUAUUUAUUUGCGUAGGUGCGAGGGACUCGUGCGUGGCCUCCUACUGGAUUGAUACCUUGGUUCUCAAAAACUAAGGGAAAUACUUACGCUACUUUGCUGCAUCACCCUUUCCUCUUCAAGGGAAAACCAACGCAGUGCUCAAGAGGUAGCAAGAAGGAUUUCUGGCGCCAUUGCCGGGGAGGUCUACGCAAAAGUCAACACACCAAGUACCCAUCACAAACCCUUAUCUCCCGCAUUACAUUAUUUGCCAUUUGCCUCUCGUUUUCCUCACCCCACUUCACCCUUGCCGUUUUAUUCGCCCUCUCUCUCCAUCCUCCCUCUCUUUCUCUAUUUGCCUCUUUUUGCCCGUGUAUUGUUUGCUCGUGUGUUGGAAUGCUUGCUUGUCACGAUGGCUCAAGAUAAUACUAAAUUGUGUGACUUUACCAAUACCAACAACAAUGAUUUCCUUAGCACUCUGAUUGCUCCUCUUACCGAUACUGAAUCUUGUGAAAUCAAUGCUGCUAUGUUGAAUCUUGUCAUGAAAGAUCAAUUCACCGGCCUUCCUAGUGAAGAUGCCGCUACCCAUCUAAAUAGCUUCGUUGAUUUGCGUGAUAUGCAAAAGAAGAAAGAUGUGGAUAAUGAUAUUAUUAAAUUGAAGCUAUUUCCUUUUUCGCUUAGAGAACAUGCUAAAGCUUGGUUUUCGUCUUUGCCUAAAAAUAAUAUUGAUUCUUGGAAUAAGUGCAAAGAUGCUUUUAUCUCUAAGUAUUUUCCUCCCGCUAAUAUUAUCUCUCUUAGAAACGAUAUUAUGAAUUUUAAGCAACUUGAUCAUGAAUAUGUUGCACAAGCUUGGGAGAGGAUGAAAUUAAUGAUACGUAAUUGCCCUACGCAUGGUUUGAAUUUGUGGAUGAUUAUACAAAAUUUUUAUGCCGGAUUGAAUUUUGCUUCUAGAAAUCUUUUAGAUUCGGCCACGAGAGGCACUUUUAUGGAAAUCACUUUAGGAGAAGCUAUUAAACUCCUAGAUAAUAUUAUGGUUAAUUAUUCUCAAUGGCACACUGAAAGAUCUACUAAUAAGAAAGUGCAUGCGAUAGAAGAAAUUAAUGUUUUGAGUGGAAAGAUGGAUGAAAUUAUGAAAUUAUUUGCUAAUAAAAGUGUUUCUUCUAAUCCUAAUGAUAUGACUCGUCUACUUUGAUUGAGAAUAAUAAUGAAUCUAUGGAUGUGAAUUUUGUUGGUAGGAAUAAUUUUGGUAACAACGCAUAUAGAGGAAACUUUAAUCCUAGGCCGUAUCCUAGUAAUUCCUCUAAUAAUUAUGGUAAUUCCUACAACAAUUCUUAUGGAAAUUAUAAUAAGAUGCCUCUGAUUUUGAAUCUAAUAUUAAAGAAUUUAUUACUUUGCAAAAGAAUUUCAAUGCUUUGAUUGAAGAAAAAUUGCUUAAGAUUGAUGAAUUGGCUAGGAACGUUGAUAGAUUUUCUCUUGAUGUUGAUUCUUUGAAACUUAGAUCUAUUCCACCUAAGCAUGAUAUCAAUGAGUCUCUCAAAGCCAUGAGAAUUUCCAUUGAUGAGUGCAAAGAAAGAACCGCUAGGAUGUGUGCUAAGAAAGAUUGCUUUAUAAAAGCGUGUUCUUCUAGUUUCCAUGAAAAUAAAGAUGAAGAUCUAAAAGCUAUUGAUGUGUCCCCUAUUAAAUCUUUGUUUUGCAAUAUGAAUCUUGAUAAUGAUGGGACUGAUUAUGAUCCACCUUUACCUGAAAGGCGUUCCAAAAAUUCGGAGUCUUUAGAUCUUGAUGCUAAAAUUGUUAAAAGUGGGAUUAAAGAAGUCAAAACUUUAAAUAGUAAUGAACCCACUAUUUUGGAUUUCAAGGAAUUUAAUUAUGAUAAUUGCUCUUUGAUAGAUUUUAUUUCCUUGUUGCAAUCCGUGCUAAAUUCUCCUCAUGCUUAUAGUCAAAAUAAAGCUUUUACUAAACAUAUCGUUCAUGCUUUGAUGCAAUCUUAUGAAGAAAAACUUGAGUUGGCAGUUUGUAUCCCUAGAAAACUUUAUGAUGAGUGGGAACCUACUAUUAAAAUUAAAAUUAAAGAUCAUGAAUGCUAUGCUUUGUAUGAUUUGGGUGCUAGUGUUUCCACGAUUCCAAAGACUUUGUGUGAUUUGCUAGGUUUCCGUGAUUUUGAUGAUUGCUCUUUAAACUUGCACCUUGCGGAUUCCACUAUUAGGAAACCUAUGGGAAGAAUUAAUGAUGUUCUUAUUGUUGAAAAUAGGAAUUAUGUGCCCAUAGAUUUUAUUGUUCUUGACAGAGAUUGCAAUCCUUCAUGUCCUAUUAUUCUCGGUAGACCUUUGCUUAGAACGAUUGGUGCAAUUAUUGAUAUGAAGGAAGGGAAUAUUAGAUUCCAAUUUCUGUUAAGGAAAGGCAUGGAACACUUCCCUAGAAAGAAAAUUAAAUUACCUUAUGAAUCUAUUAUGAGAGCCACUUAUGUAUUGCCUACCAAAGAUGGCAAUACCUAGAUCUAUCCUUGCUUUUUAUGCCUAGCUAGGGAUGUUAAACGAUAGCGCUUGUUGGGAGGCAAUCCAAUUUUAUUUUUUGCCUUUUGCUCCUGUUUAGUAAUAAAUAAUUUAUCCAGACUCUGUUUUGGUUGUGUUUUUUGUGUUUAAUUAGUGUUUGUGCCAAGUAGAACCGUUGGGAAGACUUGGGGAAAGUCUUUUUAAUCUUGCUGUAAAACACAGAAACUUUAGCGCUCACGAGAAUUGCUUCCAUUUUUUAUUGGAGAGUGCUAUUUAGUUAAUUAGUUUUUCAGAUGAUUAAUAGAUAAAUUCCUCACGUCUAGAAAUUUAUCUUAGAAUUUUUGGGGUUCCAGAAGUUUGCGUUAGUUACAGAUUACUACAGACUGUUCUGUUUUUGACAGAUUCUGUUUUUCGUGUGUUGUUUGCUUAUUUUAAUGAAUCUAUGGCUAGUAAAAGAGUUUAUAAACCAUAGAGAAAUUGGAAUACAGUAGGUUUAACACCAAUAUAAAUAAAUAAUGAGUUCAUUACAGUACCUUGAAGUGGUGUUUUGUUUUCUUUCGCUAACGGAGCUCACGAGAUUUUCUACUUUAAGUUUUGUGUUGUGAAGUUUUCAAGUUUUGGGUGAAAGAUUUGAUGGAUUAUGGAACAAGGAGUGGCAAGAGCCUAAGCUUGGGGAUGCCCAUGGCACCCCAAGAUAAUCUAAGGACACCUAAAAGCCAAAGUUUGGGGAUGCCCCGGAAGGCAUCCCCUCUUUCGUCUACUUCCAUCGGCAACUUUACUUGGAGCUAUAUUUUUAUUCACCACAUGAUAUGUGCUUUGCUUGGAGCGUCUUGUAUGAUUUGAGUCUUUGCUUUUCAGUUUACCACAAUCAUCCUUGCAGUACACACCUUUUGAGAGAGACACGCAUGAUUUAGAAAUUAUUAGAAUACUCUAUGUGCUUCACUUAUAUCUUUUGAGUUAUAUAGUUUUUGCUCUAGUACUUCACUUAUAUCUUUUAGAGCACGGUGGUGGUUUUGUUUUAUAGAAACUAUUAUUCUCUCAUGCUUCACUUAGAUUAUUUUGAGAGUCUUAAAUAGCAUGGUAAUUUACUUAAAUAAUCCUAAUAUGCUAGGUAUUCAAGACUAGUAAAAACUUUUUUAUGAGUGUGUUGAAUACUAAGAGAAGUUUGAUGCUUGAUGAUUGUUUUGAGACAUGGAGAUAGUGAUAUCAAAGUUGUGCUAGUUGAGUAGUUGUGAAUUUGAAAAAUACUUGUGUUGAACUUUGCAAGUCCCGUAGUAUGCACGUAUGGUAUAUGUUAUGUAACAAAUUUGAAACAUGAGGUGUUCUUUGAUUGUCCUCCUUAUGAGUGGCGGUCGGGGACGAGCGAUGGUCUUUUCCUACCAUUCUAUCCCCCUAGGAGCAUGCACGUAGUGCUAGGUUUUUCAUGACUUGUAGAUUUUUGCAAUAAGUAUGUGAGUUCUUUAUGACUAAUAUUGAGUCCAUGGAUUAUACGCACUCUCACCUUUCCAUCAUUGCAAGCCUCUUCGGUACCGUGCAUUGCCCUUUCUCACAUUGAGAGAUGGUGCAAACUUCGCCGGUGCAUCCAAACCCCGUGAUAUGAUACGCUCUUUCACACAUAAACCUCCUUAUAUCUUCCUCAAAACAGCCACCAUACCUACCUAUUAUGGCAUUCCCAUAGGCAUUCCGAGAUAUAUUGCCAUGCAACUUUCCACCGUUCCGUUUAUCAUGACACAUUCAACAUUGUCAUAUUGCUUUGCAUGAUCAUGUAGCUGACAUAGUAUUUGUGGCAAAGCCACCAUUCAUAAUCCUUUCAUACCUGCCACUCUUGGUUCAUUGCAUAUCCCGGUACAUCGCCAGAGGCAUUCAUAUAGAGUCAUACUUUGUUCUAGUAUCGAGUUGUAAUCAUUGAGUUGUAAAUAAAUAGAAGUGUGAUGAUCAUCAUUUUCUAGAGCAUUGUCCCAACUGAGGAAAAAAAUAAAAAAGGAGAAAGGCCAUAAAAAAAGAGAAGGCACAAAAAAAUUGAGAGAAAAAGAGAGAAGAGAUGAUGUUACUAUCCUUUUUACCACACUUGUGCUUCAAAGUAUUACCAUAAUCUUCAUGAUAGAGAGUCUUUUGUUUUGUCACUUUCAUAUACUAGUGGAAACUUUUCAUUAUAGAACUUGGCUUGUAUAUUCCAACAAUGGGCUUCCUCAAAUGCCCUAGGUCUUGUGAGCAAGCAAGUUGGAUGCACACCCACUUAGUUUCCUUUUUUGAGCUUUCAUAUAUUUAUAGCUCUAGUGCAUCCAUUGCAUGGCAAUCCCUACUCCUUGCAUUAACAUCAAUUGAUGGGCAUCUCCAUAGCUCAUUGAUUAGCCUCGUUGAUGUGAGACUUUCUCCCUUUUUUGUCUUCUCCACAUAACCCCCAUCAUUAUAUUCUAUUCCACCCAUAGUGCUAUAUCCAUGGCUCACGCUCAUGUAUUGCGUGAAGAUUGAAAAAGUUUGAGAUUACUAAAGUAUGAAACAAUUGCUUGGCUUGUCAUCGGGGUUGUGCAUGAUGAGAGCAUUCUUGUGUGACGAAAAUGGAGCAUGACUAACUAUAUGAUUUUGUAGGGAUGAACUUUCUUUGGCCAUGUUAUUUUGAGAGGACAUAAUUGCUUAGUUAGUAUGCUUGAAGUAUUAUUAUUUUAUGUCAAUAUUGAACUUCUAUCUUGAAUCUUUCGGAUCUGAAUAUUCAUACCAUAAUUAAGAAGAAUUACAUUGAAAAUAUUCCAAGUAGCAUUCCACAUCAAAAAUUCUGUUUUUAUCAUUUACCUACUCGAGGACGAGCAUGAAUUAAGCUUGGGGAUGCUUGAUACGGCUCCAACAUAUCUAUAAUUUUUUUUUGUUCCAUGCUAUAUUAUAUUCUGUUUGGACAUUAUUGGGCUUUAUUAUACACUUUUAUAUUAUUUUUGGGACUAACCUGUUAACUGGAGGCCCAGCCUAGAAUUGCUGUUUUUUUGCCUAUUUCAGAGUUUCGCGGAAAAAGAAUAUCAAACGGAGUCCAAACGGAAUGAAACCUUCGGGAACGUGAUUUUCGGAACGAACGUGAUCUAUAGGACUUGGAUCCUACGUCAAGACAUCAACUAGGAGGCCAUGAGGUAGGGGGCGCGCUUACCCCCUGGGCACGCCCUCCACCCUCAUGGCCCCCCUGUUGCUCCACCGACAUACUCCUUCCUCCUAUAUAUACCUACGUACCCCCAAACUACCAGACACGGAGCCAAAACCCUAAUUCCACUGCUGUAACUUUCUGUAUCCACGAGAUCCCAUCUUGGGGCCUGUUCUGGAGCUCCGCCGGAGGGGGCAUCUAUCACGGAGGGCUUCUACAUCAACACCAUAGCCCCUCCAAUGAAGUGUGAGUAGUUUACCUCAGACCUUCGGCUCCAUAGUUAUUAGGUAGAUGACUUCUUCUCUCUUUUUGGAUCUCAAUACAAAGUUCUCCCCCUCUCUUGUGGAGAUCUAUUCGAUGUAACCUUCUUUUUGCGAUGUGUUUAUUGAGACCGAUGAAUUGUGGGUUUAUGAUCAAGUUUAUCUAUGAACAAUAUUUGAAUCUUCUCUGAAUUCUUUUAUGUAUGAUUGGUUAUCUUUGCAAGUCUCUUCAAAUUAUCAGUUUGGUUUGGCCUACUAGAUUGAUCUUUCUUGCAAUGGGAGAAGUGCUUAGCUUUGGGUUCAAUCUUGCAGUGUCCUUUCCCAAUGACAGUAGGGGCAGCAAGGCACGUAUUGUAUUGUUGCCAUCGAGGAUAACAAGAUGGGGUUUAUAUCAUAUUGCAUGAGUUUAUCCCUCUACAUCAUGUCAUCUUGGUUAAAGCGUUACUCUAUUCUCUUGAACUUAAUACUCUAGAUGCAUGCUGGAUAGCGGUCGAUGUGUGGAGUAAUAGUAGUAGAUGCAGGCAGGAGUCGGUCUACUUGUCUUGGACGUGAUGCCUAUAUACAUGAUCAUACCUAGAUAUUCUCAUAACUAUGCUCAAUUCUGUCAAUUGCUCAACAGUAAUUUGUUUACCCACCGUGAAUACUUGUGCUCUUGAGAGAAGCCACUAGUGAAACCUAUGGCCCCCGGGUCUAUUUUCCAUCAUAUUAAUCUUCCAACACUUAGUUAUUUUUAUUGACUUUUAUUUUACUUUGCAUCUUUAUCAUAAAAAAUACCAAAAAUAUUAUAUUAUCAUAUCUAUCAGAUCUCACUCUCGUAAGUGACCGUGUAGGGUUUGACAGCCCCUUAUCGCGUUGGUUGUGAGGAUUUAUUUGUUUGUUUAGGUGCGAGGGACUCGUGCGUGGCCUCCUACUGGAUUGAUACCUUGGUUCUCAAAAACUGAGGGAAAUACUUAUGCUACUUUGCUGCAUCACCCUUUCCUCUUCAAGGGAAAACCAACACAGUGCUCAAGAGGUAGCAGUUGUCAUUUGAUGAACGGGAUCACAUCAUUAGAGAAUGAUGUGAUGGACAAGACCCAUCCGUUAGCUUAGCCCUAUGAUCGUUUAGUUUAUUGCUAUUGCUUUCUUCAUGACUUAUACUUGUUCCUAUGACUAUGAGAUUAUGCAACUCCCGAAUACCGGAGGAACACUUAGUGUGUUAUCAAAUGUCACAACAUAACUGGGUGAUUAUAAAGAUGCUCUAUAGGUGUCUCUGAUGGUGUUUGUUGAGUUGGCAUAGAUCGAGAUUAGGAUUUGUCACUCCGAUUGUCGGACAGGUAUAUCUGGGCCCUCUCGGUAAUGCACAUCACUAUAAGCCUUGCAAGCAAUGUGACUAAUGAGUUAGUUACGGGAUGAUGCAUUAUGGAACGAGUUAGGAGACUUGCCGGUAACGUGAUUGAACUAGGUAUGAUGAUACCAACGAUCGAAUCACGGGCAAGUAACAUACCGAUGACAAAGGGAACAACAUAUGAUGUUAUGUGGUUUUACCGAUAAAGAUCUUCGUAGAAUAUGUAGGAGCCAAUAUGAGCAUCCAGGUUCCGCUAUUGGUUAUUGACCGGAGAUGAGUCUCGGUCAUGUCUACAUAGUUCUCGAACCCGUAGGGUCCGCACGCUUAACGUUCGAUGACGAUCGAUAUUAUGAGUUUAUGUGUUUUGAUGUACCGAAGGUUAUUCGGAGUCUCGGAUGUGAUCAUGGACACGACGAGGAGUCUCGAAAUGGUCGAGACAUAAAGAUUGAUAUAUUGGAUGACUAUAUUCAGACACCGGAUGAGUUCCGGGGGUCACCAGAUAUAUAUCGGAGUGCCGGAAGGGUUAUCGAAACCACCGUAGAAGUAAUGGGCCUUAUUGGGCCUAGGGGAGAGAGGGGGGCUGCCAAGGGCUGGUCGCGCCCCCCCAUGGGCCUAGUCCGAAUUGGACUAGGGGGAGGGGCGGCGCCCCCUCCUUCCUUCUCUUCGCCCCUCCUUCCUUCUUCUCCUAGUAAGACUAGGAAAGGUGGGAGUCCUACUUCUACGAGGAGGAGGAUUUCUACCCCCUUGGCGCGCCUAUGAGGGCCGGCCGGCCUCCCCCUCCCUCCUUUAUAUACGUGGGGAGGGGGCACCCUAGAAGACACAAGUUGAUCUUUAGCCGCGUGCGGUGCCCCCUCCACAGUUUUACACCUCGAUCAUAUUGCCAUAGUGCUUAGGUGAAGCCCUGCGUCGGUAACUUCAUCAUCACCGCCAACAUGCCAUCGUGCUAACGAAACUCACCCUUGGCCUCGGCUGGAUCAAGAGUACGAGGGACGUCACCGAGCUGAACGUGUGCAGAUCACGGAGGUGUCGUGCGUUCAGUACUUGAUCGGUUGGAUCGCGAAGACGUUCGACUACAUCAACCGCAUUACUAAACGCUUCCGCUUUUGGUUUAUGAGGGUACGUGGACACACUCUCCCCGCUCGUUGCUAUGCUUCUCCUAGACAGAUCUUGUGUGAUCAUAGGAAUUUUUUUAAAUACUACGUUCCCCAACAGUGGCAUCCAAGCCAGGUCUAUGCGUAGAUGUUAUAUGCACGAGUAGAACACAAAGGAGUUGUGGGCAUGGGUAUAUACAUAUUGCUUGUCGUCACUAGUUGAUUCUUGAUUCAACGGUAUUGUUGGAUGAAGCGUCUCAGACCGACAUUACACAUACGCUUACGCGAGACUGGUUCUACCGAUGUGCUUCGCACAUAGGUGGCUAGUGGGUGUCAGUUUCUCCAACUUUAGUUGAAUCGGAUCCAAUGAACUGGGUUCUUUCUGAAGAUCAAAAAGCAAUCACUAUACCGCGUUGUGGUUUUUGAUGCGUAGGUAAGAACGGUUCUUGCGAAACCCGUAGCAGCCACGUAAAACUUGCAACAACAAGUAGAGGACGUCUAACUUGUUUUUGCAGGGCAUGUUGUGAUGUGAUAUGGUCAAGACAUGAUUAUAUAAAUUGUUGUAUGAGAUGAUCAUGUUUUGUUAAAGUUAUCGGCAACUGGCAAGAGCCUUAUAGUUGUCUCCUUAUUGCAUAAGAUGCAAGCGCCAUAUAAUUGCUUUAGUUCAUCGCUAUGCGAUAGCAAUAGUUGCAAAAACAAUAGUUGGCGAGAUGACCAUGUGACGACACGUUGAUACAGAUCAAGAUGAUGGAGAUCAUGGUGUCAUGCCGGUGACGAUAGAGAUCAUGACGGUACUUUGGAGAUGGAGAUCAAAGGCACAAGAUGAUGAUGGGCAUAUCAUGUCACAUAUUUUGAUUGCAUGUGAUGUUUAUCUUUUAUGCAUCUUAUUUUUCUUAGUACGAAGGUAGCAUUAUGAGAUGAUCCCUUACUAAAAUUUCAAGGUAUAAGUGUUCUCCCUGAGUAUGCACCGUUGCGACAGUUCUUCGUGCUGAGACACCACGUGAUGAUUGGGUGUGAUAAGCUCUACGUUCACAUACAACGGGUGCAAGCCAGUUUUGCAUGUGCAGAAUACUCGGAUUAAACUUGAUGAUCCUAGCAUAUGCAGAUAUGGCCUCGGAACAUUGAGACCGAAAGGUCGAACGUGAAUCAUAUAGUAGAUAUGAUCAACAUAGUGAUGUUCACCAUUGAAAGCUACUCCAUCUCACAUGAUGAUCAGACAUGGUUUAGUUGAUAUGGAUCACGUGAUCAUUUCGAUGACUAGAGGGAUGUCUAUCUAAGUGGGAGUCCUUAAGUAAUAUGAUUAAUUGAACUUAAUUUUAUCAUGAACUUAGUCCUUAUAGUAUUUACAUAUCUAUGUUAUAGAUCAAUUGCUCGCGUAUAGCCUCCCCGUUUUAUUUAUGAUAUGUUCCUAGAGAAAACUACGUUGAGAUUUGAUAGUAGCAAUGAUGCGGACUAGGCCCGUGAUCUGAGGAUUAUCCUAAUUGCUGCACGGAAGAAUUAUGUCCUUGAUGCACCGCUAGGUGACAGAACUAUUGCAGGAGAAAAUGCAGACAUUAUGAACGUUUGACAAGCUAGGUAUGAUGACUACUUGAUAGUUUAGUGCACCAUGCUUUACGGCUUAGAACCGGGACUUCAAAAAUGUUUUGAAACGCUAUGGAGCAUAUGAGAUGUUCCAAGAGUUGAAAUUGGAAUUUCAGACUCAUGCCCGAGUCGAGAGGUAUGAGACCUCUGACAAGUAUUUUCGCCUACAAGAUGGAGGAGAAUAGCUCAACCAGUGAGCAUGUGCUCAGACUGUCUGAGUACUACAAUCGCUUGAAUCAAGUGGGAGUUAAUCUUCAAGAUAAAAUAGGGAUUGACAGAGUUCUCUAGACACUAUCACCAAGUUACUGGAACUUCGUGAUGAACUAUAAUAUGCAAAGGAUGACGAAAACGAUUCCUGAGCUCUUCGUGAUGCCGAAAUCGACGAAGGUAGAAAUCAAGAAAAGCAUCAAAUGUUGAUGGUUGAUGAGACCACUAGUUUCAAGUAAAAGGGCAAGGGAAAGAAAGGGAACUUCAAGAAGAAUGACAGGCAAGUUGCCACUCCCAUGAAGAAGCACAAAGCUAGACCCAAGCCUGAAACUGAGUGCUUCUGAUACGUCUCCAACGUAUCUAUAAUUUUUGAUUGUUCCAUGCUAUUAUAUUAUCAACCUUGGAUGUUUUAUAUGCAUUUAUAUGCUAUUUUAUAUGAUUUUUGGGACUAACCUAUUUACCUAGAGCCCACUGCCAGUUUCUAUUUUUUCCUUGUUUUAGAGUAUCGCAGAAAAGGAAAAUCAAACGGAGUCCAAUUGACCUGAAACUUCACAGAACUUAUUUUUGGACCAGAAGAAGCCCACGGAGUAUCGGAGAUGGACCAGGAGAGUCCCGGGCUGCCCACGAGGGUGGGGGGCACGCCCACCCCCUGGGCGUGCCCCCUGCCUCGUGGACAGCCCGGAGAUCCACCAACGUACUUCUUCCUCCUAUAUAUACCCAUAUACCCUAAGAACUUCGAGGAGCAGGAUAGAUCGGGAGUUCCGUCGCCAGAAGCCUUCAUAGCCACCGAAAACCAAUCUAGACCCGUUCUGGCACCCUACCGGAGGGGGAAUCCCCCUCCGGUGGCCAUCUUCGUCAUCCUGGCGCUCUCCAUGACGAGGAGGAAGUAGUUCUCCCUCGGGGCUGAGGGUAUGUACCAGUAGCUAUGUGUUUGAUCUCUCUCUCUCUCGUGUUCUUGAGGUGGUACGAUCUUGAUGUAUCGCGAGCUUUGCUAUUAUAGUUGGAUCUUAUGAUGUUUCUCCCACUGUACACUCUUGUAAUGGAUUGAGUUUUCCCUUUGAAGUUAUCUUAUCGGAUUGAGUCUUUAAGGAUUUGAGAACACUUGAUGUAUGUCUUGCGUGGGAUACCCAUGGUGACAAUGGGGUAUUCUAUUGAUCCACUUGAUGUAUGUUUUGGUGAUCAACUUGCGGGUUCCGCCAAUAAAACCUAUGCAUAGGGGUUGGCACACGUUUUCGUCUUGACUCUCCGGUAGAAACUUUGGGGCACUCUUUGAAGUACUUUGUGUUGGUUGAAUAGAUGAAUCUGAGAUUGUGUGAUGCAUAUCACAUAAUCAUACCCAUGGAUACUUGAGGUGACAUUGGAGUAUCUAGGUGACAUUAGGGUUUUGGUUGAUUUGUGCCUUAAGGUGUUAUUCUAGUGCGAACUCUAUGAUAGAUUGAACGGAAAGAAUAGCUUCAUGUUAUUUUACUACGAACUCUUGAAUAGAUCGAUCAGAAAGGAUAACUUGAGGUGGUUUCGUACCCUACCAUAAUCUUUUUGUUUGUUCUCCGCUAAUAGUGACUUUGGAGUGACUCUUUGUUGAGUGACUCUUUGUUGCAUGUUCUGGGAUAGUUAUAUGAUCCAAUUAUGUUAUUAUUGUUGAGAGAACUUGAACUAGUGAAAGUAUGAACCCUAGGCCUUGUUUCAACGCAUUGCAAUACCGUUUGUGCUCACUUUUAUCAUUAGUUACCUUGCUGUUUUUAUAUUUUCAGAUUACAAAAACCUUUAUCUACUAUCCAUAUUGCACCUGUAUCACCAUCUCUUCGCCGACCUAGUGCACCCAUACAAUUUACUAUUGUAUUGGGUGUGUUGGGGACACAAGAGACUCUUUGUUAUUUGGUUGCAGGGUUGCUUGAGAGAGACCAUCUUCAUCCUACGCCUCCUACAGAUUGAUAAACCUUAGGUCAUCCACUUGAGGGAAAUUUGCUACUGUCCUACAAACCUCUACACUUGGAGGCCCAACAACGUCUACAAGAAGAAAGUUGUUUAGUAGACAUCAAGCUCUUUUCUGGUGCCGUUGUGUAGCGACCAGACCUCAAACGGUCCAAUCUCUAUGCUUCGGUGUCAUCACUGGAUCAGUAAUGCUGACACCACACAGUACUUGAAGGAUUUAUAACAAAGUAGCAAUCACACACUUAUUACAUCGAGUCUCAAAAGAGAACUUAUUACAAUAAAUAUGGCUUAAGGCCAUCUAAUAACGAUAACAACGGAAGGCUUGGAAGAUAAGUGAGUCCAUCAACUCCAACGGCAUCACUGAUUAACUCCUUAAUCUGCUUCUUAAUCUCCACCAAAUCCUUUGCGGGCAUCCUAUAUGGUCUCUUAGAUAUUGGCCCCGUGCCUGGCAAAAGAUCAAUCAAAAGCUCAAUAUCUCUAUCCGGUGGCAUGCCUGGCAACUCCUCUGGAAAUACAUCAGGGAAAUCCUUCACUACUGGUACUUCCUCCUGCACAACUCAUGUUAAGCAAUUUACUUGAGUCCUUUUCGGCACAUGCCGGGAUACAUACUUGAUCCUUCUCCCUUCUGGGGUGGUAAGCAAAAUUGACUUACUGGCACAUUCAAUGUUCCCUUCAUACUUUGACAACCAAUCCAUGCCUAAUAUCACAUCCAAUCCUUGAGAUUCCAAUACUAUUAGGUCCGAGGGAAAUACAUAGUUACCAAUCCUUAAUGGUAACCGAUCACACCAUAGACUAGCCAUAUACUCUGCUCCAGGCAAGGUUACUAACAUGGUUGACCUAAGGGCUUGGGUUGGCAGUUUAUACUUAUCCACAAAUCCCCUUGAUAUGUAUGAAUGCGAUGCACCAGUAUCGAAAAGAACGAGUGCAGUAAAUGACUUAACCAAAAACUUACCGAUUACUGCAUCCGGCUGCUCUUCAACCACCUCCACGUUAACGUGGUUCACCUGUCCCAUGUUGAAAGGGUUCGGCUUCUUCCCAGAGCUUCCAUUGCCAUUUCCAUUCUGAGAUUCAGGACAUUCAUUGGCAUAAUGUCCGGUCUUCUGGCACUUAAAGCAAGUGACUUGGCUCAUGUCUCUCUUGGCUGGGGUUGAAGGGUUGGUAUGGUUCUGGCCAUUGCUUCCUCCAUUCCCAUUACCAUUCUUGGUGCCAUUAUGAUUGUGCGAGCUACCUCCUCCAUGGGUAUGCUGAAAAUGUCCUCCCGGUCUAGGGGUAAAACAUGGCUUCUGCUGAGCUCCUGAAUUGUACUUCCCUUGUCCAUACUUCCUCUUAUGAUUUUCAAUCUGUUGCUGCUUCCCUUCAAUCAUAAGAGCACGAUCUACCAACUCCUGGUAGUUGUUGAAUGUUGCUACCAUCAACUACAUGCUCAACUCAUCAUUCAGUCCUUCCAGAAACUUCUCCUGCUUAGUUGCAUCCGUAGCAACGUCAUCUGGGGCAUAACGUGCUAGCUUACUAAAUUCCUCCACAUAGUGGCCAACUGUCUGUCCUCCUUGGCGCAAGUUGCGAAACUCUUGCUUCUUCAUCGACAUAGCUCCUGCUGAAACAUGGGCAGUACGGAAAGCCUGCUGGAACUGGUCCCAUGUGACAGUGUUGAUAGGGAAAGUGGCUGUGAAAUUCUCCCACCAUGAUGCUACGGGUCCUUCAAGCUGAUGUGCGGCAAACUUCACCUUUUUCGCAUCUGUGCAUCCUGCCGUGGUCAACUCCCUUGCUGUCUUGCGGAGCCAGUCAUCCGCUACUAUCGGCUCGGUGCUACUGGAAAACACCGGCGGAUUCAGCCUAAGAAAGCGGGCUAAGUGAUCAACAGGUGGUGGUGGUGGUGGGUUGUUGUUGUUGUUGUUCCCCUGAUUCUGAUUCUGGACUAGAAACUACAUCAAUGUGUUCUGCUGCUGGAUCAACUGGGUGAGCUCCGGUGGGAAGGUAAAUCCGGGGUCACGUCUCGGAGGCAUCUAAGGGUUUAGAAAAGAUGAGAUUGAAGAAUAGAGAGGGGUCUAGAUAGAAAACACUACCCAUAUGCACAUGAGGCAAAAGCAAACAAUUCACUUCAUUCAAUCAAACAAGGGCAUACAAUCGAUCUAACUAUCGCAAAAGUGCUCGGACUACUAUAUUUACAUGGUGGACUACUACUACUGAUGAGGUGGUCUACUAGAAAUAUUCUUCGCUUGCAGACUCCAUGAUAUCUGCUCCAGCUUCAUCAACAUAGUCAUCAUCGCUAUCAUCUGGAUCCGAGUCGGUGUCGUCGAUGAUGAUGUAGUCUUCCGGGCGAAUCUCCUUGGGUCCUUCGUCCUCUUCUACUGGUGUAGGGCCUCCCAUAAAUAUUCCAAUCUUCUUGAUCAGAUCGCCAUUCUUCUCCACUAGUACUUCGAUUUCCUCUACAUAAUCUUCACGUGUAGCCUUGAGUUCUUCAUCCAGUUCCUUGAUUCUUGUCCUCGCCUUCUUCAGAUCUAUCAUGUCAGCGCACAUCUGGUUCUCCUGACGUCGAAUGUGCUGGUUUAACUCCUGGAUAAAAGCUGCAAUUGAUCUAUCCUUCCUGGUGCUGAUCAUCUCCCAGUGCUCAUCUCGGUGCCCACAAAUCUUGUAGAUAGUGUCCUUGAGAUCAUUGCGGUAAACUUCUCCAAUACGACCCAUGGCGAUGUGAGCUGCCAUGCUCUUUCCUAGACUCCAGGUUGGUGCAUCAAAGGAAAACUCUAUGGGCUCAGUGACUGGCAUGAACAUCCUUCCUGGAACUUGAACUUGAAUCAUCCAGCGCUCCUCUUCAGGUAAAGUGGCGUUGUAGGUUCCGGUGAAGCUUGGUACUCCUAUGUUUAGAUAUCUAGUGACUUCCUUCAAGUGACGUCCAAAGGGUGUAUCUUCAUCCGGUUGCGUGAACUUGUUCCUUGCAUCCGCCAUCCUAGAAGAGUAGAAAAGAUGAGGAGUCAGAAUGAGAAGAGUGAGUAGUGAUCUAGGGCUUUAGCUUAGUGGUCGUGUCCUACAGUCAGCGUGUGCUCUGAUACCAUCUUGUAGCGACCAGACCUCAAACGGUCCAAUCUCUGUGCUCCGGUGUCAUCCUUGGAUCAGUAAUGCUGACACCACACAAUACUUGAAGGAUUUAUGAAAGAGUAGCAAUCACACACUUAUUACAUCGAGUCUCAAAAGAGAACUUAUUACAAUAAAUAUGGCUUAAGACAUCUAAUAACGAUAACAGCAGAAUGCUUGGGAGAUAAGUGAGUCCAUCAACUCCAACGGCAUCACUGAGUAUAGAACCACGACCUAAAAGGCACCUUACUCGUCGUCUGAAAAGUCUGCAACAUGAACGUUGCAGCCCGAAACGGGUCAGCACAUGGAAUAUGCUGGCAAUGUAACACAUAGAGAGCAAUGAACGAAUUAGACUAUAGUAUAUGCAUAUUUGGCUGGUGGAAAGCUCUAUGGUUACAGUUUUGCGUAAAAGCCAAUUUUUCCCUACUGCAAAGGAAUAAAUUUUAUUUAACUAUCAUGGUGGUUGUUAAACAUUGAGAGUGUAGACACGCUCUCAAUCCCAAUUAAACAUCAUCAUUAAAAACCCAACAAAUUAAUUAAAGUAACAUGAUGAGAUUCACAUGAUAAUACAAGUACUAGUUACUCAAGAUGUCCAUAACCGGGGACACGGCUAACCAUGAUUAGUUUAUACACUCUGCAGAGGUUUGCGCACUUUUCCCCACAAGACUCGAUCUCCUCCGUUGGGAUUAUCGCACUACAUGGUGUUUGAGAAACGGAUGACCGAGACAUAGUCUUUCAGAAGUGCUAGCACCUUACAAACGGGUAGACCGUACCAACCUACAUCCCCUACAUCUGCUAGUCUACCACUGUAAGAGUUCGCACGACUUGGUCAACUAUGCUAGAGCCCAUAGUAGCUUGUGGCUGCACAUGGAAGUUUCUAGUAUGAAUAAUCUCAUGAUCCCUUUGAGCCUGGGUGGCGGUCCAUAAAGAAAAACGGGCAAUCGCCGGAAUACCCAGGUGCCUCAAUCCACCCAGAUGUGUAUUUAAGUUGCCACCUUAGAUAAGCCAUUGAUUUAACAAACUCACAUCUGUCAUGGAUAUCACUCAUCCAAUCCACGUCUACUAGCAUAGCAUGGCAAAAUAAGCAAACGUAGAAGUAAUUCCCAAAGGUUUGAAUAAAAAGAACAGGUAAUAGGUACCACCUCAUCUACUUCCCAAAACCCACAAUUUAAUUGGAUCCGAAUCAUGCAAUGUGUGAGGGUUGAUCUAAUGCAAUAAAAACUAGGUAGUAGGAGGUAUGAUCAAAGUGUUACUUUCCUUGCUGAUGAUCCGGGAAACCUACCGAUUCGAAGUAGCAAGCGGCGCACUCCGGGUACUCUAUCGCAAACAAACAAGCAUACAAUAAGUACACAACUAAUGCACAGGUAAAACUCAAAUAAGAGGUCUAACCAGAAAGUUCAACUUAAGAACUCCGGUUGGCAAAAAGAAUCAAAACGUAUGAAGCAACGAAAGACAAACGACAAAAGAAACAAGAUUCGUUUACUAUUCUGGAUCUAGGUCAAAUUUUACAGUGGCAAAAACUUGUUUGAGUUGGUUAAACGGAAAGAGGGUUUCGAGACAAAACUCCAGGCGCUUGAAUCGCCUGAUUCCGAUAAACGAGCGAAAAGUUAUACUAGAACGAAAAUCAGAUCAGGAAUCGCGAUCAGAAAAAUCGCGGAUUUAAUCCGAGAGAAAGAAAAACGACGAACAGAUUAACGAAUGAAUGUUCGUUAUCUAGAUCUAAACGAAAAAUGCGUUCGUUAAAACGAACGAAUGAGUGAACGCUCGCUAAUUAACUAAACCAGAAAAAAACCAAUUUAACGAAAAAACGGAUCUAAAAAACCAAAAAAAACCGACGAAAAAACCGAACGGUUUUCCUAAAAAAACAUUGGCGGUGGUCAACCUCAUCGGCGGCGAACUCCGGGGGCGGCAGCGGCAGCGCAGGAGGCGACGGCUAGGGUUGGGCGGCUCGGACUGGGGUCCUUGCUUUAUAAAGGUCGGCCGGGCCGGGUGUCCUGGUCGGACACGACCCGGUAGGUUGGUUCGACUUUCUUUUAAAUAAUUACGCUUAGAGAAAAAAGGAAUACUAAACGGACUCCAAAAAUCCUGAAAUAAAAUUUCCCUGGCUUCUAAAAUCAAGCCGCAUAGGAUGAACAUUUAUUUGGGGCCUAAAUGCAAUUUUGAAAAACGCACAUUUUUCCUAAAUUCAAAUAAAAUAGCAAAUAAAUCCAAAUAAAAUCUUAUUUGAUUUUUUUAUUAAAUCCUCAAUAUUUCUUUAUUUUGGGAAAGUCAUUUUAUUCCCUCUCUCAUAUUUUGAUAAUAGAAAUAAUUGAAGAUAAAAUAAAUAAAAUCAAAUGAUCCCAUUUUCAAAAUUUGAGAACACUCAAAUAUGAAAAUAAUGAAAUUCCCAACUCUCUCCGAGGGUCCUUGAGUUGCGUGAAAUUUCUAGGAUCAACCAAAAUGCAAAUAAAAUAUGAUAUGCAAUGAUGAUCUAUUGUAUAACAUUCCAAAUUGAAAAUUUGGAAUGUUACAAACCUACCCCCCUUAAGAUGAAUCUCGCCCUCGAGAUUUGGGUUGGCUAGAAAAUAGAUGAGGGUGGUCCUUCAACAGAUCUUUCUCUCAUUCCCAGGUGGCUUCAUCCUCCGUGUGGUGGCUCCACUGAACUUUGCAAAAUUUGAUAAUCUUGCUGCGGGUGACUCGGCUGGCAUACUCAAGUAUCUUGAUUGGUUUCUCCUCAUAGGUCAAAUCACUGUCCAACUGAAUCGCUUCCAGCGGCACUAUGUUUCUCAGUGGUAUAUCCGCCAUCUCUGCGUGGCACUUCUUCAAUUGGGAAACAGCGAACACGUCGUGAACUCCUGACAAUCCUUCGGGAAAUUCCAACUUAUAGGCUACUUCUCCCAUACGCUCCAAAACUUUGUAUGGUCCUACAAAACGUGGUGCUAACUUUCCCUUAACUCCAAAACGCUUAACUCCUCGAAGUGGAGAUACUCGAAGAUAAACUCGGUCUCCGACUUCGUAAACUGUCUCCUUGCAUUUUGAAUCUGCAUAGCUCUUCUGCUUGGACUGGGCUACCUUGAGCCUAUCGUGAAUCACUUUCACCUUCUGUUCAGACUCCUUAAUCAGAUCCGGUCCAAACAACUGACGGUCUCCAACUUCAUCCCACGGCAGUGGGGUCCUGCACCUCCUUCCGUACAAGGCUUCGAAAGGGGCCAUCUUCAAACUGGAUUGAUAACUGUUGUUAUAAGAGAACUCUGCGUAUGGCAAAUUCUCGUACCAACUAGAUCCGUAAUCUAGCGCACAAGCUCUCAGCAUAUCCUCCAAAAUCUGAUUGACUCUCUCGGUCUAUCCAUCUGUCUGCGGGUGGAAAGUUGUACUGAACUCUAGUGUGGUACCCAAAGUUUCAUGCAACUGAUUCCAGAACUUUGAGGUAAACUGGGUUCCUCUGUCUGAUACAAUGCUCCUUGGAACUCCAUGCAAACACACGAUCCUGGUCAUGUAUAUCUUUGCUAACUUGGCACUGGUAUAGGUAGUCUUCACUGGGAUGAAAUGAGCUACCUUUGUCAAACGAUCGACUACAACCCAAAUCGAGUCAUAGCCUGAACGAGUUCUGGGCAAUCCUGUGAUAAAAUCCAUGCCUAACUUAUCCCACUUCCAUUCGGGUAUUGGCAAUAGCUGUAGCAAUCCGGCUGGCUUCUGAUGCUUUGCCUUUACUCUCUAACAUACAUCACAAACUGCUACAUACUCCGCAAUAUCCUUCUUCAUUCUGGUCCACCAGAAAGUAUCCUUCAAAUCCAAAUACGUCUUGGUAUUUCAUGGGUGAAUCGAAUAUGGUGAAUCAUGGGCCUCUUGCAGAAUCAACUUCCCGAUCUCUGGGUCGUUAGGCACAUAAACACGGUCUUCAAACCAUAAGGUAUCGUGUUCAUCCUCACAAAAUCCUUUAGCUUUUCCUUUGCUCAUUUUCUCCUUAAUAGAAGCAAUCUCCUUGUCAGUCUUCUGGGCUUCUCUGAUCUUAUCCAUCAAAGUAGACUGAAUCUCUAAUACUGCUACAUAGACUCUCGGAACUAUCUCCAAACAUAGCUCACGAAGAUUUUCGGCUAACUCUCUUGGUAGAUCUGCCGUCAUUAAGGUGUUGACAUGGAUUUUACGGCUCAACGCGUCAGCUACUACAUUAGCCUUUCCGGGAUGAUAAUGCAAUCUCAUAUCAUAAUCCUUGAUGAGCUCCAACCAUCUCCUUUGCGUGAGAUUCAACUCCUUCUGCGUGAAAAUAUACUUCAAACUCUUGUGAUCCGUGUACACUUCGCAAUGGUUCCCAAUGAGAAAGUGUCUCCAAGUCUUCAAUGCAUGCACUACGGCUGCUAACUUCAAAUCAUGCAUGGCAUAAUUUAACUCAUGAGGCUUAAGUUGUCGUGAGGCAUAUGAAACAACUCUUCCUUCCUGCAUAAGCACUGUUCCAAGUCCUCGACGUGAAGCGUCGCAAUACACCUCAUAAUCCUUGGUCUGAUCUGGCAAAAUCAACACUGGUGAUGUAACCAAACAUUUCUUCAACUCUUGGAAACUAGCCUCACAUUCUUCGGUCCAUAUGAACUUGGUAUCCUUCUUCAACAACUCCGUCAUAGGUUUUGCAAUCUUCGAGAAAUUUUCAAUAAAUCUCCGGUAGUAUCCUGCAAGUCCAAGAAAACUCCGGAUCUCUCCAACUAUUGUUGGUGCUUCCCAGUUUGUCACAGUGUCAACCUUGGUGGGAUCUACUGCUAUACCUUCUCCGGAUAUAACGUGUCCGAGAAAUCCAACUUCCUUCAACCAAAACUCACAUUUGCUAAACUUUGCGUAUAACUGAUGUUCUCUGAGCUUACGAAGUACCAAACGCAAAUGCUCCUUAUGCUCCUCUUCAUUCUUCGAAUAAACCAGAAUAUCAUCAAUGAACACUACGACGAACUUAUCCAAAAACUCCAUAAACACCUUGUUCAUCAUGUUCAUAAAAUAUGCAGGUGCGUUAGUCAGACCAAAUGACAUAACGGUAUACUCGUACAGCCCAUACCUGGUGGUAAAAGCCGUCUUAGGUAUAUCCUGUUCUUGAAUCUUCAACUGAUGGUACCCUAACCGCAGAUCAAUCUUGGAAAAUACCUUAGCUCCUUGCAAUCGAUCAAACAGAUCAUUGAUCAUCGGUAGUGGGUACUUGUUCUUGAUGGUUACUUCAUUCAAUCCCCGAUAAUCAACAACCAUCCUUAACGAUCCAUCCUUCUUCUCUACUAGAAGUACCGGCGAUCCCCAAGGUGAAGAACUUGGGCGAAUAUAACCUUUAUCCAGUAACUCCUUAAUCUGCUUCUUAAUCUCCACCAAAUCCUUUGCGGGCAUCCUAUAUGGUCUCUUAGAUAUUGGCCCGAUGCCUGGCAAAAGCUUAAUCAAAAGCUCAAUAUCUCUAUCUGGUGGCAUGCCUAGCAACUCCUCUGGAAAUACAUCAGGGAAAUCCUUCACUACUGGUACUUCCUCCUGCACAACUCAUGUUAAGCAAUUUACUUGAGUCCUUUUCGGCACAUGCCGGGAUACAUACUUGAUCCUUCUCUCUUCUGGGGUGGUAAGCAAAAUUGACUCACUGGCACAUUCAAUGUUCCCUUCAUACUUCGACAACCAAUCCAUGCCUAAUAUCACAUCCAAUCCUUGAGAUUCCAAUACUAUUAGGUCCGAGGGAAAUACAUAGUUACCAAUCCUUAAUGGUAACCAAUCACACCAUAGACUAGCCAUAUACUCUGCUCCAGGCGAGGUUACUAACAUGGGUGACCUAAGGGCUUGGGUUGGCAGUUUAUACUUAUCCACAAAUCCCCUUGAUAUGUAUGAAUGCGAUGCACCAGUAUCGAAAAGAACGAGUGCAGUAAAUGACUUAACCAAAAACUUACCGAUUACUGCAUCCGGCUGCUCUUCAACCUCCACGUUAACGUGGUUCACCUGUCCCAUGUUGAAAGGGUUCGGCUUCUUCCCAGAGCUUCCAUUGCCAUUUCCAUUCUGAGAUUCAGGACAUUCAUUGGCAUAAUGUCCGGUCUUCUGGCACUUAAAGCAAGUGACUUGGCUCAGGUCUCUCUUGGCUGGGGUUGAAGGGUUGGUAUGGUUCUGGCCAUUGCUUCCUCCAUUCCCAUUACCAUUCUUGGUGCCAUUAUGAUUGUGCGAGCUAUCUCCUCCAUGGGUAUGCUGAAAAUGUCCUCCCAGUCUAGGGGUAAAACGUGGCUUCUGCCGAGCUCCUGAAUUGUACUUCCCUUGUCCAUACUUCCUCUUAUGAUUUUCAAUCUGUUGCUGCUUUCCUUCAAUCAAAAGAGCACGAUCUACCAACUCCUGGUAGUUGUUGAAGGUUGCUACCAUCAACUACAUGCUCAACUCAUCAUUCAGUCCUUCCAGAAACUUCUCCUGCUUAGUUGCAUCCGUAGCAACGUCAUCUGGGGCAUAACGUGCUAGCUUACCUAAGUCCUCCACAUAGUGGCCAACUGUCUGUCCUCCUUGGUGCAAGUUGCGAAACUCUUGCUUCUUCAUUGACAUAGCUCCUGCUGAAACAUGGGCAGUACGGAAAGCCUGCUGGAACUGGUCCCAUGUGACAGUGUUGAUAGGGAAAGUGGCUGUGAAAUUCUCCCACCAUGAUGCUACGGGUCCUUCAAGCUGAUGUGCGGCAAACUUCACCUUUUUCGCAUCUGUGCAUCCUGCCGUGGUCAACUCCCUUGCUGUCUUGCGGAGCCAGUCAUCCGCUACUAUCGGCUCGGUGCUACUGGAAAACACCGGCGGAUUCAGCCUAAGAAAGCGGGCUAAGUGAUCAACAGGUGGUGGUGGUGGUGGGUUGUUGUUGUUCCCCUGAUUCUGAUUCUGGACUAGCAACUACAUCAAUGUGUUCUGUUGCUGGAUCAACUGGGUGAGCUCCGGUGGGAAGGUAAAUCCGGGGUCACGUCUCGGAGGCAUCUAAGGGUUUAGAAAAGAUGAGAUUGAAGAAUAGAGAGGGGUCUAGAGAGAAAACACUACCCAUAUGCACAUGAGGCAAAAGCAAACAAUUCACUUCAUUCAAUCAAACAAGGGCAUACAAUCGAUCUAACUAUCACAAAAGUGCUCGGACUACUAUAUUUACAUGGUGGACUACUACUACUGAUGAGGUGGUCUACUAGGAAUAUUCUUCGGUUGCAGACUCCAUGAUAUCUGCUCCAGCUUCAUCAACAUAGUCAUCAUCGCUAUCAUCUGGAUCCGAGUCGGUGUCGUCGAUGAUGAUGUAGUCUUCCGGGCGAAUAUCCUUGGGUCCUUCGUCCUCUUCUACUGGUGUAGGGCCUCCCAUAAAUAUUCCAAUCUUCUUGAUCAGAUCGUCAUUCUUCUCCACUAGUACUUCGAUUUCCUCUACAUAAUCUUCACGUGUAGCCUUGAGUUCUUCAUCCAGUUCCUUGAUUCUUGUCCUUGCCUUCUUCAGAUCUAUCAUGUCGGCGCACAUCUGGUUCUCCUGACGUCGAAUGUGCUGGUUUAACUCCUGGAUAAAAGCUGCAAUUGAUCUAUCCUUCUUGGUGCUGAUCAUCUCCCAAUGCUCAUCUCGGCGCCCACAAAUCUUGUAGAUAGUGUCCUUGAGAUCAUUGCGGUAAACUUCUCCAAUACGACCCAUGGCGAUGUGAGCUGCCAUGCUCUUUCCUAGACUCUAGGUUGGUGCAUCAAAGGAAAACUCUAUGGGCUCAGUGACUGGCAUGAACAUCCUUCCUGGAACUUGAACUUGAAUCAUCCAGCGCUCCUCUUCAGGUAAAGUGGCGUUGUAGGUUCUGGUGAAGCUUGGUACUCCUAUGUUUAGAUAUCUAGUGACUUCCUUCAAGUGACGUCCAAAGGGUGUAUCUUCAUCCGGUUGCGUGAACUUGUUCCUUGCAUCUGCCAUCCUAGAAGAGUAGAAAAGAUGAGGAGUCAGAAUGAGAAGAGUGAGUAGUGAUCUAGGGCUUUAGCUUAGUGGUCGUGUCCUAUAGUCAGCGUGUGCUCUGAUACCAUCUUGUAGCGACCAGACCUCAAACGGUCCAAUCUCUGUGCUCUGGUGUCAUCCCUGGAUCAGUAAUGCUGACACCACACAGUACUUGAAGGAUUUAUGAAAGAGUAGCAAUCACACACUUAUUACAUCGAGUCCCAAAAGAGAACUUAUUACAAUAAAUAUGGCUUAAGGCCAUCUAAUAAUGAUAACAGCGGAAUGCUUGGAAGAUAAGUGAGUCCAUCAACUCCAACGACAUCACUGAGUAUAGACCACGACCUAAAAGGCACCUUACUCGUCGUUUGAAAAGUCUACAACAUGAACGUUGCAGCCCGAAAUGGGUCAGCACAUGGAAUAUGCUGGCAAUGUAACACAUAGAGAGCAAUGAAGGAAUAAGACUAUAGUAUAUGCAUAUUUGGCUGGUGGAAAGCUCUAUGGUUAUAGUUUUGCAUAAAGCCAAUUUUUCCCUACUGCAAAGGAAUAAAUUUUAUUUAACUAUCAUGGUGGUUGUUAAACAUUCAGAGUGUAGACAUGCUCUCAAUCCCAAUUAAACAUCAUCAUUAAAAACCCAACAAAUUAAUUAAAGUAACAUGAUGAGAUUCACAUGAUAAUACAAGUACUAGAUAGUCAAGAUGUCCAUAACCGGGGACCCGGCUAACCAUGAUUAGUUUAUACACUCUGCAGAGGUUUGCGCACUUUUCCCCACAAGACUCGAUCUCCUCCGUUGGGAUUCUCGCACUACAUGGUGUUUGAGAAACGGAUGACCGAGACAUAGUCUUUCAGAAGUGCUAGCACCUUACGAACGGGUAGACCGUACCAACCUACAUCCCCUACAUCUGCUAGUCUACCACUGUAAGAGUUCGCACGACUUAGUCAACUAUGCUAGAGCCCAUAGUAGCUUGUGGCUGCACACGGAAGUUUCUAGUAUGAAUAAUCUCAUGAUCCCUUUGAGCCUGGGUGGCGGUCCAUAAAGAAAAACAGGCAAUCGCCGGAAUACCCAGGUGCCUCAAUCCACCCAGAUGUGUAUUUAAGUUGCCACCUUAGAUAAGCCAUUGAUUUAACAAACUCCGGGCGCUUGAGUCGCCUGAUUCCAAUAAACGAGCGAAAAGUUAUACUAGAACAAAAAUCGGAUCAGGAAUCGCGAUCAGAAAAAUCGCGGAUUUAAUCCGAGAAAAAGAAAAAUGACGAACAAAUUAACGAAUGAACAUUCGUUAUCUGGAUCUAAAUGAAAAACGCAUUCGUUAAAACGAAUGAACGAGGGAAUGCUUGCUAAUUAACUAAAGUGGAAAAAAACCGAUCUAACGAAAAAACGGAUCUAAAAAAACCAAAAAAACCGACGGAAAAACGGAACGGUUUUCCUAAAAAACGGUGGCGGCGGUCAACCUCGUCGGCGGCUAGGGUUGGGUGGCUCGGGCUGGGGUCCUCGCCUUAUAAAGGCCGGCCGGGCCGGGUGUCCUGGUCGGACACGGCCCGGUAGGUCGGUUCGACUUAAAAAAAAAUAGUUACGCUCAGAGAAAAAAACAAAAGGAAAAUUAAACGGACUCCAAAAAUCUCAAAAUAAAUUUUCCCGGCUUCUAAAAUCAAGCCGCAUAGGAUGAACAUUUAUUUGGGGCCUAAAUGCAAUUUUGAAAAAUACGCAUUUUUCCUAAAUUCAAAUAAAAUAGCAAAUAAAUCCAAAUAAAAUCUUAUUUGAUUUUUAUUAAAUCCUCAAUAUUUAUUUAUUUUGGAAAAGUCAUUUUAUUCCCUCUCUCAUAUUUUGAUAAUAGAAAUAAUUGAAGAUAAAAUAAAUAAAAUCAGAUGAUCCCAUUUUCAAAAUUUGAGAACACUCAAAUAUGAAAAUAACAAAAUCCCCAUCUCUCUCCGAGGGUCCUUGAGUUGCGUGAAAUUUCUAGGAUCAACCAAAAUGCAAAUAAAAUAUGAUAUGCAAUGAUGAUCUAUUGUAUAACACUCCAAAUUGAAAAUUUGGGAUGUUACACGUUGCUGGGGAGGUUAGCGCUUGAAGGAAUAUCUUUAGAUCUUGCAAUCGAAUCUUUUUGUUUCUUGUUUUAGCACUAGUUUAGUUUAUAAAACAAAACUACAAAAAAGUAUGGAAUUGGUUUUGCCUCAUAUGCGUCAUCUUUAUAAUAUCUUUGGUGAGUAUUAUGGAAAGGAAAGUUGUGCCAAAGUGUUAGAAGAAGAAUGCAUUAAAAUGUUUGGCACUAAAUAUUUGAAUGAUGAGCAUGAUUGCAAUGUUGUUAGUAUGAAUUCCUUGAAUAUCCAUGAUGCUAAUGAUAUGCAAAGCCACAAGCUUGGGGAAGCUAUGUUUGAUGAAGAUGAUAUUUUUUGUCCCCCAAGUUUUGAUGAGCAAAUUUAUUAUGAUGAAAGCAUGCCUCCUAUUUAUGAUGAUUAUAUUGAUGAAAGUGGAUUUGGAGAGGUCAUGACUUUAUUUUGUGAUGAAUCCACUAUUCCAGAAGAGGUUCCAAUUGAUUAUGAGAACAAAGUUGCUAUCUA